rnacentral:lncRNA from 1 species
UUAAGACCACUUUCCAUUUCUCACGAUAUGAUCUCCUCUGCUUCGAAUGAAAAGCCCUUCAGAAUGUGUAAUGCUGCUGGAUGGAAUCGAUGUCCAGGCCUUUGAGCUUGACCACGGAUUCAACAUGGCCCUUCAGAGUGUAGCUUGCGAAGCCUGCAACAGCAGAUUCACUUUGUCUUACCAUCGCGUGUAGGACUUAAAUGGUGAAAAGGAAUUGCUAGCAGCGAAUGGUUUAAACUCUGUCUCGAGAGAGUAAGGCGCCUAAACUCAGUUAUAUACAGCACGGCCUUUGAACUUUAGUUAUUAGGCAAGCAAACAGGUACGGUAGCGAAGAAGGUGGAACUAUGUUUUUCAGUAAAUAACACCAUUUUCUUACGAGCGUUGAAGUAGGAGAAUCAAGGUGCUCACCUCGCAACCUCAGCUCGUCGCUUGGCUUGCUCUGCGAUCUCUAAAAGCUCCCGGUAGCUACUCUUGUCAGAGAAUAGGUUGCUGGUUUCAGGAGGCUGAAGGCCGUGCUGAGUCCUCUGUGCAGUUGCCCACUGAGCUUCUCGCUCUUCUUUGCUAUAGUCUUUUUUAGAAGUGAAGGCAGUCUGCGUCAUAAAAUUAGCCAAAAUUAAUGCAAUGUAGGGUUUUUCAUAAUACAUAAUCCAUGGUGGUGCCUCUUUCUUAGUGGAAAUACCUUGUUCUCCAAAAGGGAAUUCCAUGCUCUCCCGCUCAGAAUGUAGCGGAUCGCGAACUUAAGAAUAUCAAGCGGAACAUAUGUCACCAAACUGUAAAGCCAGAUGACACCAGCCCAACAGGAUAACUGUUCCUUUUAUCCUUGCGAAACCCCAAUUUGCAUAAACUGCUAUAAGUGUCGCAACCUGUCCAUGAAAAAUUUUGCAUCAGAGAAGCAAAUUGGUGAAUGGUGAUUAAGAUAUCAGUUGUCCAAACUAUUCUGAGGACUUUUAACCAUUGACCAUCAGUUAAAAGCUAAUAAAUCUUAGUUCUCACUUCAACGGGAUUCCAAUGAAAUUAGUCAAUAGAAAGUACCAUAGCAAACUUAUGCUCCCAGUAGAAAGUGAACAGACUAUGACUCGGAAAUUCUUACCAGCUGAGCAGCUACAAAUGCGCUAACCAAGAGAAGUCCCGGGAGGUAAGUACACUAUCAAUGCCAAAACAUGUGUACAACGCUCGCUUUGGUGCCAAAAGUUCUCGUCAGAUCACUUAAGUGCCAAAUCGAAGAAAAAAUGAUCACUUUGGUGCCACCGGCGAAAGAUUCCGACUAGAUUAAUUACGUGGCUUUUAUAUUUAAAAAAGAAAAAAAGUUGCGGUGGCUUUAAAAUGACGUCGUUUUCUAUCCUCCUCAAGAAACGACGUCAUUUUGCCGUUAUACGUGAACAUCCUCACAGAAAUGACGCCGUAUAGCUCAUAUGGGGAUUAAAAUUAGGGUUUCCCUUGCUUAGCGACCAUCAUUCGCUUGCAAUCCACCAUCGCUCGGCCCCCAUUGUAGUUGCUUGACCAGGUGAGCGAGGAGAGACAGAGAUUGUUGCUCAAGCAAGAAGUGGCAAGAAGAAUAGGAGGUGAGGGUGGAGGAGGAGGAGGAAGAAGAGGGGCCGAAGGUGCUACUGGUGCGCUGCAAGGGCGGAGGAGGAGGAGGAAGACAAGGGGUCGAAGGUGCUGCUGGUGUGCUACGAGGGCAGAGGAGAAGGAGGAAGAAGAGGAGUCAAAGGUGCCGCUGGUGCGCUGCUGCUACUGCGGGUGUGCUGCUGGUGCCGCUGCUAGUGUUGGUCUUCGAGGAAGAAGAAGACAACAUGCUUUCUCUCUCUCUUUCAAUUUGGGGAUUUAGGGUUUCAACUUAGGGGGAAAGACACCAAACAACGUCAUUCUGUGGUUUAUAUGCUAACUGUACUCUCCGGUGAGCUACAUCAGCUUAAAAAAAUUAAUAAAAAAGUGUCACGCUGGAUUUUUGGUCAAUCUGAUUGGAGUUGGCAUUAAAAUGAUCGUUUUACAAAUUUUUUGGCACUUACUUUUGGCACCAAAGUGAGUGCCGUACACAAGUUUUGGCACUGAUAGUGUACUUACCCCAAAUUCCCGAGCAUUCAAUAUAGGACCAGCCGGGCGAUCUGGUGACAAAGAUUAGAGCCUGGCUAACUAUACUCACUUGCAAGUAUAGAGCUGCCAUCAUUUCAUCGGGGCUAUAACGGAUUGAUUUUACACCAAACUUGUCCUGCACAUAGAAUUGGGUAGUGAUAUUUUAGUAUUUGUGGUUCCAAUAGUUCAACGAAAGGUAUAGACAAGAAAUAGAAGUAGAAAACCCAACCAGAAACAGAUACUUACUGAGAAAAAGUCGGUAUCUCUCAUGGCCUAGAAGAAAAUCACGGUCAUUAAUGCCAGGUAACCUCACAGAACAAACCAGUAGCAAAAAUUUCUUUCAACUUCCAGCUAUCUGGCUUUGGAGAUGGCUUCACUCGAUCUUUGGAGAUUGUCAUGAUCGUUCCUGAGAUUGGUAUAGAUAAUUAAUCAAACUGGUUCUUCUUGAUCAGCAUUUAUGAUGAGAACUGGGAGCAAAAGAAUGAAAAACUUUGGUCUUACCAUUGUUUAGGAUAGCAAUGAUCAAAACCAUAAAGGGCGCAAAGUCGAACUUCCAGAUCAAAGCAACGAGAAUAAAGCCAAACUGCAGAAGCAAAAUGAUGAAGACUUGUUGCAUGAAAUUUCAUGAGGGAAUAGUCUAUCUAUCUCGAGUCCACAUUUUAAGAUGAAGCACUUACCACAAUACGGAUUGUAAUGGAGACUGCAUAAAUCUGCAAAGAUCAGCCACCUUGGAGUAAGCUUGGAAUGCAGUUCAGCAUAUAAAAAGUUUUGGUGCAUAAUAAUCGGGUAAUGCAAUUGAAAUCACUGACCGUGUAGUUCUUCAUUCUUUGGAAUAUAGCCAGGCUGGUCAGCACAGCACUGACACUCAAUCCCGGUUCAGUGAGGACAAUGUCCAAGGCACUUCUGGCAGCAUCAGUGGCAUCAGCAACUGCAAUCCCGAUGUCUGCCUUCUUCAAAGCUGGGGCAUCAUUCACACCAUCUCCAGUCAUACCACAUAUGUGCUUCCUUUCCUGCAGCUUCUUUACGAUUUCGUACUUGCGUUCUGACAUGCACCAAUCAGAAUGUCAGAGCAUAGAAAUUACACAGUAACUAUUAAAAGAGGAUAUCACAAUCUCAUAAGGUUAAAAAAGUUAAUUGGUCGUGGUGGACACGGGUUGAGUGCUUUUUAGAAUCGAAAUAACGCUAAGAAUCAUGGAAAUAAACAGAGCUUACCAGGAAAUACUCCAGCAAAUCCAUCUGCCUUCUCAAUCAAUUCCUCCACAGGAAGUGCGGCAAUUGAAGCAUCUUUGUUUUGGCCAAGCAAUGAUGAAGAAGGAUACAUAUUUGUCCCCAUUCCAAGCCUCCUGCCAGUUUCCUUGGCAAUAGGAAGUUGAUCACCUGAAAAUAAAGGAGGACAAAAAUUACAACCAUAAGAGAAAGCAUUACUUAGUGACUGAUGGAGCUCUGUGAUGCCAGUUCUUACCAGUAAUCAUUUUCACAUUGACAACAAGAUUGAGGGACCUUCGGAUUGUUUCUGCACUAUCGUGCCUGGGAGGAUCGAAAAGAGGCAACAAACCUACAAACUGCCAAGGAGCACCAGGGCUAUCUUUUGUACUCUCAGGAAUUUCCUGAAAAUUGCAUGUAGGGGCAAGUAAAUGAACUGUUCCAUGGUCUUAGCAAUUAGAUAUGUGGAUCCCCAUAUUAGCACACCUAAUUUGCAACAGCUAAAGAUGUCCACGCUCAGCAAACUUGUCAAUCACUGCAUGAGCCUUCCUCCUAACAUCUUCCUUGCAUUGCAGAGGUUUAAUAGCUGUCCAUGGCAUGAGAAUUAGACAUAUCAUUCAUGGCAUUCAAGAAUCUACCAUAGCUGCAACUAUCAAGGAAAGUGAUUACAAGUACCUGCUCCGGAGCGCCUUUGCUUGCACGAUGCCAUUUCCUGUCUGAGUCAAUGUAUGUCAGAGCAGUCCUCUUAUCCACAGGGUUAAAUGGAAGGAAAUGGACCUCAUGGAUACCAGCUCAGGCCUGCCCAGAAGGAGAAACAUGACUAACAACCCAUACUAUUCAUGGUCCAACAAUUUUAGUAAGUCAUACACAUUCCAAAGCUGAUAGAUUUAAACUGGUAUGAGUCAUACCUCCUUUGGAUCUGCAAGCAUUCCAACAAUUGCAGCAUCAAUUGUAUCUUGAUUUUCAGUCCUAGAUGCCCUGGCUGCGAGAAGAAUGACAUGCUCCUGUUGGACGCCCUUUGCAAACACCUCGAUCAAGGUCCUAUCAACGGUUAGCUUAUUCAGGGUGAGGGUUCCAGUUUUGUCACUGCAAAGUACAUCCAUCCCCGCCAUUUCUUCAAUGGCGGUCAUUCUCUUGGUAAUGGCACCCUGCUGAGAGAGCCUGUGGGAUCCAAUAGCCAUAGUAACAGAUAAAACUAUAGGCAUUGCAAUCGGAAUCCCUCCAAUCAAAAGAACAAGCAAGUUGUCAAUCCCGUCCCUGUAUUUGCGGUGUUGUAUCGGGUACAUGACUAUGAUCUCUAUUAUUAUCCCGAUGGCAAUCAAGCAUAUGCAGAAGUUUCCAAUUGCAGUGAGAACUUUUUGGAAGUGACCGACCUGAUUGGUGCUGUCCACCAGAUGUGCAGCUUUGCCAAAGAAAGUAUGUACACCAGUAGCAAUAACCACCGCUUCUAUUUCGCCUUGCUGACGUUUUCAUUUUGUCUUGGGUAUGCGCUGCGCAUGGGGCACUGCAUGUUGGAAACAUCUUGAAGGAUCAACAUUGUUCUUUAUCAAUCAUGUAGCAGAUUUUUUGUUGCUUCAUAACUUAUCUAUUCUUCCAAUAAUAUCGAAGCACUAUAAACUAUUACCCUAACCUAUUUCGAAAUAUCUUUUUCUUUCACAUAUCAUCCCUACCAAAGAUUCCAUAGAAAAGUCUUUCCCAAAUAUUGGAUCACUAGUUAUACUUGUUGCCCAAAGAUUAUAUCAGGUUAGUUUCGGGAAAGUUUGAGUGAUAGACAAUCCAAGGCUUGAGACAAAUCGGGGGAUAUGUGGUUCAUUUUCACUUCAAAAAGGAAGAAGAGAGAAUCUAACAUUGCACAGGGGAUUAAACGCAACAUCCAGCCCACAAGGAGUAACAUAUACAAAGAAUAUACUGAUUCCCCAAAUUACCAGAGCUUACUGUUAUCUGUUGAUUACAAAAUAACAUCAAUAUAUCAGUGCUGCGCCAUGUUGAAGUCACUUCCACUAGGGAAUGCAUUUAACUCAAAGGAGUGGAAAAUGUGGCCAUUCCAUCAGCCAAGCCCAGGGAACGCAGAACCAGAUCCAUGACCAAUCCUGCACCACGCGAACCGUUCUGAAGAUAAGAACUCAAAGCAUCGCAUCAAGAAAGGAAAGGCUCUAUCAAGAAUCAAUAAUCACAGUAGAAUUUGGAGCAUAUAACGUGAUGAAUAAUCAGAACACCAGAUUCAUCCUCGAAUGGACUUGGAUCCACAUUAUCUCUUGUGACUCAGUAGCAAGUAUAAGAAAGUCUCCUUCUGCCCAAAUUGAGCUGCUUUAUGGAGUGGCGAGACAUUGUCCCCAUCGCGCCUAAGAGGCAAGGCCGCAAUUUCAUUAACGUGCAAUUUUACGGCUUUGACGUUCCCAACGUGAGUAGCUAUGGGCAAUAGCGUUCUGUUUUUGGCUGUCGGUCAAUGAACUCUCAACUGUCGUCGUCUCAGUUGAAAUUUGCGGUUUGUGGUAACAGAGAGAAAUUUGUAGUAUAUUCACUUUACCAAAGAAGAGUACAAGACCUCUCUUAUAUAAAAGGUGAGAAGACAAUUAGGUUUAAUUACAAUUAAAAUAAGCUACAAUUAGCCGGAUCUCAAAUAUAUACAUCUAACAUCCCUUGAAACUCCAAAUAAAAAAGUCAACGGAAUUGAGAGAAAAGGUCCAGGAAGAGCCCAAAAGGAUUUGUCUUGGUGAAGACAUCGGCAGUCAGUUCGGUGGAUGAAGUGAAAACAAGUCAAAUAGUGUCACAAAGAACAUGAUAUCGAAUGAAAUGAUAAUCUAUCUCAAUGUACUUGAUGUGUUCAUGGAAUAGAUUAUUAUGUGCAAUUUGGAUAGCAACGCGAUUGUCACAAUAAAAGACUAUCCCACUAUGAUGAUGUACUCCAUGUCUUCCAAUAGCCAUUGCAACCAUAAUAACUUCGAUCUCGCAUCAGUAAAAGUUUGAUAUUUAGCUUCUAUACUAGAGUGGGCGACGAUGGUGCCACGAGAUAAGUGAGGUGCCGAAAAAGAAAAGAGUAGCCCUUAGUGAAGUGACCAUCGUGAGGGUCAUUGGCCUAGUCAACAUUUGAAUAAGUUUUCAACUUUAUUGUAGAAUGAGCGGAGAAGUGAUGGCAAAAAAUAUCAUGCCCUAAACAUAGCAAAGAAUGCGAAAGACUGUAGCAACUAAGUCGUUCAAGAUGCGAUCAUAUACUGAUUAACAACGGGAACAGCGUAAGUGGUGUCAGGUUAAGUAACAAUACGAUAUAUAAGGCUGCCAAAAGAAUGUGGGAUUCGGAAGAUGGGUCCCAUCACUAGCAUCAAAUUUGGCAUUGGUCUCAAGAAGAGUCAUGGCAACUUAUUGUAAGUGAGUUUUACUUGAGAAAGAAGAUUAGUGACAUAUUUGGCUUGAAAAAAAUAACAGCCAAAUGACUGUGAGAUAACCUCAAAGCCUAAAAACUAACCGAGUUCUCCAAGAUUUGUUAUCUUAAACUAUUAAAUAAGAUAUUGCUAGAGUUUAAAAAUCCCUAUAUGAUCAUCUCUAGUAAUAAGGAUGUUGUCCACAUAUAAGAGCAGCAUAAUAGACCCACAAGAAGUGUAUCGAGCAAAAAGAGCAUAGUCGUAGGGACUAGAUGUAAAGCCAAGGAUUCCAUGCGAAGCUAAACUUGUAAUACCAUGCACUAUGAGAUUGUUUCAAUUAAUAUAAUGUGUGACCUAAUCGACACACUUAAUGAGAAGGAUGACUGAAGCUAGGAGGAGGCACAGUAUAAACUUUCUCAAUAAGUUUGUCAUUUAAGAAUUCCUUUUUAACAUAUAUUUUAAAAAGGGAUUAGGGCCUAGUAGUGGAAAUAGCAAAAAGACUGCGAACAAAAAUAAGACGCAUAACUCAAGCAAAAGUCUCUUCAUAGUCAAUGUCACAUCCUAAGUAAAGCCUUUUGCAACAAGGUGGGCUUUAUAGGGUCUAGAAUAUGCUUUUUCUUAAUCCUGUACACCUAUUUAUAGCCAACAAUGGACUUACCAAAAGGCAAAUAAACUAAAUCUCAAGUAUGAAAUUUGUCCAAAACUUGUAACUCGUCUGCCAUUACUUCUUACCCCGAUCUACUUUUAAACGAUUAAUUUCAUCUUUUUUAUUUGUUAACUUGUGAUGAAAAUAUCAUAAAAUCCUUAAAAGGCAUAUCAUUUCUCAUUUUAACUCAUCAAUUCUUUGGCUGCCCGCAAAAGGAAAAAGAUAAUUGCCUCCGCUGACGUGCAAUGCUCGCGUAACCUCUACUAUCAUGUGCUUAUUGAAUAGAAAUAACUUCUUCUUUUUUUCGAAAUAACAGAAAUAACUUACUAAAUGCCAAAUGCUUUUGUUUUUCCUUUUCUCUUCUUUUGGCCAGGCAGAUCACUGUUGAGAAUUGUUGACAAGAUCAUGCUUCAAGCAAACUAUAAUCAUUAAGAUCCACAUGAGAUUCACUAAUCGACUUGAACAUGGCUACUUUGAGAAGAAAGGUUAAAUCUCGAUCUGUCAAAGAGAAAGCAGCCCCCAUGUAUUAAACCAGUCACAGCAAAAAUCUAAGACCCUGACCGCUAGCGAUGUCGGUUUCUGUUGUCCUAUAGACUAAUAGAAACUUCAUACGCUUCUUCAUUGUCAUAAUCCUCAAGACCAUUUUCCAUUUCUCACAAUACGAUCUCCUCUUCUUCGAAUGAAAACCCCCUUAGAAUGUGUAGGCGGCUGAAUGGAAUCGAUGUCCAAGCCUUCAGCUUGACCAGGGAUUCAACAUGGCCCUUCAGAGUUUGUAGCUCACGAAGCCUGCAACAACUGAUUCAGUUUGACUUCCCAUUGCAUGUAGGACUUAUAUGGUGAAAAGGAACUGCUAGCGGUGAAUGGUUUAAACUCUGUAUCGAGAAAGCAAGGCUACUAAACUUCGUUAAACAAAGGAUGGCCUUUAAACUUCAAUUAUCAGGCAAGCAAAUGGGUACUGAAGCAAGAACUAUGUUUUUUUAGUUAAGAAUUCCAUAUUCUAAGGAGCAUUGAAUUAUGAGGAUUAACAUGCUCACCUUGCGACCUCGGCUUGUCGCUAGGCUUGCUGGGCAAUAUCUGAAAGCUCCCUGCAGCUACUCUCGUUAGAGAAAGGGUUGCUGGUUUCAGGAGGCUGAAGGCUGCGCAAAGUCCUCUGUGCAGUUGCCCACUGAGCUUCUCGCUCUUCUUUCCCAGAGUCUCUUUUGGAAGUGAAGGCGGUCUGUGUGAUAAAAUUGUCCAAAAUUAACAUAAUGUAGGGUUUUUAAUAAUACAUAAUCUGUGGCGGUGCCUCUUUCUUAGUGGAAAUACAUUCUUCUCCAAAAUGGAAUUCCAUGCUCUCCCGCUCAGAAUGUAGCAGAUCGUGAACUUAAGAAUAUCAAGUGGAACAUAUGUCACCAAGCUGUAAAGCCAGACGACACCGGCCCACCCCCAUCCAGUGUCACGCUCCGAACCUCGAGCGUGCGCGCAUCUCUCAGUGGUCGAUAGAGGACUCCUUUCAUUUUAUUGCACAUGCGGAAAUGAAUUAAUUAAUCCCCUCACAACAACAUAUAUGAGAUAGAAAAGCAGGACAACCAGUUUCAAAUCAAAUACACUUUCAUAUACAUCUCAAACUUAUACAAAAGGUCUAUCUCAUAAAAAACUACUAAGCCACCUAUGCUCCUAACCCUUCUGCUUCAAGCUCCAGGUUCUCCACAUUAGGGACCUGAAAAUGGUUAUACAAUAACCAGUGAGAUAUAAAUCUCAAUGAGUCUUUCCCCUAGUCCCCUGAUUAGGACACCAAUUCCACUCGGAUAUCUCUUCAUAACCUCCCCACAAACAAGUCCACGACCAACAAAAUAAUAGUCGGUUCGCAUGCAACCUUAUCCGCUAUGCCAUACCCUACACGUUAUAACUCAUCACAUACACACAAUACACAUAGCUAUUAGAUGAUGCAGUUCAUCAAUCACAUACGAGUCGCAUCACAAACGAUCUCAUCUGGCCAUUGCCACACUCUGCACAUUAUCGAUUCAUGCGUGUGUGCCAUAAACGAUGUGAUUCGCUCAUGCAUAUAAUUAAUGCAUAUAAAAAUUUCACACAUCAAUGCAUCAAUUCAGAUUGAGUCAACGAUCAAUCGACUCAGUCGAUUUCAUGUCAUCGACACCAUUCCCUGAUCAUCUCAAUCAAUACUAUCUAUAAGUUUGAUCAUACCUAGGAUUGUUUACUAUAAGCCGAUAGUAGAUAGUAUAGCUCACCAGAAGCUGUCUCAAUUAUCAGUAUAGUAUAUUAUAGCUUGCCAAAAGCUGCCUCAAUUAUCAGUAUAGUAUACUAGCUCACCAGAAGCUGCCGCAAUUAUCAAUAUAGUAUAAUAUAGCUCUGCUGCAAUUACUCAUAUAGUAUACUAUUUAUGCUCACCAGAAGCUGCAAAACAUACCUUCAUAGUAUACUAAAAUUAAUCAUUUAAUCAAAUCACCAUUUUUAGCCUUCCUGAUAAAAAUAUUCGUGUGUGGGUACACGGUCGGCUUUAGCCAAAAAUACAAUGUUUUCCCUUUUUGAAAAUCCCACUAUUUAUUAUAGUAUUUAAAGAUGUUUUUGGCGUUGUAAACCGAUGCUCAGUAGUUCUUGUUUUAAAUACCGAAAUUACUCAAUUUCACCAUAUAGCAUUCAAUUAUAGAAAUUAAACACACCACUACAAUUAGCUUGAAAUUCUAUCGAGCGGCUCUCCUGGUAAAAUUCCCAUAAAAUAUAUAAUUCAUGCGGAUGUCCAUGCAUUUAUAUAUCCUGAGAGUGCUAGUAUAAACACCUAGAUUGGGGGUGAAUAGGUGUUUAAAAUAAACCUUGACAAAUAUAUGCGGAAUAAAAUAAACUUCAAACAAAGGAGUUAGGGAAGAGAAUAGGAACACACGAUUUAUAGUGGUUUGGCUUAAUCCAAACCUACGUCCACUCUCCCAUGCUAACAGCCUUCUUGGCUGGAUUCCACUAUGCAAUCAACAAGAGAUUACAACUUUGAGUGCAAACACUUAGUAGUAGAUCACACUAUCUCACUAAGUCACUCUUUUGGUAUUUCUCUCACAAUCACAAACGUUUAAGCUCUCCAAAGACAAGUAUAUAAUCGAAGGUCGCUCAGACUUUGGAAUUAUAAAUUCUACACUCUCUCUCUUACUUGCUCAUCGGUCCUUCAUCUCCUUAAAUACUCCUCCACUUCCAAACUACCCGUUGGACAAUAUCUUGAGGAUCGUCUUCCAAUAUACCCAUUGGACAGCUCUGUAUCUAGAAGAUUUGGUAGCCGUUGAGUGACAUAGGUAGAAUCCCAAAUUGAUUCCGAUCGCCCAUACAAACGGAAUCUUGGUUUCCAUAAGUAAAGCUUCUUUGUAUAAAAAGUUCUUGUCUUCAAGAUCCAAUCAUCAAUCAAAUAGAUUGAGUUAAUCAAAUCAAUCUUGAUGUGGAAUCCAAACUAGAUCACUAGCCAUUAUAUGAUUGGGCUUGAGUUACGUUAUGUCGAAUCUGGAUGUAAAGUCUGAGAGCAAUAGACUUUACAAUAUGAGUCUGAGUGCGAUAGACUUUGCAAUCUGAGUCUGAACAUAUUCUGCUUCUGAACAUAUUUAGCUUUAAGGUCUAUACCCAGUUCAGCUUCAGCAUAGAGACUGUCUUCUGGUUCAUCAUUCACGUUUAGUCUGGAAUUUGUCAGAGUGAGCAGACUUCUGAUGUAGAACAGACUUUGACACUAAAGUAUGGCAGUCUUCAGACUUUGACACAGAAGUCUGGAAAUCUUCAGAAUAUACUUUGGGCAUAUGUUACGUUCAGUCUUCUGGUCGUCUUCACACUUUGAUAAUAUCAUUUACAUAUUCUAUCAUCUGCAUGGUCUAUUACUUAACUAUUAAACAUGUUAAUAGCUUUUGAUUUAUUUUGUCAUCUUCAAAACAUCAUAAGGGAUUUCCCUAACAUAUCCAAAUCAUCUCAUAAAAUCACCACACAUGAAAUUAGACCAUUUUUCGCUUCUGGAUGAACAGUACGUGUGAACAGUAGUACUCUGUGAAUAGUACCGCGUGAACAGUAUUUUGUGAAUAGUGUCGAGUCAAUAGUGAAUUCCAGAAUUUAAAUUAAAAUCAUAAAUCAUUAAAAACAUUAAUUAAAGUAAACAAUCAAUCAAUUAAAGCUAAACAUGCUAAAUUAAACACAUAAGUCACAUUAAGCAAAUAAAUCAAGAUUACGCUAAACUAAUCUAAUCCAUCUAUUUAACCACCUAUAUUAGGGCUAAUACAACUUAAUCAAAUCACCUAGACUAGAAUUAAAUCUAACUAAACCAACCCUAAGCAAGUUUAGGCACUAAUAAAACGAUUAUGAGCUAAACUAACUCACCCGUUACGUGGGCUAGAAGCACGGGCGCAUCGGCGACAAUGGUGGCUACGCUCGGGAACCUCUACCACGACGAUCCAAGCGGUCCCAAGCUUAGAAUAGCAACAGCAGCUCGGACUCCCACUGAAAUUCCCAAAAACUGGACUGACCAGAGGAGAAACAAAGUGGGCGGCUAAUCGGAGCUCCGACGAGGGGUUGACCGACAACCGGCAGCAUCUGGGGGUCAAGGGGGACUUGCUGAUGGUUGGUAUGGGUGAAAGAAUGGUUGGAAUGGGAGGAAAAAUGAAGAAAACGCAAAACAGGCAGACCAGGCGGGCGAACUGACGAACCGGCGACUGGCGGCUUACGGCGGCCAGAUGAGACAGCCGGCUACUCCGUUCGGGGCGGGGCCAAGCUCUUCCUUACGGUCUGGACAUGUUGGUCAUGGUGGUAGGUGGAGCAUGGCUUGAUACUCACGAGAAAGUAACGAACAACUCGAGUUUUCGGAAAAAAGGUUAGCUGGAGCAGAACAAGAUUAGGCAGAAUUGCGACCAAUGCCUUCUGGCUGGCCAAUGGGUCAAACGGUUGCUCCGAGCGUCGAACGGCCAACUCCUCCCAUACGGUCUAGACCUCAUGAAGACAAUGGUGGGUGGCAUGAAGGCUGAUUCGUCCGGGAAGCCAACAAUCAACUCAACUUUAUGGAGGAAGGUCUACUGGAGCAGAAACUAGAAUGAAGGGACACGAGUUGAGGGAGAGCUCAAGGAGAAGAGAGAGAGGGUGAAGUGAGAGUUGUCAAGGCCCCCAUCAAGCCCUUCAAUGCUUGCUUCAAGUCCCCGUGCAUGACAUCAUCUUCUCUCUAUUCUUUUGCCUUAUCCACAAGCUUUUAGGGGCAAUUUGGUCAUUUCCACCAUGCACAAAUUACCAAUCUUCCCUUGGGCCGAAAUUGAUGAGCAAGCCUAAGAAAUGGGCUUAGAAAUGAAUAGGAACGGGCUCGGAAAUUGAUUUGGCUCGAAUGGGCUUAAGGUUUGGCUUAAUUAGCGUUGUCGACCGUCAAAGUAGCUUCAUCCAAAGUCCGUUAUGGACAUUCCCGAUAAUUUGAAGUCCAAUCUUGGGUUCUCAUGCCAUGUCAAUUUCACCCUAAUGCCAUUUUAGGUACGACUUAGACUAACAGGCGGGUUUGAGGAUUCACACGUAACCGACUCGUGUCUAACCACGUUCAAGAUAUCUCGACACAUGGACGUCCUUGACUACAUGAAAUUGCGGAGGAUGGAUUCUUAUUUCAAAGUACACGAUUAUUGAGGAUCGACAUAGGGUCGUUCGUAGGUUCGAUAACAGUAAACAUAAUCACCCGUCGUUCCAUUAUGUUCUGUCCGCGAAUUGACUUCUAGUUGUCCUUGAAAUUGGCCUGCCUAUCUGCAGGAUCAUCCUCACGCAAGUCUCAUGAUCAAGUCAUUUUCCCGGGUCAUGUUCUUUAGUCGUACGAGUUCUAUCCUCAUUAGCCUUUUUCCUCAAUGUUAGUAUUUCGGGAAUGAUCAAUUUCAAGUGAGAUCAACCAACAAUGCAUUAAUGAAAUUCACAUCCAUUUAUCCCUCAAAGGACUCGAAUUUCAAGAUGUCACAUCCAGUUCCUUCUAUCCUUGCGAAAUCACCAUUUGUCGCAACCUGUCCAUGAAAAAUCUUGCAUCAGGGAAGAAUAUUGGUUAAUGUUGAUUAAGUUAUCGAUUUUCCAAACUAUUCUGAGGACUUCUAACCGUUGGCCAUCAGUUAAAACUCAUAAGAAUGUAUUUCUCACUUCAAUCGGACUCCAGUGAAACUAGUCAGCAGAAGGUACCAUAGAAAACUUAAGCUCCCAGUAGAAAGUGAACAGAAUAUGACCAAGAAAUUCUUACCAGCUGAGCAACUACAAAUGCGCCGACCAAGAGAAGUCCCUGGUGUUCGACAAAGGACCAGCUGGGCGAUCUGGUGACAAAGAUUAGAGCCUCACUAACUAUGCUCACUUGCAAGUAUAGGGCUGGCAUCAUUUCAUCAGGUCUAUAUCUGAUUGAUUUUACACCAAACUUGUCCUGCACCAUAGAAGAGGGCAGCGAUAUUUUAUUACUUCUCGUUCCAAUAAUUCAACGAAAGAUAUACACGAGAAAAGAAGUAGAAAACCACACAAGAAACAGAUUCUUACUGAGAAGUUCGCAUCUGCCCAGAAGAAUAUUACAGUUAUGAGUGCCGGGUAUCCAAGAACAUUUCCGGUAGCAAAAUUUUCUUUCUACUUUUAGCUAUCUUGCUAGGGAGAUGGCUUCACUCAAUCUUUGAAGAUUAUCACGAUGGUUCCUGAGAUUGGUACAAAAAACUAGUCAAACUGGUCUUUCUUAAUUUGCUAUGUUGAAAACCGGGAGUACAAGAGUACGAAAAACUAUCAUCUUAUCACUGUUUAAUAUGGCAAUGAUCAAGACCAUAAGGGCGCAAAGUCAGACUUGCAGAUUAAAGCAAUGAACAUAAAGCCAAACUGCAAAAGACUGGAUGCAAGACCUUUCAUGAAGGAAUAUUUUUCAUUAUCUUAAGUCUACAUUAAAGGUAGGACUCUUACCACAAUACAAAUCGUAAUGAAUACGGCAUAAAUCUGCAAAAUUUUAGUCAACUUAUGGUAAGCUAGGAAUGCAAUUAGCAAUAUGCAGAGCCUUGGUGCAUAAUCCAUUGGAAACACAAUCCAAAUCACUAACAGUUUAAUCCUUCUUUCUUUCAAAUAUACCCCAGCUGGUCAGCACAGUGCUUAUAAUGACACUAAAGCCCGUUUCAGUGAGGACAGUUCAAGCACUACUCGCAGCAUUGGUGGCAUCAGCAACUGCAAUCCAAUGUCUGCCUUCUUCAGAGCAGAGGCUUCAUUCACGCCAUCGCCAGUCAUACCACGUUAGUGCUUCUUCUGCUGCAGCUUCUUUGCAAUUUCGUAGUAAAUUGUGUGAAAUACUCUGGUCGGUCAAGAAAUUCUCGCCUCAGGGGAAAUCUAUACUGAGGAAUUUCUUCUCAACAGGAUGUUCCAUCUACACAGUUAUUUACAUUUUUAAGCUCACGGCUCUGCCACCUUCAAAUAUGAUUCUCCAUUAAUAAUUUUAUAUUUGGCCUUCGGUCUUUUUUUCGUUGAUCAAGAGGACCAAAGUAUUAUUAAGUAUACAUGAGAUAAUAACGUGCUAACCGAUGGAACAAGUCUACCUUGCCUAGCAUAAAAUGCCAUGCUUGAAUAAUCACCGCAAAAUCAAUAUCUGAAACAGGUAAAACUGAAUCAAUAUUCUCUACUGGUCCAAUUUGACACAGGAAAACCCCACUAAGGAAUUAAACGUUGUCAGGGAAUAAUGUGAAGAGAUUUGAGUUAUAAUUCUUUCAAUAUCCUUUCUCAAAACAACUGUCUAAAUCUGCUGAAAAUACAAAGACGAGCUGAAGACUGGGAUCAAGAGUUUCCAUGAGCCCUGCAGAUGAUGAAAGGGAAAAGCUUGAAAGUUGUUCGGUUGAAACUUGGGUGGAAUGCGACCAAUAUGCAAUAUCUGAAAGGAAAGGAAUAAGGCGAUACAUGAGCAACUUAAACCCCAGAUGAAAAGGGUUGCUGCUGCUGUAAUACUUAGUGAACUAUGUUUGAGUCAUUAAUUCUGAAGGGAAAAAAGUAGUUCCUGAUGAGGUUAAAAGCAUCUGUAACAAAUGGAGGAUUACUUGCCGUAUGUUCUUGCUCGAUGAAGAUUGCUUUGAAGCCAAUAGUGAGUGAGUUAGGACACUUUUGGUACAAUAGUGAGUGAGCUAGGACACUUUUGGUAACGAUUUUGUUUCAAAGAACAAUUUUUUAUCAGAAAUGAUUUUUUCUGAUUCUAUUCCCAGGAAUAAUUUUUGAGCAAAAGAAUGCAUUUAGUAACUCCAAUAAAUUUCUAUUCCCAGGAUAAAGAUGCGUUUGGUAUGAUUUUUUUUUUCUUUUUCUUUUUCUUUUUCUCUUCUCCUUCCUCGCCUGGCCAUGGCAAGCCUCAACCUUGCCUAGCGACGCAAGAUCGGCCUUGCCCUAGCCUAGCAAGGCCUAGCCUUACACCAAUUGGGGAGGCCAAGCCUCGCCAUGGCUAUGCAAGGCUCGAGCCGACGAUGCUCGAACGAGGUCACCAACCCUCAUUUGGUCAGUUGUUGGACAUGGUCGAGGCUGGUGACUAGCAAAAAAGAAGAAGAAGAAAAGGAAAGAGAAGAAGAAAAGAGAAGAAGAGAGUAGAGAAGAAAAAAAAAAUUAAAUUAUAAGAAUUGUUCCCGAGAAUAAGAACCUACUUUUUUUUGCUUAUUGAUUUUAUUCAAAAUCUAUUCCCGGGAACAAAAACUUUUUUUUGUUCCCGAGACUAAAUAUUUACUAAAUGGGUUUUGGUUCUUUUUUUGUUUCGUGUAGACCCGCACACANNNNNNNNNNNNNNNNNNNNNNNNNNNNNNNNNNNNNNNNNNNNNNNNNNNNNNNNNNNNNNNNNNNNNNNNNNNNNNNNNNNNNNNNNNNNNNNNNNNNNNNNNNNNNNNNNNNNNNNNNNNNNNNNNNNNNNNNNNNNNNNNNNNNNNNNNNNNNNNNNNNNNNNNNNNNNNNNNNNNNNNNNNNNNNNNNNNNNNNNNNNNNNNNNNNNNNNNNNNNNNNNNNNNNNNNNNNNNNNAUGAAUUUACCAAAAGUCAAUUAGAGUAGCAAGCCCAACUAGAUAUGGGUUUUAAUUGGUCGGGACUAAACCCACGUGCAACCACCAAACAAUGCCUCAUCUUAUUUGGGCUGGCUAAUGCAGUUUGGGCUGUUGUCAGGCCUAGCUUACAAAUUCACUCGUAUCUUGCACUAGGGGUGAGCAUCGGUCCGGGGUCAAUCCUAGACCGACCCUAGAUUGGCUCAAUCCUAUCGGUCUUAGUCCGGUUCCCAGGGAGACUAGGUCGGUCAUUGGUCCUAGAAUUCUUACACCAGCACUGUGCGGGUUGGUCCUCAGUCCUAAGAGUUCUAGGUCGGUCCAACUUGAACCAAUCCUGACUAUAUAUGAUAUUGUUUAUAGUUUUUUAUAUAGAGAAAAUGUUAAAAUAAACGGCGUCAACAACAUUAAACAGCUCUUUAGUGAAGAGUUUAAGUAAUUUUACAUUGUUAUGUAAUAACUUAGGUUUUUAAUGUUGUCGCGACCUCUCUUUUGCCGUCCGGGGAAAAAGAAAGAAGGUUUAGGGGUAUUUGCCUAAAGAGGCGGACUAACGGUCAUAAAUUAGGCGCGGGCUCUCCCAAGCCCAUACCACGCGCGACAUUGGAUUUUGAAUUUUAAUUUUUAACAACCUAUGUAUUUUUAGGAGUCGCCACUAGCCUAUUGGGAUCGGCUAAAAACCAAUCAAGACGCGGGAGUGUUGUCUCGAUUCCUACGCAACCAGAGAUUUCUAGGACCGGGGACUUGUUUAGGCCAAUGUUUCUAUUGGCGCCCUUGCAGUACCACUAACUUGGAAGGUUGUUUAUCUAAAUGGCCACACAAUUUUAAUUACCAAUUAUAAUCCUUAUAAAACCGCUAAGCAUUCAUGCAAAUGUUUUUGUAGGUUUGUUUUCCUUAAAAUCUAGAAUAAUCCUAACAUAAUUUAGAAGAGAAAUUUAUACUCAAAUUAAUGAAAAGCGGUGCGUAAGUAAACAUCCAAGAAAUUAAAAUGACUUGAAAAUAAAUGCGGAAAAAGCAAAAAACCAAUACAAGUCGGACAAAUAAUAUUACAUGGCCUUGUUAUCAUGCCCCGGGAUAGGACCCCCAUGAGUGAAAUGAGAAUUCAAAUAUGCAUGAAAUUACUCUUUAUGCAUGAAAUUACUUUAAAUAAUUUUAAUCUACGCAAAAUGAAUUAUUUACAAAAAUGGUUAUAAAAUACCAAAAUAGUAUUAAAUUAGGAAAAUGACCUUUUAAAAUUAAGAAAAUUUCAUAUAUGUCAUUUCUAUCCUAAUUGGAUGCUAUCUAACAUUUUUUUGAUAUUUUUGAAAUUUUGAAAAUUUUCUUUUAUUAUUAUUAUUUUUUUAAAAUAAUAAUAAUUCCUUAAACUGAUCUUUGCUAACAUGGAGUAACACAACACAUGAAUAUCACAAUUAUCAAGCUCAAAUCGACUAUUCAAGAUCGAAGCUUAGUUUGGGCAUUUCGUCGAACACUGGGUGUGCAUCAAACUAGCCCCAAUAGCUUCCUCGAGCCAUGUUUGCGACCUUCAAUCUCACUCAUAAGCAAUCUUAUGUGGACUAAAUAUCAAGGUUAUACUACCACAUGNNNNNNNNNNNNNNNNNNNNNNNNNNNNNNNNNNNNNNNNNNNNNNNNNNNNNNNNNNNNNNNNNNNNNNNNNNNNNNNNNNNNNNNNNNNNNNNNNNNNNNNNNNNNNNNNNNNNNNNNNNNNNNNNNNNNNNNNNNNNNNNNNNNNNNNNNNNNNNNNNNNNNNNNNNNNNNNNNNNNNNNNNNNNNNNNNNNNNNNNNNNNNNNNNNNNNNNNNNNNNNNNNNNNNNNNNNNNNNNNNNNNNNNNNNNNNNNNNNNNNNCAGGUUACAUGCCCAUAUUGAAGCCCCGACACUCAUCACCAUGCAAGAUCUAAGGGAAACAUUACUUAAUCCGAGUGAAAGGAGGUAACAUGGGCUUUCAAAUGCAACAAACAUCAUAGAUAAAUGACCUACUGAACACACCAAAACGAUUUUUCCAAGAAGCAUACAUGCAUGAUCUAUGCUGGCCAACCAUGUCUCAAUGUGGAGUGGUUUGGUUUUUGGCUCACGUUAUGGACAUUUUCAUGGUUCACAAGGAGAUUUAAAUACUAAAUCGGGUUGUCCUAUGCAUUAUUUAUACUCCCAUAUAACAUUCAUCAAAGUCACAACGACAAAAAACGCAUGCAAAGGGGGAAGAACAAGUCAAGCAUGUAGGGGUAUUGGAGAGGCUUUAAACACCUAGAAAAAUUUCAACCUCAGAAAUCAGAUUUCUGGGCUGGUCUUCCUCUUUAUUUUUCAUGGUUGAACAUGCUCAAACUCGAUCAUAAAUACAUCUAGGAUGCUUACCUUGCUUCCUAGUUCUUUUGCAAGUGACUCUUGGCCAAGGAAACCAAGAAACUGUCCUCUGGAAGCACGUGGAAGUUGGUUCAUUCAAACUGGAAAAUGAGAUCUACAGAAAAAAAAAACUGACAACGAAGGUUUUUGUUGACCUCUACAAUUAGAAUUCAGGACCUCUUUUAUUGAAAAAUUAACACCAAAACAAACUAUAUGUAUUUUAGUUUUUAGUGAAAGUCAAGAUUUUCCUCAUUUGUCUCUCAAUUUUCUCAAAAACACUCGCCUUCCCUCACCCAUGACCAAUUAGGCUCAACACUCAGAAAAAUUUUCAGACUUUCUUGGCCCGCCAGGAGGGUACUAUUUUGGGGGGCUUUAGGAGACCUUCCCAAACUUCAUUUUGGACGUGAGACCUCUGGAUGGAAAGAUAUAUGAGUGAAGUUUCACUCUCUAGUUGAAGGUUUUGGCUAAUUUUGGCUGCAAGUUUGCGAAAAAAUUCAUUCUCUCUCUAGAGGUUGAUUUGGAAUUUCUGGGUUUGCUUUUCUAGAGUUGCUUCUGAGGGCCUCUUUUGGGGACGACCAUGAGCUCUCUCCUCUCCCUCUCAUCUCCUCUCUCUCAUCCCUCGAAAGACCUUCCUUCAUUCAUCUUAUCCCCUCAAUUAGAGGAUUUUUGGUCUGUAUUUUGUCCACCUACUAAGCCUGUCAACAGGGCUACUUCACCCACUCUCUGACUUAGUCAAUUUUUUCACUUCUGCAGCUAUUGAGUGUCCGAAUUUGGUGCGAUUUUCCUGUGCCUUCAAUAGCUUAUCGCAGACCAAUGUUUUUCCACUUGCGGUACCAAUGAUGGUCUUCCAUCACGUGCAGAUAUCGGGCUGGUUGAGCAGCUAAGGAGGAUAUGGUGGGGCCACUAAGGUGCUUACUCAGCAAUUCCGAAUUGAGACCAACUCGUGAACUGAGUUUUGGCUGCUGAUUUGAGUGCUUUAAUAAUCAAUUUGGCUGUGGUUUUUGAUCAAUUAGCAAGUUCGUGUAUAGUAGUUUAAAAUCUCGACCAGAUUUUGUAAUUGUGCCCACCCAAUUUUGCAAUAAAGUCCCUCAAAGUUAGCCAUUUUCUUAUUCGAAAAUACCCAAUUCAGGGCAAAUUGGUCAUUUUGACCAAAUUUGAUUGAUCAACUUGGCCCAAGUUCAAUUUCAACUUAAUUGGUGACCAAGAUGAUGAUUUAAGGGUUCGGGCGAAAUUUUGUGAAAUUUGUAAAUUGGUCCCUCAACUUCUGAAAAUUGCAUUUUGGCUCCAUCUUUCCAUUUUAAUUCCAAUCUAACCUCCUAGGCUUGGCUAGUCACAUUUAGAUCAUUGGCCCCAACUUGCUUCUUCUUCUUCUUCUUCUUCUUUUUAAGGAAAAACAUCUUCCAUUUAAACACUAUAUUAAACACCUAGAUAAUCUAUAUGCAGGAAUUUGACAUAAAAUAUUUUUGGGCAAAAAUUUAGGUGUCAACAAAUAUUUUUUAUGAUGUCAAUGUAAUAAUUUACGAAGGAGGAAAAUGUUUUUGUGAGGAGUCAUCACAGCAUCAAAAAAGGCAUCUUAUGGCAUCCUCCUAUAGUAUUUGUUAUCUUUUGUCAUAUUUGUCCUCUAAGUCUUCAAUUUGCCAAAAUCGAGAUAUCGCCACUCGAUACUCUCUUUGCUCACUUUGGGUCACUCGUGCCGCUCACCGCUUAAUGCUCACUUGGCUUGUUGCUCCUUGCUCGACAUUCGAUGCUCAUUUUGUUUGACGCUCACCUCACUUGACCCUCACCGCUUGCCUUCCUUAGCUAACCUUGCUUAUCAUCGAACCAAUUGGGUCAGUACAGUUCCUGGUUGUCCUUUUAAGGAGUACAAAAAAUGAAAUAAAAAAUUAUUGGUUUGUUCUAGGUUGACCUUGAAACCGGACCGAACCCAUUGGGUUAGUUCGGUCAUCAAUCGUUUUUUUAAGGAAUACAAAAAAUAGAAAAAAUUAUCGAUUGGUUCCGGGUUGACCCUAGAACCGGACUGAACCUAUUAGGUCGGUUCGGCCCUCAGUCCCAAGCUCAAUAGGGUCAGUCCUUGGUCCCAAAAAUUGAGGACCAAUACUGUACGGGUUGGUCCUAGGGUUAGGGGGUGGACUGGCCCAACUCAGACCAUGCUCACCCAUAUUUUGCACGUCUCGGACAACAUGGACCAUGCCAAGAGAUGUCUAACUCUUCUAAGAAACAGAAUCAAAUUGCGACUAGAUAAUGAAAACUGCAGCAUUCAACAGCUUCAUAUGAUUACUAUGGCCUCAAAUUUCAACUAAUUGAUCACCAAACAGCUUCAAAUGAGUUGAUUGCGGAAGGUCCAGCCUUCUCUAGGGACUUGUACCAAGAGAUAUCCAUUAACUCCAAUGUUCCAAGUCCUUGAAUUUUAUAUGGGCUUUUGCUUUCUUGGACCAUCACUUGCUUUGGACAUUUUGAUUGAGAAAAGUCCAACUUUCCAAGGGACUUGCACUAAGAGAUAUCCAAAAUUUCUAUGAACUCCAAUAUAUGAAGGCCUUGAAUUUCAACUAAAUUUUCACAUUCUUAACAACUUCAAUCUAACAAUUAUUCAAUUUCAACCACAUUUUCGCAAUCUGCAGCAGUCAAUCUCCUCAGACCAUUGACUCGUGGGAUCUCUAGCAUUUUGAUGGAUGUGCAAGAAAAUUUCCAACUCUUCCAAAAACUCAGACUUAUCAUGGCUUCAGAUUUCGGCUAGAUUUUCGCAAGAAGCCUUCAACUGCAUUAGAUGAUUUAAUUGCGAAAGGCCUAGCCUUUCAAUCGAUUUGCACUAGGAGCUAUUUGACUCUUUCAAGAACUUUGACUUAUGAAGACCACGAAUCUCAACUCUAUUUUUGCAAUGGCUGGCAUUUAAUUUCUUGAAAUGAUUCAAUUGGAGAAAGACCCAUCCAUUCAAUGGAAUUGAACGCGUUGAUGCUCAACUCUUCAAGUACUUAUAUCUAUCAAGGCCUCAAACUUUAAAGAGAUCAUCAUUUUUUUUUUUUUAAAUUUCGAUGGAGCAUUCAUUCCAUAUAAAUAAUCAAGGUCAUUGUGACCAAACGAAUUUGUCACAGUGCUCCGUCCUAUGCUGUCGUUUCGUAUAUUUUAUAUGUUCAUAUGAGGAAUCUAGAGAUGUCUAAAAUUUUUUACUAAAAAAUCAAUAGUUAAUUGACUUAAAACAAACGCUGAGUCGUCACCUUGUUGUGGUCCUUAACAUAUGCACCCCAGUGGCCUUGACAACUUACCCACCAUUACUUCUUUAUUGAGAAGUAUAAAGAAGUAAUGAAAGCGAACUCAUAUAAUUGAUGUAAUAUAAUAGACUAUUUAAUUGGCGUGGACUUAGAAAAGUGCUGAGCCGUUGCCUUCUAGCUCUAGGCAUUAUCCGGUGAAUGUUCCUUCCUUUCACAGCUCCAAGAGGACCUUAUUUUUUCACUUCUAGGAGAAGUCUUCCUCUGCGCGGGCGUAGUCUUUGCCUUUUAGGAAUUAUCCGGUGGCGCUUCUAUUUUGGUGCUGAAUGGAGUAGACCGACAUGAGCUGAUUUUAUUGUCAUUAUGUACCAGCAACUUGGUUAGCCUGUGCUAUGCAUGGGAUGAUCAUUUGACUCUUUGGCCACGACCUCAAUAAUGUACCAAAAAGCAAGGGAAAAAAAAUAAGAAAGAAAAGGACGUGAUAGCUAUGUUUCUUCAAAUAAGAUAGAUUUAGUACAUUUGAUUUAGAACGAUAAUGUGACAUUUGAUUUUACAAGUUUAACUCUAAGCUCUAAGAAAUUAUGUUUUUUUUUUUUUAUCAAGCACGUCAAAAAUUUGCUUGAAAUUAAGGAUAAAAGCCAUUAAAAACCCUAAACUUUAUUAACGGUGACACAUUUUCCCAAAUAUUUUUUUUUAUAAUACCAAAAACUCCAAAUUUAUACAUAUGUGACACAUAUAUUUACUCCAAAAUUUGGCGUCACAAAAAAAGUUAGGGGUUUUUGGUGUCAUAAGAAAAAAAUUGGGGUAAUGCGUUACACAAAUACGAGUUUGGAGUUUUUAGUGUCGCAAAAAAAAGUUUGGGGUAAAUAUAUCGUAGUUGGCAAAGUUUUGGAACUUUUUGUAGCUUUUUCACUUUAAUUAACUUAUGAACUUUGAUAAAGAACAUAACAGAAAAUUUAAUUAUGGGGCGCUCACGUUCUAAAUUAUUUUCUUUAACUUUUGGUCUAACUAUUUGUUAAAUUAGACAACUUAUUGGGUUUGAUGUAUCUAACGGCUAGUUUAAUGGUGGCUAGUUUUGUCUUUUGGGUGAAAAUUUGGAUUUACGGGACAUUUGUCCUGUGAGUGAAAGCUGGGGGCUUUUUUGGGGAAAAGGCCUAUGUCAUCAUUUUUUUCAAAUCAUUUAAAUGCUACUAAAAAAAAUCAUUUUAAGUGUCAACUCCGAUUUGAGUCAUUAGAAAUCCAACGUGAUCAUAUUUUAUUAAUAUCUCCAACCAAUGUGACUUGCCCAUGCCCAGUCAACAUUAAUAGCUUAAACGACUUCAUUUACAUGCUUGGCCCCAAAUAUAUACCCUGUUUUAGACAAUGAAGUAUUUUCCCAGAUUCUUGAAAUCCUAAUUCAAUUUCCUAAAAUUAAGAGCUGAAUCUUGUAAUGGAGAGUAGAAUCAGCACAAGUGGCUCAAAUUCGAACCUGAGAUAGCAAUCUAGAUUGUCGCUUGACCUUGGAACGCGAAAUACUAAUAAUUUUAUCCCAAGAUUGUCUCCGCUUUAAAACAAGCGUGAUCUUAAGGGGAAAAUCAAUUUUGAUGUUGGGGAUAUCAACACUUGGCUCUCAAAUACCCAGAUGUCUUCAUUUUGCCGAACUUUGUUGGGUUACCUCAAAAUUGAAAGAAGGCCCUAUUGCUGUCUUCGUUGGGUUACCUCGAACAAACAUAGCUUAUGGAGGUUUCUAAAAUUACAAUUAUGCUUAUUGUUCAUUAAUCUAAAAUUACGACAAUAACAAUUAUUCUAUAAUAAAACAGUGGUUUUUAACAAAUUAGUCAAUGAUAUUUUUAAUUAUUAUCGUGACUUUUGAUAAGUUAACUGUGAUUUUAGAUUUUUAGAUGAAUUAUAAUGUGUAUAUGUUAUGUAAUUCAUUAGAAUUAAUAUCCCAUCCUACUUUCACAAUACAUUGCUCAUAACAAAGCAGAAGAACCUUCAUUGUAGCAAUUCUGUAAACUUACUUAAUAUAAAGUUAUCUCAUUCCGUUUUUAUGUAUUAAACACAAAUUUAGUGGAAAUUGAAUAGGGUUAUACUUGAUGGCGUCACUUGGUCUUCGAACUCUGAAACUUUCAGAUGGAUAUCCAUUUGGUUUGUUUGUGUAACAUCCCGGGCCCCAAUGUACACAUAUUUUUCGCUUUGAACAUUGAGUCCUCACGGUUUUGUUUCUCUCGGGGCAGCCCAUACUACCCCAAGAAAACACGUAUGUACAGUUAGAGGAACCCAAGCCUUAUAAGCUAGCCCAUGACUUCCUCCCUAGGCAAUGUGGGACAAGAGAGGGACCCCUUCCUUGUGCACAUCUGGGGACCGCCACUCGGGCCGUCACAGUUUGUAGGAUGCCAUGUUAUCAUUUUGAUAUUGUGAUCUCAAAUUUCGGCCAACAUUUUUCUCUCAACUUCAGCUAUUCCAUGUUAUCAUUAUGAUGUGAUAACUGUCCACCAUUAUUGUAGCAACCUUGAUGGAAGAAUUUUAUGAAAGUUAAGAAUGGGAUGGAAACAGGUCUAAACCAGGUUCUCGUAUAAAUCAAAUACAACAGCGAAAAUUUGACUAAAAAUUUAAUUGUUAGUUGACUAAAAACAAAUCAUGAGUCGUCGCCUUGUUGUGGUCCUCAACGUAUGCAUCCUAGUGGCCUCAACAACUAACCCACUAUUACUUCUUUAUUGAGAAGUAAUGGAAGUAAACUCAUUCAAUUCAUGUGAUAUAAUUGACUGGUUAAACGACGAUGACUUAGAAAAGUUGCUGAGCCGUUCCCUUCUAGCUCUAGGCAUCAUCCGGUGAAUGUCUCUUCCAUUCACAGCUCCAAGAGGGCCUUUCCAUUUCGCUUCUAGGAGAAGUCUUCCUCUACGCGGGCUUAUUAGUUGUUGCCUUUUAGGCGUUAUCCGAUGGCGGUUCUUUUUUGGUGCCGAAUGGAGUUGACCCACAUGAGCUGCUUUUAUUGUCAUUUAUGCACAUGCAAGUUGGCUACAACGUGCUAUGCAUAGGAGGAUCGUUUGACUUUAUAUUGUUGUCCCCUUUGGCCACAACAUUAAUAAUGUAUCUAAAAGCAAGGGAAAAAGAAAGGAAGGAAAGGAUGUGAUAGCUAUUUUUCCACUAUAAUUAAAUUACCAUUAUACUAGUCUCUAGACUCGUGCUAUGCACGCGAAAAUAGGCUUGUGAAAUAGCUUUUUUUCCACUAUAAUGUAUCCUAGAAAUAUACUUGAUCAUUAUAAGAAUAAGGGCACGCAUGACAACCAUUCUAUUCUUAUUCUAGAACAAUUUUUCUAUUCUAAACUUAUUUUCUAGAACAUAUGCAAUUUCAUUUUUUUAUUUUUAGAAUAAAUUUUUAGUCCAAAAAUUGGUUUAGAACAAAAAUAAGAAGCAAAGUUUUUUGCUUCUCUAUUUCUAAAACAAAAUUGAAAAAUAAACCAUUUUUAUUGCUCGUUCUCUAUACUAGUCGGCCACUCACUGGCCCCCCACCACCACCAAUUGUUAGUUGCCGUUGUUCACUGCCGGUCAUUGGUUGCCGCCGUUCGUUGGUCUCUGGUCACCAGUCACCACCAUUCGCCAUUCGCCACCGCCACCACCAUCUGCCACCUCCUGGGAAGGAUGAAUUUGUGUCAUUAUCAAACGAAAUUCUAUUUUGGAAAUAGAAAUUUUGCGUCAUUAUUGAAUACGAAUUUUUGCUCAAAAACUAGUUAGUUAAGCUUAAAAGGGCAUUUGGUUUCUCGGGUUACUGUUCACGGUUCUCUCUUCUUGGGCAUCUGGUUACUGUUUCUACUGUAAUCCAAGCUGCUGAUUCCAGGCGUGUUGGCCGUUCGUUGGGCCAACUUUUUGGGGGAAAGUGACGCCUCUUGCCUCUCUUUCAAACCCCCGGCUUCGUCUCCUGAUACGUAUCCUCUCCUCGAUUCGCUUGGCUAUCGAUGGCUAGGGUUCUGCCCGCCUACUCGCUGCUGUGAUUCGUGAGUUGAGAUGGAUACGGAGUUGAGGAGGGAUUGAAAUGAGGAGAAGGGGACAAGUUCCCAUGGUGGGUUUCCCAUUCUGACUGAGGAAACUUUGUUGAUGACUGGUAUGGGAGGAAAUUCGGGUUUGGACUCUGCUCCGUCUGGUCCGAUCGAAGCGCGAGUUCCUCGCACAAGUGGUGGGGCGCGACCUGUCCAGCGAGGAAGGUCCCGCUCAGCUAAGCCUCAGGGCAGGGAAACUGCCAAGAAUUCAUUAGGGAAAUCGUGGGUUGCGGUGGCAAGAACCGUGGCCAAGGGCUACGAUUUGGUGUAUACUCCACCGACUAUGGUUAACAAUAGACCUGUGAUUGAGAUCACUGAUCAAGAUCUAGAAGCUGCAGAUCCCAAGAUGUUUGAAUGCUUAAUGGGCUACUUCAUUGGUCGUCGAAUGCCUUUUAAGGUAGUUGAGGAGGCUAUGAAGAAAAUGUGGGGGCCGAACCUUACUGAAGUCAUGUCAAAUGGCAAAGGUCUCUUUAUGUUUCGCAUUCCUGAUAGGGAAUUCCGUUGAAGCGUGCUUGAAAGUGGUCGGUUGACGGUUGCUAGAAUACCACUUGUGCUGCAGCAAUGGACCCCUGGUCUUGAGCUGAGAAGGGAGACCCACCGUGUCGUUCCUGUUUGGGUUAGACUAUUGAACAUCCCCUUUUCGUGUUGGUCCGCCCACUUCAUUGGGAGAGUUGCAAGUGAACAGAGCAGGUGAACAGCCUUACCUUUGCUAGGUCUGCAUCGAAAUUACUGCUGAUCAACCUGAUUGUAAACUGAUUGAGACAACCCAUAAUGGUACGAAGUGUGAAAUAUGAGUGGAGUUUGAGUGGCGACCCACUGCCUGUGUUGAAUGUGGCAUUUUUGGCCACAAUUGUGCAGCGGCUAUUAGGACUGGUGGACCUGGAACAUAACGUGUUGAUGCUGGUCCUUCUUCAAAGGAAUCUGAACCUCAUAGCAAGGCUGCAAGUGGAAAUAUCACACAGCAAAUCAGACCAUCUUCGGUGGCGUCUGAGGAUCAAGGGGGAAGGUCUUCGGGUGCGCCGUUGGUCCCUUUUCCGGAAUCUGCAAUGGAUGCAGGAUAGACUAGGAGCUCCUUUGGUGGUUCCCCUCCUCUUGUUCAGCAGGUUGCAGAUCUGGAGGUACCUCUUCCAUCGCACCAAAGUGACCUUGCUCAACAUGGGAAUCAGGUCAAAGGCAAGGAGAAGGAGCAGAAGUCGUAGAACUUGAAUACUUCGUUGACACCAUACUCGGAGGCGAGGCAGCCUUGCAACCUGAAGGAAGCUGUACCUGGACAAAAGCCUCCUAAAGUCCCUGCAAAAGUUAGUUCUAGCCUUUCCUCUCAGGCUUCUGACUUGGCACCGGAUGCUGUUAUGCCACCUGGAGACCAGGAAGAUGAGACCAGCAAUAUUUCAUCUAAUGAAGACGGUGGCCACACGCCUAGACCCGCUCCUUCGAGUGGCCUUUCGGAACCUACUGGGGCUGGUUCGAGCCAAGAUCAGCUUCUCCUUUUGUUGCCUGACCCGCUGGGACCUUCUCCUACGGAGGACUCGAAAGCGACUAGAAGUAGGCGCAGGGGCGCCAAGCGGAGGUAAUUCUCUCCUUUUGCUGUCUAUGUUUUUUGGUUUUUGGAAUGUUAGAGGUAUUAUGAACCCUGUUAGAAGGGCGGAGAUUAGAAAGUUUGCUAUUGCAAAUAAGCUUUGCCUUAUUGGGCUUUUUGAAACUAAAGUUCCAGAGCCUUUGUUUGGUUCCAUAUCUUCCAAUAUUUUGAGAGGCUGGAAUUGGAUUGCGAACUAUGAUUUUGCUCCGCGCAGUAGAGUUUGGAUUGGAUGGGAUCCAGCUACCGUCAGUUUUGAGUUGAUCUCUUCGAAUGACCAAGCCAUCCAUGGGUGCUUGAAGGGGUUAUCUUCUAAUUUUACUUGCUGUGUUUCCGCUAUCUAUGGAGAGCAUUCCUUUGUGCGGCGGAGGACUCUUUGGUCUGAUCUUAUCAAUUGUGACGAUCUUUUUCAAGACUAUGCCUGGAUAGUAGCCGGAGAUUUUAAUGCAAUCAAGGACCCUUCUGAUCGCGUUGGUAGCUCUAAUGCCUGGAUCCUCUGUUUUGAUGAUUUCAAGUUAUGUCUGGACCAAACGGAACUUGAGGACCUCAGGUACUCUGGCCUUCGGUUUACCUGGUCGACCUUGGCGGGUGCGAAUAGGAAGAUGCGAAAAAUUGACAGAGUUCUUGUCAACUCUAAAUGGAGAAUGGACUUUUCAUACUCGGAGGCGUUGUUUCUCAAUCCUGGAAUUUCUGAUCAUACUCCUAUGGUUGUCAGGGUUGUGGAUCCGCGUCCAAGGAGGAAGCCUUUUAAGUACUUUGAUUUUUGGGUUGAUCACCUAGACUUCCAUUCUACGGUCUUACAGGUGUGGGAUAGUCAAGUUUGGGGAGUUCCCAUGUUUAAACUAGUUUCGAAGCUGAAAUUGUUGAAAUCUCGCCUCAAGGAUCUUAAUCUGGAGGCUUUCUCGGAUAUUUCUCUGAGAACUCUUGAAGCGAGGGAAGCCUUGCGUUCUACUCAACAUCUCCUUCAGUUGGAUCCUGAAAAUAUUCCACUAGCUGAGAUUGAAAAAGGGCAGUGCCGUGCUUUUAUAGACCUUCAUGGUCAAGAGGAAUCGUUCUAUAAGCAAAAAUCAAGAAUUAGAUGGCUGAAGGAAGGAGAUCGCAACACGAGAUUCUUCCACAAUUGUGUCAAAGCUAGACAUCUCAAUAACCGUAUCCUCUCUGUCAAAGACACUGCAGGUACGGUCGUCUCGGACCUUGAUUUGGUGCCUCAAGUUUUUCUAUCUUUCUUUUCGGAUCUACUUGCUCCUCGAGCUGGCUUAGCUAAGCCUGAUCUUCAAGAGCUUACUUCUCUUAUUCGAAAGCCACUUUCCGAUAGCCAGGUUUAUUCCCUAGCUUCUCCUGUCUCUGAUUUGGAAGUUAAGAAGACCUUGUUCUCGCUUGCGAAGGGAAAAGCCCCUGGUCCAGAUGGGUUUACAGCAGAAUUCUUUAAAAGUAACUGGGAUAUCGUAGGCCCUUUAGUUAUAGAGGCUGUGAAAGAUUUUUUCUCCUCAGGUUGUCUUCUUAAAGAAGUUAAUGCGACUAUCCUAGCUCUAAUUCCUAAGGUGCUGAAUGCUUGUGAAGUAAACGACUUCAGACCGAUUGCUUGCUGCAAUACUAUCUAUAAGCUUAUCACCAAGAUCUUGGCCAAUAGAAUUGCGCCUGUACUUCAGGAUAUUGUAAACCCGUCCCAAAAUGCGUUUGUAAAAGGAAGAAGAAUAAGGGAUAAUAUCUUAUUGGCUCAAGAGCUGUUUGCAGGCUUCCACCUAGACCCAUACCUCCCAAGAUGUGCGUUCAAAGUGGAUUUUCGCAAGGCCUAUGACACUGUGGACUGGGAUUUCCUAGAGCUUACUCUUACGGCCUUCCGGUUUCCUCCGUGGAUUAUUCGUCGGAUUAUGGCUUGUGUACGCACACCCAGGUUCUCUAUCUCUAUUAAUGGGGAGUUUCAUGGCUUCUUCCCAGGAGGUAGAGGCCUUAGGCAAGGCGACCCAAUGUCUCCUUAUUUAUUUACAUUGAUCAUGGAAAUCUUCUCGGGAAUAUUGAACCAAAGGUCUUCGACUAAAGACUUUAAAUAUUAUUGGAGAUGUAAGUCUCCUAAGCUUACUCAUCUGUUUUUUGCAAACGAUGUGUUCCUCUUUUGCCAAGCAGAUUGGAAAUCGGCUGUGAUCCUCAAAAGAAGCCUUGACAUUUUCUCUUCAUGGAGUGGUCUUCUCCCUAACAAAAAUAAGAGCGACAUCUUUCUUUCGGGAGGCAAUCUUGCUUUGUGCAACAGAAUCCUCAUAGCAUUUGGUUUUCAGGAAGGUAAACUCCCGAUUCGGUACCUUGGAGUGCCGAUUAUCUCAAAGAGGUUGAGUAAGGCUGACUGUACUCAGUUAAUUGACCGCAUUACCGCGCGAGCCCGCUGUUGGUCCCACAGGUUCCUCUCUUUUGCCGGGAGACUUCAGCUCAUAAGGUCAGUGCUUCACGCUAUUCAGUCUUUUUGGGCUAGUGUCUUCACUUUGCCCUCCUCGGUUAUCCUGGGAAUUGAAAGCAUUCUUCGUAGAUUUCUUUGGAAAGGCACCUCCUUGGAUAAGGGAGGUGCUAAAGUCUCAUGGGCGGAUGUUUGUUUGCCUAAGGAGGAAGGGGGCCUGGGUAUUCGGUCUAUCAAAGAUUGUAACAAAGCCUCAAUGAUGAAAUUCAUUUGGAUCCUCUUUACGGAUAAGGAAUCUCUGUGGUGCCGUUGGAUCCACUCCAACUUUUUAAAGAAACAUAACUUCUGGGUUGCCCCUCAGCCUUCGGUUUGUGCAUGGAGUUGGAAGAAGAUCCUUCAACUUCGGGGCGGUUGUAGACAAUCCUUCGGUUGGGAGGUCGGUGACAGCCAAUCUAUCUCAUUGUGGUUCGAUAGCUGGUUGCCUUGUGGCCCUCUUCAUUUACAAGUUCCUCAAUCUUUUUAGUUGGACCCCGACGUUCCAGCAAAGGCAACUGUGGCUUCUUUAUAUUCUUGUGCGGGAAGAUCCUGUAAAUUGCGGUUGGAGAAUUGUGGUUUCUCGCUUCCUCCUCUUUCGGUUGAUAGCGAUCGUUUUGUGUGGUGUCAAGAUUCUUCGGGGGCCUUCUCCAUAGCUUUUGCUUGGAAUGCCAUCAGAGCUUCUAAAGCCAAAGCACCUUGGACUUCUUUUGUGUGGGAUAAAUUUAGCCCCUCGGUUUCAAUUCCUCUUGUGGCUUAUUACUAAAAACUGCUUGCCAACGCAGUCACUUCUUCUCUCAUAUGGAAGGAUCGAUUACUCGGUUUGCACAUUUUGUAAUACUUAGCCUGACUCGACUAACCAUUUGUACUUUGAGUGUAAUAUUUUGAAUACCGUUAUUUACUUUUGGGCAACUAGGUGCAAUUUGCCGUGGAAGAACGGCACCUGGGCAGAAAACCUUGCUUGGGCUAUGAAAUUCCUUACUGGUAAAGACUUCUUUCAUAGUCUCUCCCGCUAUUCCUUUGGAGCUCUUUGCUAUCUAAUUUGGAAGAAGAGAAAUGCUAUGAUUUUUCAAGGGGAAUCUCUUGAUAUUCCCGCUUUGAAGAACCAUUUGAUAAAGAUGGUUAAAGAUAAAGCAAUUACAUACAAGGAUGUCCCUGACACUCAAAGGAAUCGGCAUCUUCAGAGGGGUUGGGAGCUUGACCCAAUUAUCUUCACUUAACCCUUUGGGGUUUCUAUCCUUUUGAUCCUGCUAGGUCGUCUUCAGCACGGAUGUUCUGGGCUUCGUCCAUGGAGAUCUGGUUGCUGAAUCUGGUGGCUGGGCUGUGUCUGUUGUUUGCGCUCUUUCUGUCCUUGCCCUUUGGGGCUUUUGCGCGGCUCCCUUCCACUCUUUUGUUCACAUUUAGAGUGUAAGUUUUGGUGCCGUUUGUGUACAUUUUUCCUUUGCUUAUCAAUAUAUUCUUGCCUUUACCAAAAAAAAAAAUUUUGCUCAAAAACUUCUCCAGAAAUAAUAAUAGAAAAACCUAUUUAUCUUUCAGAAAUCAAUUUCUAACUAGAAUAGUUAUUAUUCAUGCGCUAAGAGAUUUUGGUAAUAUUGAAAAAAAAAAUGCCUCUUGAAUUAACUUAGAAAACUUUUAGUUUGAUUGAAUUCAAAAAAAAAAAAAACUUAUUCAAAAAAACGGAAAGAUAAAUGUCACUUAUGAAGAGCAUCAUAUGUUAGCCAUUCAUUGAAAGUACUUUAGUACACUAAUUUACAUUUAUCAAAUAAGAUAACUUAGUAUAUGUGAUUUAGAUUGAUGACGAUAGAUAUUUGAUUUUGUAAGCUUCACCCUAAGCUCUAAGAAAUUAUGCUUUUUUUUGUUUUAUCAAGCACAUAAAAAAUGUGCUUUUUAAUAACUUAUGAACCUUAAUAAAAAAAUAAUAAAUUUAAUAUGGGAUGCUCAUGUUUUUUACUCAUUUUCUUUAACUUUUGGUCUUACUAUUUGUUAAAUUAGAAAACUUAUUGGUAUUGAUGUACCCAAAGGCAAGUAUAACGGUGGCUAGUUUUGUCUUGUGGCUGAAAAUUGGGACAUUUUUACGAGACAUUUGGGCCAGGAGUGAAAGCUGGGGGCUUUUUGAGGAAAACGCCAAUGCCAUUUAAAUCAUCUUUUAUUUUUCAAGGAAAAUAGUGUGUUGACAAUAAAAGAAGUAUCUGUUCACAAUUUUUUAAAAAUAUCCAUUUUAAUAAGAUAUGUUGUUUUAAUGUAUCAUCUUUAUUUUCACUUUAUACUAUAUUUUCCCCAUCAAUAUAAAGAAGAGUACUAAGUACAUUUUAUUCAAAUAAUUAAAUAAGCCAUAAUAUUCAAUUGUUAGAGCCGCAAUUUUUUUACCCAUUGUUUGAAGUAUUUGCAUCCAAUGAACUUUUCUUUUUUCUUUUUUUCCAAAUCUGCGUUUUAGAAAAUGAUAAGGGAAAUGAUUUCUCUUACCAUCAAAUUAAUGAGAAUGCAUAAAAUCAUCUUCCCAAUAGGAAUAUUUUUCGACCAAAUUGGCUUUUUAUCCUAUUGAUACUAAAAUUCCAAGGGUCAAUUUGAGAUUUUUAGUGAUAAAAAAAUUAGUUUAGAAUAAAUUUGUUACAGAUAUGUAUCAAUUUGGGAUUUCUAAUGAUAAAAAAAAUUAGUUUGGGUUAUAUUUAUCAUAUGUGUAUCAAUUUAGGGUUUUUUGUAAUAUUAACCCUCAAUUAAAAAUGUUUUACAAUUAUGCUUAUUGUUCAUCAAUCUAAAAAUACGACAAUAACAAUCAAUCUAUAAUAAACUAGUGGCUUUUUAACAACAUAAUCGAUGGUAUUUUCAAUUAUUAUCAUGACUUUUGAUAAGUUAAUUGUGAUUUUAGGAUAAUUUAUUUUCCUAAAUGAAUUAUAAUGUGUAUUUGUAUAUUGUCUUAAAUUCAUUAGAAUCAAUAUCCCAUUCUACUUCCACUAUACAUUUCUCAUAACAAAGCAAAAGAACCUUCAUUAUAUCCAUCCUGUAAACUUAAUAAAUAGAAAGUUAUCUCAUUCCGUUUUCAUUGUACCAAACACAAAUUCGCUUGGGCAUCGAACUCUGUAGGAUGCCGCAGAUUAAAGACCAUGUGUGCCUUGUGCGUCUCCAGACAAAUUUGAAAAAAAAAAAGAAUUUAAUUUGCAAGGAAAAGUUUAAGGAUCCCGGCGUACAUUUUGCCGAAGUUUCAACUUUAUUGGUGUUCAUAUAUAUAUAUAUCCGUCUGACAACGGUCGACAGGUUAAAAAGGUCCCUAAGCAUGGAUGAAAAAGAAAAGAAAAGAAAAGAAAAAAAGUCAAAAAAAAAGCGUCGCAGAAGGAGGGAGCACGUCCUAUGUGCCCGCCUUUCCAGGCAAACAGCGUCACCAAAGGAGAGGGAGCAUGUGCCCUUAGCCCUGCCUUCCCAGACAGACGGUGAAGAUCUCCGAACUUGCUUCCUUGAGAUUGGAGGUCCUGAGAAACUUUGUGUUGAGAUCAACGAGAUAAAUUAUAACCAGUCCUACCGGCUUUAAGUUGCCGUAAGAGUUCUGCCUGUCCAGUAACUUUCGGCUUCAUAGAGCUCAGACAUCUGCUUUUGCUGAACUGGUGCGACUCUGGUGCUUCAUUUUCUCUGCGAUUGGUUGCGAUGCAAGGGGCGACUAUGAAGUGUUCUUGAGCUAUAGAGGACCAGACUCGCGUGCAGGCUUCACCGAUUUUCUCUAUACCUACCUCGUAGAUUUAGGAGUUCGUACAUUCAAAGAUGACGAAGAUCUCCGCAUCAGUAAAGAGUUCGGCCCCGAACUAAUCCAAGCGAUUGAGCAAUCGAAGAUCUCCAUACUCAUCCUCUCUAAAGGUUAUGUUUCUAGUGUAUGGUGUCUUAAGGAGUUGACCCAAAUGGUGGAGUGUAGGAAACGGAAGGUCAGAUAAUUUUGCCCAUCUUCUACAAUGUCAAACCAUCCAUGGUUCGAGACCAAACCGGAUGUUAUGGUGAGGCCAUUUCUUUGCACAAGCAGCGAUAUGACGAUGAGACCGUCCGACUGUGGACGGCUGCUCUCCGCAAGGUUACAGAAUUGCGGGGAUUCGACCUCACAGCUAACAGGUACCUAAUUAUCUUCCACCGUUGACGAACGCCAUAAUACAGGAGACCAUGAAAUUUAAGUACAAACCUUUGCAUCUCAUGGCACCGUGCUUUUGUCUGGGUCGAUUUAGUAAAAAUGUGUACCACUAAUUGCACGGCCUGUUUGCUGAUUGCUGUAUGAUAGUUUUCGAAAGGAGAGCGUGAACUUUUUUAUACAACUACUUCAGAGUUCAGACAUUAUUGGACUUACAUUAAUCUUUGUGCAUGUGUCUUGUGCACAUGUGCACACAUUGAUACAGUGUUCCCAGAGAAGCUUCAUUCGCCAAGAAAGCUGUCGAAUACGUGUUGAGUAUAUUGAAGAGGAGAAACUUUGUUGGAAUCGAGCAUCAUGUGGAGAGAGUUAUGGAAUUACUAAAUGUGGAAUCUAGUGAUGUUCACGUAGUUGGAAUACAUGGCAUAGGGGGCACUGGGAAGACAACGAUUGCAAAGUUAAUCUACAAAAAGAUAUUUCAUCUCUUUGAUAGCUUUAGCUUUCUGGAGAGCGUUAGGGAAAAUGCAAAAAAACCAGGAAGCUUAGUCAAUUUGCAAGGUCAGUUGAUUUCUGACCUUCUAGGUGCAAUGCAUAGACAAAUUCCUUCUGUUAAUGAUGGGAUUAAGUCCAUUAGAAGCAUAUUCUUCCACAAGAAACUUCUCAUUGUUCUCGAUGAUAUUGAACCAAGCUUGGAACUUGCAGAAAUUAUAGAAAGUCUUGAUUGGUUAGGCUCUGGAAGCAGGAUCAUAAUUACCACCAGAGACGAACAAGCUUUAAAUGAGCUUGGAGUGUCCCUGAAAUAUAAGGUCGGGGGAAUGCAACCACAGGAAGCCCUUAAACUUUUCCAUGUCCAUGCCUUCAGGGAGAAAUCUGCUCCAGAUGACUUUGCUACUCUGUCCGAAAGAAUAGUAUCAACUAUUGACCGCCUUCCUCUGACUAUUGAGGUUGUCGGGUCGUAUCUAUUUUCUAAAAGCAAGGAAGUGUGGACACAAACAUUAGACGAGUUGGAAAACGUACCUGAGCUGCAGGUUCAACAGAAUUUGAUGGUAAUCAUCAAAGCAUUACCUGAGAAGCAAAGACAGAUAUUUUUGGACAUUGCUUGUUUCUUCAUUGGAGAGUACAAAAGUGUUGCAUGCCACCUAUGGUCUGACCAUGAUUCUGCUGGCGAACUGGAAUUAGAGGUGCUCGUCCUCUGGUCUAUUGUUAAGAUUGAAAAUGAUAAGCUGUGGAUGCAUGAUCAACUUCGAGACCUAGGUAGGAAUAUCCUCCAGCGGGAAUAUUCUGAAACUGGAAAGCGCAGUAGAUUGUGGAUUCACGAGGAAGCCUUGGAUGUGCUGAUGAAGGAAAAAGUAAGAUCCAAGUUCAUAAUGUACUUGUUCAUAACUGCUUUUACCUUUGAUUGUAUGCCUUACAAAUCGCGUUCCUUUUUUCAUGGAGAAAAGAUACCAUCAGCACUAAUAAAAUGAUUAUUUUCGUUUGAAGCCUCUAACUUCACACAAUUUUGUGGGAAAAUGCUAAGUUCCGUUGGUAAUCCUGCAUUCCACAUGUAGGGAACGGAAAGUGUUGAAGGUGUUCUUCUCAAAUUCGAAAAUCGGUCAAAAUGCAGUUUUAUACCAGCACAUUUUGCGAGUACAUGGAACAUGAGAUUCCUUCGAUUGGAUCAGGCGAACCUCGAAGGAAAUUUUGAGCGGCUUCUGUCAAGUUUAAGAUGGCUACAUUGGCAAGGCUGUCCUCGGAAUCUUCAUGCUGUAAAUUUGGAUUUGAAAAAGUUGGUUAUUCUAGAUCUUUCCUGGAGCAAGGUCAAUGAAAAAUGGAAUGGUUGGUGUGAAAUUGAGGUAGAAAAGUAUAUUAUUUUUAAUUUCAUUUGUUGAAUGGUUACGGAAAUGUUAACUUUUUUGUCCUCCUAUUUUCUGACAGAAAGCAAAGAAUUUGAAAGUUUUGAACCUCACUGGUUGUGUUGACUUGAUCAGAACUCCAGACUUAUCUUAUUACAAACGUUUAGAGAGAUUGAUUCUUGAAAGGUGCAUUCGGCUGGUUGAAAUCUGUUCAUCAGUAAAAAGUCUAGAGAGCUUGGUUUCGCUGAACAAGAGGUUUUGCAUUGAACUCAAUAAGUUGCCUAAAGAGAUGGGUUCCCUCAUAUCCUUGGAGGAGAUUCUUAUAGAUGGAACUGCUGUUCAAGAAAUUCCUGCCUCCAUUGGUCAUUUGCAAAAUCUUGGAAGAUUCAGUGCCUGCAACUGUCUUUCAUUGAUCCAGCUGCCUGAAUCAAUUGGCCAUGUAGAAUCUUUGAGAGUCCUUGCAUUGAAUGGUACCAAAAUAGCUAUACUUCCUCUGUCUGGAGAGUUACAAGUGCUACAACACUUGUCAAUAAAUCAUUGUAGGUCGAUAUUGAAGUUACCAACAUCCUUGGGGACUUUGGCUUCAAUGACCAAACUUGAUCUAUCAAGCACUGCAAUUGUCGAAUUACUUGAUGAUGCCAGUAAGUUAAAUCUUCUAACAGUACUCAAAAUUGAUUUUACUUUUGUAAGAAAGCUGCCUAGCGCUAUAUGGACAUUGAAGAGGCUUGAAGAGCUACACGCUUCAAGAUGUCGAAGUUUGGAUGGGGAAAUUCCUAGGGAUAUUGAGAUGCUUUCUGCAUUAAAGGUCUUGAGGCUUGGAUACUCUCAGAUUUGUGGUCUACCAGAUAGCAUUUCUAGACUUCCCAAUCUCCAAACACUUGAUCUACUUCAUUGUGACCAGCUCCGUGAAGUGCCCAAGCUUCCUCCUAGUUUAAUAAGCCUAUUCGUCAAUUCUAAAUUGAUGCACAGGAUCCCAAACAUCGGUAACCUGGUUAAGUUGGGAGAGUUAUUCUUGGCUGAUGGGUCCCAGGAGCCAGUAUUGCCUAUUGAAAGUCAAAUUGAGUUGAAACGAUGCACUGAUUUGCAGCUUUGGAGUUUGUUAGAGCUAAAGAUAUUGCAGCUAUCUGUGUUAAAGAUCCAACCUGUUGCGUUGCAUUACCUUAUUAAGCUCAGGAAGCUCUCCCUUUGCUGCAUUCACUUGGAAGAGCUACCACAACUUCCUCCAGGUUUGUCCACUCUAUCACUUCACCAUUACAAGUUGUGGACAGGAUUGCCAAAUCUUUCGCAUUUGGAGUUUCUAUCAGAAUUCGAGCUUUUCAACUGUGCGGUAAAAGAAGUUGCAGGCCUCGGGGAGUUCAAAUCCUUGCGAGUUUUCAGAAUAUCUCACUGUAACUUGCAGCGGCUGGAUGAACUGGAGAACUCAAUAUUUUUAGCAUCAUUGAAUGUAUCAUACUGUCGAAGUCUUGAGAAACUACCCAAUUUAUCAAAUCUAAAGAUGCUGAAAGACAUUAAAAUCAAGGACUGUCCGAAGAUUCCUGAUAUUAGAAGUGUCGAACACCUGAAAUCCUUGGAGAAGCUAAGCAGUUCAACAACUGAGGCAGAAAGCUCAUCCGAGGUAACCAACUCUGCUGAUUUUCCCACUGGACUGCAUAGAUGGAGUAUGGCACUUGAUAAGCACGUGUCAUGUCUGGAAUUUUUAUAAACAUGAAUGGAUUGCUUAAGAAUAACAAAAGUGCAUGACAAGAUGAAUUAAGAUCUACAGGAUAUUUCUCCCAUUAAAACAUGCAGAAUAAUUUUUCAAGUGAAAUUUGGGUCAUCUAGACUUUAUAUUUCUUUCAUCUUUUUUUAAGGGAAGAUAGGUGCAAAUAUGUAAGGACUCCAAUUGCUUUUCUUCUUUAAAAGGGCUUUUUUUUUUUACUUUUCUUUAGUUUUUUUCUGCAAUAUAGAAAUAAAGAACUUCUAUUUGUGCCAGUUAGUUUAAUCAUGCUUUCCGGAGGUGUUGCUACGUAUUCAAUUCAGACCUGUGAACGCUUUGGUAUCUUAAACUUUGAUGUGGUGUGGAAAAGCGCUGACCACUGUACAGUAUCUUAAGCCUUACGCAAGUUAAUUCUUAAUCCAAGCUGUGAAUAAAUUGGGAUGAGUGGCUCAUAGAAGGUAUUCCAUUCUCCAAACUGUUCUCUUGCCAAUCUUGUCCGACAAGCUAUUCUUCCAAGGACACAGUCUGAUCAAUACUGUCAAUGAAAUCUCAAAAUUUGUAUGGUCUCUUUUCACAUUCAGUGAUUUUGAAUCUAAGCAUUGAUCUUUAAAACCAUUUUGACAGAUGGUAGAAGUCGAUGCACUGAAUACAUGCUUGCACAAGUUUUGUCACAGGUGGAGUUUAGCAAACCAGCUAAUACCGAACAUUCUUCCAUUCAGGGUGUCAAACGCAAACACAAAGGUAUGCUCUACAUUGAGAUUGUCAAGUCUGAAUUCGUUCUAUAAGAUUAAGCAUGAGUUCAACCUUGAAAUGUAAACUCUUUUAGAGGUCAUGGCUAGAAGGCUGCCAGACCAUACAAUAAAUCUUUUCCUUAACUAUUGCUCCUUUUGCUAUAGUAAGUACGUAUGAUCCUUAAGACUAUAGUCUACGAGAGCACACAAACAUCAUCAGCUCCUUUUGUUCUCAAUCAUUUUACGCUUGGAAAUUGCAUUUUAUCUAUCUAUUUAAUGAUGCGAGGUUGCUAUUUGACACUUGUCUCCUAUCACAAUACAUGAUUGAUCACCUCUUUUGUCUGACAUUGUUUUUCCAACCGAUACAUCAGAGAAGGAUGAUGGCAAAGCUUUCCCUAACGAUGAUGAAGAUGAGGAUGAAGAUAAAAUUACAGAAAGGAAGAAUAAUAAAACUGCUAAAUGCAUUGCCUUGGAGGUUUCUCACGAGCCCACUCUUCCACUUAAAGUACGAACAAAUUCCUCCAAGUCUCACGAGUCAAUCACUGAAACUGUGGGCGCUUCUUCUAACUUGCAAAGUUCUCCCUCUGUUGGAGGUUCAUCAACCACGUGGGCUAGAGCGAACGUAAAGCUACUGACGUCUUCCUUUCUAUUCCGAUUGACUCUGUCAAUGUUAAUUUUAUAUUUCUUUCUGGCCGUUACUUCCAAAUUCAACCGUCAGUUGAUUUUCAGAACCAAACCAAUACACUCUUUUCCAUAUAAAUCAGACUUAUUUGAUGUUAAGCCUGAUAAGGAUUCCAGUCUGCCAGUGGAUCUGACAGGGACCGAUACUACUGGCAUCUCUCCAACGACGGAGCAAGGUGAUAUGCCAUUUGACAGGGCAUCGACUAUCCCUUCUUUGGCAACAAUUGUUCCUGCUUUGCCUCCUCCUGCUGCUCGACCGAAGCCGUCAUCAGCAACAGAUGAAGACAGAACCUCUAUUAAUGCUGAGGCAGAUUUAUAUGGUGACGAUGAGGAGUCUCUUUUCUUGAAGAUUGAGUCUCUGUUGAGUGGCGACACAGGAAAGCAAAAUACUGGUGCAGGGAUGUCACGGUCAAGUCAAUCUGAUCUUCAAGCAUACCAGAAAGCAUCACAAGAGGUGGAAAAUAUAAUGAGUCAGGGGCUCCUGGCAAUUAUGUUUAAUCCCAAGCUACUUGGCCAUUUGCAAGAAUUAUUAAACUUCUUAGUUGAACACGAGACGCCAGAGGUCUCUACUUUUGGACAUGUCUAUCUCAAAUUGCAGCACUUCAUUCAGUCUGCAGGCGACUCCCUCUCUUCCCAACGAAAGAUCCUUACAGAAUGUGAGAGGUUUGAAAGAGAGUUCAAAAAGGAAAAUAAUUUUUUGGAGUAUGACAAGGAUGAAGUUCUUUUGCUCAAGCAGCAAAUUGAAGAAACGGCUAAGAGUGUGGCUGACAAUGAGCAAUUUAUUGCCAAACUUCAAGCAGAGAUUGAGGCACGCAAGCUCCGACUUGAAAAUGCGAAGUCAGAACUGUCAUCAUUGUUGACAAAGAGAUCAGAGAAAGUUAAGGAACUGAAGACUAUGUUCAAGCGGGUCCUUAGUAUGAAGAGCGAGAAUCCAAGCAUGGAAAAGAAGAGAAAUCAAGCUGAGGAAACGAUAGGCAAAAUCAAUGUAGAGUGGAACGAAUUGCAUGCAAAUAUUAAAGGCCGAUUGGCCUCUAAGUAGGCUGGCACUCUUAACUUUCUUUUAUUUGAAUCUUCAUGUAUUGAACUUUUCCAUUCUAGCAGAAAACCGGUUUGGAGUUUCCAUCCUAGUUAUUUGUCAUUUCUGAAAGCGUGAAACAGAGUCUAUCGAAACAAAGAGAACACUUGCACAAGCGACUGCGCUUUGAAGGAAAACCAUUUGAGUAAGAGAAUUAGUGUGCUCACCUUGCAAACUCAGCAUGCCGCUCGGCUUGGUCUGCAGUCUUUGAAGGCUCCCUGUUGGAAGAUAUGCCGAAGAUCCACCAGAUUACGUCGGAUAUAUCUUUGAGAUUGUUAUUGAUUAUUUUGUAUCAAUCUAGGAUUAGAUCUAAUAUACUAGGAUUAGAUACGAUAUACUUCCUUUUUCAUUGAACAUCCUCUGUAUUAUUUAAUUCUCUUUGUACAUUGAAACAAUCAAUGAAGUGCACAGAAUACAUUCUCUCUCAUUCUCGAUAUCCUUUGUGAUUCCUCUUUAUUUUCUGACAUGGUAUCAAAGCAAGCGUUUCUUUUCUUCUUUUCUUCUGACUUUCGCAUCCUUUGAUUGCCGCCUGCUGACGCCUAAAUUUCGUUUUUUAAUUAAUUAAGUUUUUUAUUAUUUAUUUUGCCUUUUUCGGAUAACAAAACAAAUAAAAACAGCAAAAAAAGCAAAAGCAACCAGCCCCUUUUCUUUCCUUUUUUCCUCCACGCGGGCCUAGGGCCCGUCCCUCUUUUUCCCAAAUCCAACCCGGCCCCCUUUUCUUCUUCUUCUUCUUCCUUCUUCCAUCUUCCCCUAUGCCUCUGCAGCUCACGCGCAUAGAGGACACCGACGCACGAAGGACAACCUACGGCCGAGGAGAGUAGGCCGACGUCAAUCGGAGAGCAUAAGAUCUCGGGCGCCAUUAAUGCUGAGCAGGCUUCGCUGGAUAAGCUCAUAUGGGAUGCCGGUUCGACCGGCGGAGGCCGUUCGGCUUGCGAAGAUUGGCGGUCAAAGCUCCGUCGACUGGCCACCCCCUCACCUAUAAAUAGCAAGCCACAAGCUUCGUCGAAGGGCACGGCGAACUCGGAGAUCUUCCCUUGAGAGACUUCAGGGGAGAAUCAAAGAGCGAGCACGCGAGAGAUUGGGUCGCGAAGCUCAAACGACCUCCCUCCGAGAGACUUCAGGGGAGGUCGGCAGCAAGCGAGCCCGAGGAGGAGAGAUCCGAGUGGGUGGAGGUUGAGUGAGAGGGAAACUGGAGGAGGGGAGUUCUGAGCAGAGGAGGUUCGAGAUCUGUAAGGCGGGGGUUGCAAGAGAGGGUCGGCCAAGGUUCAUAUCUGCGGUUCUUGCUGCUGUCGUUGCCACCGGACGUUGUGCCGACGCCGUUGCCUCGACCAAGUCCCGACGUCGUUGCCUUGAAGGCUCACUGUCCUUCCCCCACGAAGCUGUUGCUAUGACCGAUCUGCCGAUGCCACGCCAGAUCUGGAAGCUGAGUGGCCGCCGUCAUUGCCCUGUCAUUGCCACCAGACGUUGUGCCGACGCCGUCGCCUCGACCAAGUCCCGAUGUCGUUGCCUUGAAGGCUCGCUGUCGUUCCCCCCGAAGCUAUUGCCGUGACCGAUCCGCCGACGCCACGCUAGAUCUGGAAGCUGGGUGGCCGCCGUCAUUGCCCCGUCACCACCACCGUUCGCCACCUCGUCACAGACAGGUAACAAUAGUCAUCACCGCCGCUGGUCACGUCGUCACUAUCGCAUUCCCUCUCUCGAACCGUGUCGCCACCGACCACACCAACACAGCCGCGUUGUCGCUCAUCCUCGCCGUCCUCCUAAGCGGUUUUUCACCAUCGUUGCCGCCAUCGUCGAGGUCAAGUCCGUCGUCGCCGCCGUCUACCCGGCGACGUCUCAGUCCCCCUCACCAGCGUCGCAAAAGAACGAAGGGGAAAGGAGGCCGGGAACCGGGUCGAUUCGCGGGUCCGUCCAACCCAGUUUCCUUAUUUCCGGGUAGGGUUUCCCCGGGUCGGACCUGCACUCGUCGGGCCGAUUUCUGAACUUGGGCCAGGUCAUUUUCAAAUAGCGAGCUGCUGGGCCGCGAUUAAAAAAGAAAAAAGAAAUGUCAGGCCUGCGUUGCAAGCCCAUCUGCGUUCUGGGCGAACGGCCCGAGUCAGACCCAACCCACGGACCUGAUCCGGGUCGGUUUUUCUAUUAUUUUAAAUAAUAUUUUAAUAAAUAAAUAAAAAUAAAUAAUUUAUUUUCAAAAAAUGAUUUAUUUUCGAAAAAUAUUUAAAAAAUAGUAAAAAAUAUUUUAUUUUCCGAAAAAUAAAACAAUAAAAAAUAUUUCAUAUUUUCCAAAAAAAAAUGCCAAAAAUCCAAAAAAAUGACAAAAAAAGACUUGUAUUUUCCAAAAAAUACCAAAAAAUCCAAAAAGUCCCCUUUAUGUCCAAAAAAAUAUAUAAAGACCCAAAAAAAAAUGUUUUUCCUCCCCACAAAUACAUGGAGAAUCCCUCAAAAAUCCAAAAAGCCUUAGGGCUUAAACAAGAUUAGGUACCAAAAGGUUAUUAGUGAUUAACUAGUGUAAUCAAGUCCCCGACCCUAAUUUCUCUGGUUGCGCAGGAGCAAGUAUUUCUCCCGAUAUUUCGUUUGGGUUUCUAAUCGACCCACCUCAAAUUGAUUAGUGGUGACUCCGUUUUAAAAUUAAUUUAUAGGUUAAAAACUUAGACUAUUAAAGUCGUGAAUUGGUGGACUUGGGAGAGUCCGGGCCUAAUAAAUUCAACCAAGCCAUUAGCCUCCAUCGGCGCCCGUACCCAAUUGCGGGCGCCGAAAAAAAGAGGUCACGACAGCUUGGCGACUUCACUGGGGAAUAUUUGAGGACUUAGGCCGUUUUAUCUUGUUUAAGCACUUUAAUGACUUGUUUUGUUUUUUAUCUUUAUACAGGUCAAUAGCUUAAAUGUUUAUUUGAAUUUUGGUUAAAAUAGAUUGUUUUGUGAUUAUAAACUAUUGUGCAUGCUUUACUAUUUUAGCACUACAUAUGGCACACACAACCCGGCCGUCUGACCUGGGCCGCCAUAGGAUAUUUAGGAUGGUGUUAAGAAAGAUACGGCUUCGGAUGCGAGACUACGUCAUAAGGUUAUCUUUCUUUUCCCCGAAUUUCUUUAGCCGAGGUUAAGAGGGUAUGCUGCUAAUGCGAGACUGCGACGGGCAUCACCUUUUUAAUUUCAACAAACCUUCUCAGUUAGAAAGCGAGCUGCACAUCCCAUGCGCAUGUCCUUGUGUUUGUCAUUUUUCUUUAAAAGCAAAGUAAUUUCUUUACUUUUACUCAGUCUUUUUAUUGGCCCAUGGCAAUCUAAGGUAGGUUUUUCGAGUCUCAGUUUAUAUGCGAUGGGAGGAGACGAUAUCCAGUUUAUUCCCACCCCUAAAGCAGAGCUCUUCAGAUGGUGGGGUCAAUUGGACCAAUUUGCCCAAGAGCGCGUGAAAACCAAAGUCGGCCAUCUCCUAUCAUUAUUCCAAAUCUCUGUUCAUCCUGAAGUCCUGCAGGCCAUGGCACAUUUCUGGUGCCCAAGGACAUCCACUUUUAUGUUCGGUGGGUUCGAGCUAACCCCAACUCUAGAGGAAUAUAGCAUCAUCACUGGACAGUCUCUUGAGAAUCAGCUUGUUAAGCCACCAAUAGGCAUUGACCCGUUGCGUGGGUUAGCACGGCUUUUAAGAACUGAAGUCCAUGUUGUGAGGCGAAUUCAUGAAAACAACCAUAACACCUGCCCACUAGCAUUUUUUAUUGCAUGUUUUGAAAAUCAACCCAUGACCCAAAAAAGUGAAAUUUUCCUUCUAGCCUUUUUCGGGUUCAUCAUUUUUCUCCAUCAAAGAAACGCCAUAAGUCCCUCAAUGGCAUGGGUGGUUGAUCAAGUUUUGAGAGGGCAAAACUGCGUCAACAUGAUUUUAGCCAAAAUGUUUUUGUCUCUUAAUCGUUUUAAAGAAAACACGGAAAAAAUCAUGCGAGCCUCCCCGGAAAUUUUGCAAGUUUGGUUCUUUUCUCACUUAAGCGAAUUUUGAUGCCUCAUGCAAUCAUCCGAAAAUGAUUUCGAAAAUCCAUUACAGAAGUUUGUGAUGCUAGAACCAUAUAUUCCCAACCAAAACUAUUUUAACUGGAUAAAUUUCUUAAGAGACCCCACUCCUGAGACAUUCCAAUGGUGUGAUGGUUGGUUUCGUGAAAAGAGAACUCGCUUUGCUUACAGACAAAGCCAUCCAAUUCCAUUGCUCGGCCUCACCGGUGGCACUCCCUAUUACCCAUAUAGGGUGGCUCGACAGUAUGGAGCACUUCAAGAAAUCCUGCCACUUUCCAGGAAGAAAAUACAUCCACUCCAUUUUACCCACCCAAGUCGUGACUAUGCAUUCGAGAUUGCCAUUGUCGAAAAGACAUGGAGCAAGUGCCAUCGCAAAAGAAUCGUAGUACCUGAAGGGCUUGAGGAAGAAGAAAAAGCCCACCACGCCUCUACAUCCUACAUCCACAACCAUCGUAUUCCGACAAAAUUGAAGCCAUCGGUCCCUCACCCAAUCAGCGAGAUUAGCCAGCACGAGCAAGCAGAGCUUAUGCAAAGGGAUUUGGGAAUAGACUAGAUACAUAUCUUAGAGCCAGUUCAAGGAAGCAGGCAUCCUCACAAGAACAAGGCUCCCCAUCGCAUAUAAAAUAGCAAUCAUGUGCCCCUUAGUGUUAAUAUCGUGAAAGUUUUGUCCCAUUGUUUAGGGACUUUUGUUUAAUAUUCAAUACUUCCUUCUGUCAUUUCAAUUUCAAGUUUUAGAUGUCAGAAGUCUGCGGUCUAUAAAAUCCUCUUUUGAUAAAUAAAAAAGCAGUUAGACCAUUGCCAUGGGUCAAUCUUUGUUUACUUUCGUACUCAUUCGUUGUUUUCGCGACGACAGGUAAUUAUGAAUCAUCGACUAUCAGCCACCCGCGAAUGGCCUCACGUAAUAGGGCCUGAUCAGAAUGAUGUACAAAAUCGCCUCGCCAACAUUGAAGACGGCGUAAGACAGAUGUCUAUUGUCCUUCGACAACUCUCGAGACAAAUGGAAUCCACUCAAGCUGAGCCCAACUCCGUAGUUGCUUUAAGCACCGUCAUGACACCCGUAAAUUUGCCAGAGAAUAACCAUCAUAGACAGUUUGAAAAUAUCAUGAAAAAGUUAAACCAACUGCAAGGGCAGAAUCCCAUGGACUUGUCCAAUUAUCUCGGCAUUAAGAUCCCUAAAGAGCUCAAAGCACCUAAAUGCGAAAGGUAUGCUGAUACCUCCCGCCCAGAGACCUACUUGCAGGCCUACCUGGUUCGAAAGAUGGUUCAAUUGUACCAAUCAAGCUUGACUGGCCCCGCCUUGCGAUGGUACAUUGUCAGGAAGAUUAGUCCCCUUAAGACCUGGAGGGAACUAAUUCAUGUUUUCCACCAAGAAUAUGAUAUUGAUAUCAACCCUGACAUCGCCUUGCCCUACGAAGAACCGAUGGUCGCGGAGCACGAGGAGCCGUUAGUUUGAUGAGAUAGGGGAAGAAGAUGUCAAUGAAGCCUCACAUGAUAAAUGGGCAACUGAGCAGCAUCCUAUUGCUGAAAAAUUUCCCACUGGGAAAAACAAGGAGCCUAUGUACGAAGUCAAAAACACAGAACCCGUUCAAAACCGGGGCAUGACAGGACAACUCCCCAAGCUUAUUGCAAGAGCUAGGGUUCAAAGAAUACCGACCCCUAUCAACCUAGAGAGGGAAGCAAAGAGUGAAGCUCCACUAUCUCUCACUUCCAUUGACAGAAUCAAACUGGCGAAACGAAUGGCCUUACUCAAAAGGUCUGGACCAGGAGCCAAGAAAAGAAAGCCUAAACAAAUCAAUUCAACAUCUACCACUGAGUAUAGGCGAAAUUUGAUAGCUGAUGAGCCAAUGCACCAAAUCUUCAAGCAUUCCCUGGAGUACAACCCUAAGGACUUCUAGUCCCUAGGAUACAAUCCCAAGGACUACCGGUGUUAUAUAGAUGAAAUCGGCCAUUCAUCGUAUAACUGCUUUCUACCCACACACAGGGUCAAAAGCCUGUUAGAAGAGGGAACAUUCGUCUUUAUCCACUAUGAUCCCAAUGAACUACUAAACUUGUCACCCGACCAUGAAGAUAACUUAAAUGCCUCAUCCUCGUUUGGUGAUUUUGACCCGGAAGAAAGCAAUGGGAUAAUCUCGGCAGAGUCCAGUUUUCCUAAAACAGAAAAAUUCAACACUACAACAAAUAUGCAAUGGGAAAACCAGUGGCCUAACCAUAAUACAUCAAGCCCACCUUGCACUCAUAGGAUCAUGACCCCUGGAGAGAUGUAGAUACCUAAUCUCCACAAGUAUAAUGGCACAACUUGCCCCGUGGCUCAUUUAAAAUAUCUACAUGCUGAAAUGAGUCGGUACUAUAGCCUAAUGUCAUUCACAACUCGGGCCUUCUAAGAAAGUCUUAUAGGGCCUGCAUUGCAAUGGUUCAUCAUGACAGAUAUCUACCUCAUGAGAGAUUGGAAUGAUCUAUCUUCUGCAUUCCUGCUUCAGUAUCAAAGCCAAAUUGGAAUUGAACUGCCUUGCGAGAACUUGGUUCACUUUAAAAGAAGACCAAUGGAAGAUUUUCGAGCAUAUGCAAGGAGGUGGAAGGCUUUUAUGAUGCAAACCUACCCUCAACUGGCCGAAGAAGAAAUGAUGAAGGUGUUCAUAGGAGCUUCACCUCACAAGUAUCGUUGUUGGUAACAUGGUUUGCACUUCCGUAGCUUCAAUGAAGUGAUCCUCUCAUGCGAAUACUUCGAGUCUACUAGAGGCGAGGAAUUCUCAGGCACUUGAUUUCAGAAUCAACACUAUCAAAGUGCUCCUUUUUCAUAGGAGUUUUCAUGGGUUUUGCUUGUUUUUAUAAUUUCAUGUUUCUUAUCAUGUCUAGUGUGCUACUAUUGCAUUUUCCAUUCCAGUAAUCUAAUGUACAGUUCUAAUAUUUUGUUUUAAGAACAUGAGGCGGUAUUCCAAACCAGUCCGGUGAUGCUAUCCAACCAUGAAAAAAAUAUCAUCCAAGGAGAAUAUUGAGGGCUAGGCUUCCUCAUGCUUUCUUCCCCCCAAAAAAAUAUAUACUUUUGAAAACCAAAAAUGUUUCAUUACCAAAAGCUUUCGUCAAAACAAGAUGUUAAAUUAUAUUUGUUUUUCUGACUCACUCCCUUCAUAUCUCAGAAUAUCAUCCAUGUUCCCUUUGACUUAGUGUGAUAUGGGGCAUUUGAAGCUAGCGCAUCAUGUGAACUCGCUAAAUUCGAAGACACCCUGCCAAGAAAAUGGGGGCAAAUAGAAAGAAUCAUCCCAUUUAAAAUAUGUAAGUUUAUUCUCUAAAUAUAAUUUUGAAAAUGAUAUCCUCUCUCUUCUAUUUACAGGAAACGAAAGAUACGACGUAAUAGGUACAGGCAUACGGUUGAAAUCAAGUCGUCCCCAAGAGCUCUGUGCACUCCACCUCACUCCUGCCCAACUCCUUCUCAAGCCGGAUCAAUAUCUUUUCCCCACAACGUGCCCAAGCAAUUAGAUGCUGUGAUUUCAUCAAUGGGAUUUCCAGCUUUGACAAGCCAAGAAGCACAGAAAAGGAAUUUCUUCUCUUGAAUUGGCUACUAUCAACAAGGAGAAAAUCUAGAUAGUUGAGGCAAUCUCUAGCCCCCUAUUUCAAAUGAUGACUAAUGGCCUAGAAACCUCACUUCGUACUCCAGACGCAUGCUCUCGCAAGAAGUAAUUGCCAUCAGAGAAUUGGAGGUUUUGAUUGUCCAUCUCAGAUUCCAUAAAAGCUUGAAGUACAUGAGUUUGCUCAAUGCUGUUAAUGGUCAUAUGGUCAAAGACAAAAUGCCACAGAAGGAAGGCGUUGAAGAUGAUUCAACGACCAUCAAUCAUGCAUACAUGGCCACAAAUGAGGAAGGCCAAUUGAAAGAAAUGUCAAACUAUGUCAAGAUGAAGAGGCUAUGAUUGACAUUCAAAUAUUCCUAGGGGUCAUCAAAUAUAAACUUUGGGGAAGAGUAAUUUGAUAUCGUUUCCAAUACUCCCAGUGUCUGAACUCACUUUUGACAUAUAUUCUCCUAUUGGCAGGAAGCAUCAGGAUUCAAGAGCCAAACUUGAUGGUUAGGUUUGGCAAAUCAAUAUUGGCCAAGCUAAUACAUGGAAAUGACUCGUAUCAAAUUCACCUGACUUCGUGUAAAAGGACAUGUCAUCCAGAAGCUGGUUUGGUUAAAUGAAAAAAAAAAAAGCGCACUACUGAUGCCACCGGUGCCUUAGCCUAGUGCAGGAGAAUAAUUGACCUAACGAAGCAAAAUACAUAGAACUUCAUGUCCCACUUGCACUUCAAGUCCAUCCAAUCGUCUGCAAACCAGUGAAGGGUAAUGUUGUAUCACUUCCGAGUUAUUCGACUCUUGAAAGAGCUUAUGACUAACAAGAUCCCUUUUAUCUGUUGCAGGAUCACUUGACCGUAAAAAAUGCGGAUUAUAAGGAGAGACAUGUCAAACUCCGAUAAGUUCUCCUAAGCAAAAUGACGUCCUGAGUAAUCACCAAAGCAAAAGACAAAAAAUCUUCAGGCCUCAACUCACAUUUGAUUUUGGCCAGACUAAUUGAUCUACUUGUACAUCUUCUCUUCUACAGGGGCAAAAGCAGAGAUGCCCAAUCAGAUUCCCAAUCCUUGGCUGAUCAUUCAUGUGUCAUAUCUCUAAUCAAUAAGGACAACCAUCGACAUUUGCGAAUAACCCUUUUGAUGUUCAAAAUUUAACAUAUUUGGAAACACCAUUAUGUUAACUCCUAAAGUUGUCAAUAGGGUCUUUUUUGAGUCAAAACCAUUCACUUGUUUUGAAGAGUUCAAACUCCAUCAUAUCCAAAAUGUUGCAUGUCGUUUCCAGAUGAAUUCUACAUGAUGAAUUUGUCUGUCUAAGUCACUAAUUCCACCAAGGAUUAUUAGAAUAGACAGCUAAGUGAAGAAUACAAGAUUGAUUGAGCAUGCUGGAUGAGGUACGUUAGAAUGAUGAAAGGCAAGCCAUAUCCUACACACAGUCCCCCAUCUAGAUACUUGUGAGAUGAGUGCAGAAGAUUCCAUGACUGCAGGGUAAAGAGUUUUCUCGCGAAUGGUACGAUAACCAAAAUAGUGAGAGGCAUUUCAUUGCUCACCCCUUUGAGCCCUAUACACUGGUGAAGCUUCUCUCAUAUCCCCGUCAAGAACCACCCCACACCUGGGUAGAUCAGAGGCGAAGCAACAUCACAAGGUGAGAAGAGAGAUAGAAAUUUUCUUACUCGCACUUGCAUCAAUCUUCGGGUUUCCUUAUUGCAUAUGAACAAUCACGUUAAUUUAAGUGCCAUAGAAUGACGAAGAGCAAUUAUUUCUCUAUACACUUGUAUUCAUUAUACAACCCAAUUGAGUCUGUAAUUUCACCCUCACAUGGAGGCAAAACAUAAGUUACUACCAUUUAAGCAGCAUAGCCUAGAGCACCUACUGAAGAUGAAGACUCAAGAGUCUAAUAAUGGUGCUUCGAUUGAACUUGCCUAGGCCGGUUCCUCUAACGACAAGAAUGAAAAAACAUGGGCAUAUAAAAGCAGUGUACCUGGUAAAAGCAAGGUCAAUGCCCAUAAAUGAAGAAUUGGAAUAAAAAUAGGGGCAUGAAAAAGUAGUGUGCUUGGUAAAAGCAAGGCCAAUGCCCCCCAGUCAAAAAUAUAGCCACGAAAAUGUUGUUGUUGUGGUCCAUAGAAUCUCCAUUUGACAGUGAGAAGAAAGACUGGUGACAAAUGCCAAGGCAAUCACCAGCUCUCACCCUUUUACACAUGAAUCAAGCCUACAUUGCAUCCCAUUGUAAAAGUCUCUUUAGACUAGGAGCACUUCAAUUAACGUAGGAUUUCAUAUGUCUAUAAGUAUCACUCGAAGAAGUACGAGCAAGACUAUUGUAUCUCUUUUCGCAGGACUCUUGACUUGCAAACCCGAAGAUAAUCGUGCAGCACUUCGUUCAUGAGCCUUGACCUUGACGGUCCCAUUUAAUGAGCUAUUGACCAAGUCUUCAUCACAAUUUCAACAAAGACCUCUCACAUUGGUAAAGUCGUACCACUUACAAGAAUACUCGAACCCCUACCGAUGUGAUGACAGUGAAAAGUGUGGUCCUUAUAAAUCCCGCAUCAAUGGUCAGGAUAGCCUUUUCCAUGAGAGUGAGCGGAAAGUCCUUUCAGACUGAAAGUCCCUCAUUUUGCAUGCUCAAGACAUCUACAUUCUAAAUGAAGGUUGUCUUUCAAAAUCUUCCCCAAUGGAACUCAGAUAAUGCAAAACUGAAAAAAUUAUCAUGCAUGAAUCCCAUUUGAACUCAUGAAUUUUCAGCAUGUACAAUCAUGUGUGCAUAAUGUACAAAUAGCAGACAUACUCUCAGAGAUUAGAGAUAUUGCUAGGUAAGCAUAUCCCUAUCCCUAUUUUUCUUAAAGUACCUACCACUGUCUAGGUGCUCUCUUCUUGACACUCGACCUAUUCGAGUCAUCCCUUGAGUUUAGGUGCUUGCAACUGUCUAAGUAUCCCCUUGUCUUUGAGUACCCACCACUUGUCAGGUACUCCCUUUUUCCUGACACUCGACUUGUUCGAGUUGUCCCUAGUGUAUUGAUACUUGUGACUGACCAAGUAUCCCUUUGUCUUAAAGUACCUACCACUAUCCAAAUACUCUCUUCUUGACACUCGACUUAUUCGAGUCGUCCCUUGAGUUUGUAUGCUUGUGACCGUCUAAGUAUCCUCUUGUCUUCGAGUACCGGCCAUUGUUCGGAUACCCUCUUUUCAUGACACUUAACCUGCCCGAGUUGUCCCCAAAUAAUAUUAGUAGCUGUUCAAGCACUCCACUGUGUUGUGCACCUGCGGUUACCCAGCUACCCAGGUGCUCUAGCCCUUUUGAGUGCCUACGACCAUCUAGGUAAGCCUUGUGCUACAUUCAAGUUUAUGUUGUCAGGAGGUGGGAGACCUUCAUGAAUAUCCAAGGUACGUCCUCGAUAUUCCCCUUUACCAGGAGGUAAGAGACCUUCACGAAUAUGCGAGGCACACCCUCAAUAUUCCCAUUACCAGAAGGUGAGAGACCUUCAUGAAUAUGCGAGGCAUUUCCUCGAUAUUCCCAAUUACCAAGAGGUGAGAGACCUUCACAAAUAUGCGGGGCACGUCCUCGAUAUUCCCAUUUCCAGGAGGUGAGAGACCUUCAAGAAUAUGCGGGGCACGUUCUCGAUAUUCCCAUUUACCAGGAGGUGAGAGACCUUUAUGAAUAUGCGGGGCACGUCCUCAAUAUUCCCAACUACCGGGAAGUGAGAGACCUUCACGAAUAUGCGGGGCAUGUCCUCAAUAUUCCCAACUACCAGGAGGUGAGAGACCUUCACGAAUAUCCCAGGUACGUCUUCGAUAUUCCCAUUUACCAAGAGGUGAGAGACCUUCAUGAAUAUGCGAGGCACGUCCUCGAUAUUCUCAAUUACCAAGAGGUGAGAGACCUUCAUGAAUAUCCCAGGUACGUCCUCGAUAUUCCCCUUUACCAGGAGGUGAGAGACCUUCAUGAAUAUCUAAGGUACGUCCUCAAUAUUCCCCUUUACCAGGAGGUGAGGGACCUUCAUGAAUAUGCGAGGCACGUCCUCAAUAUUCCCAAUUACCAUGAGGUGAGAGACCUUCAUGAAUAUCCAUGGUACAUCCUCGAUAUUCCCCUUUACCAAGAGGUGAGAGACCUUCAUGAAUAUCCAAGGUACGUCCUCGAUAUUCCCAAUUAUCAGGAGGUGAGAGACCUUCAUGAAUAUCCCAGGUACAUUCUCGAUAUUCCCAAUUACCAAGAGGUGAGAGACCUUCAUGAAUAUGCAAGGUACGUCCUCAAUAUUCCCCUUUACUAGGAGGUGAGAGACCUUCUUGAAUAUCCAAGGUACGUCCUCAAUAUUCCCAAUUACUAGGAGGUGAGAGACCUUCAUGAACAUGCAAGGCACAUCCUCAAUAUUCCUAAUUACUAGGAGGUGAGAGACCUUCAUGAAUAUCCAAUCGAUAUUCCAACUACCAGGAGGUAAGAGACCUUCACUAAUAUGCGAGACCCAUCAUCGAUAUUUCCAUAUAUCAGGAGGUGAGAGACCUUCACGAAUAUCUCAGGUACCCCAAUCGAUACUUGUGAUCAUCCAGGUAUCCUCAAAAUUUUGUAUUUGUGACCAUCCAAGUACUCUUUCGAUACCUGCAAGUAAUCAGGUAUUUUUCAGCAUCUAGUACUUGUGAUCAUACAGGUACCCCUUCGAUACUUGUGAAUGUCCAGGUAUCCUCCAAUAGUUUGUACUUGUGAUCAUCCAAGUACCCUUGUGACACCUGCAAAAGCCAAAUAUCCUUCAAGUUAGUACUUGUGAAUAUCCAGGUACUCUUUGAUAUGCCUAUGAAUGUCCAGGUAUCUUCCAAAAUCGAUGCCCUGAGAAAGGUCGACGCAUCCUCCCAAGAAAGGUCAAGUUCUAACUGGUGUCUUCGACAAAAGUCAGACACCCAACAAAUCGAUGCCCUGAGAAAGGUCGGUGCAUCUCCCGAGAAAGGUCGGGUACCAACCGGUGUCUUCGACUGAGGUCAGACACCCCAACAUAUCGAUGCCCUGAGAAAGGUUGACGCAUCCUCCCAAGAAAGGUCAGGUUCUAAUUGGUGUCUUCGACAAAAGUCAAACACCCAACAAAUCGAUGCCCUGAGAAAGGUCGGCGAAUCUCCCGAGAAAGGUCAGGUACCAACCGACGUCUUCAACUGAGGUCAGACACCCCAACAUAUCGAUGCCCUGAGAAAGGUCGGCGCAUCUCCCGAGAAAGGUAGGGUACCAACCGGUAUCUUUGACAGAAGUCAGACACCCCAACAAAUAUGAUGCCCUGAGAAAGAUCGGCGCAUCUCCCGAGAAAAGUCAGGUACCAACUAGUGUCCUCAAUACAGAUCAGGCACCCACAAAUAGAUGCCCUAAGAAAGGUCGGCGCAUCUCCUGUCACGGCGACCGAAGAAAGGUUCGGGUCCGAGACAAACCACUUAUUGCUCUGACAAGCAACCGAAGAAUGGUUCAGGCCCUAGAAAAGCAUUUUACCGUCACGGCGGCCAAAGAAAGGUUCAGGUCCAAGGCAAAUCACUUAUUACUCUAACAGGCGACCAAAGAAUGGUUAGGGUCCUGGAAAUGCAAUUUCCCGUCAAGGCAACCGAAGAGAGGUUCGGGUCUUAGACAAAUUAUUGACUGUUUUAACAGGCAACCGAAGAAUGGUUCCAAGUCUUGGAAAAGCAACCCCCUAAUAUCACCAAGUGAGAUAACGCCUUGAUACUUGCCAAACUCGGGGUUCACACCCUAUCUCACUCACUCCCGGUAAGUAACUACAAGUAUCUUCUUAACUGUCUUAAUAUAUGUAAAAUUAUAUUGCUCUUUUUCCGCAUAAAAUAAUAAGUCCCAAAUAAAAUAUAAUCUGCUGCGCGUGCAUAGAUAAAAUUUAGGCAUUAGUUUGUCUUUGAAUGCAACCUCUGUGAACUCACCUUCAAAGAGGAGCAGCUGUUGACGCGUAAAUUUCAUUUUUUAAUUAAUUAAGUUUUUUAUUAUUUAUUUUGCCUUUUUUGGAUAACAAAACAAAUAAAAACAACAAAAAAAGCAAAAGCAACCAGCCCCUUUUCUUUCCUUUUUCCUCCACGCGGGCCUAGGGCUCGUCCCUCUUUUUCCCAAAUCCGGCCCGGCCCCCUUUUCUUCUUCUUCUUCUUCUUCUUCUUCUUCUUCUUCUUCUUCUUCCUUCUUCCAUCUUCCCCUACGCCUCUGCAGCUCACAUGCACAGAGGACACCGACACCCGAAGGACGACCUACUGCCGAGGAGAGUAGGCCGACGUCGGCCGGAGAAGAUAAGAUCUCAGGCACCAUUAAUGCUGAGCAGGCUUCGCAGGAUAAGCUCAGAUGGGAUGCCGGUUCGGCCUGCGGAGGCCGUUCCGCUUGUGAAGAUUGGCGGUCGAAGCUCCGUCCACCGGCCACCCCUCGCCUAUAAAUAGCAGGCCACAAGCUUCAUCAAAGGGCACGGCGAACUCGGAGAUCUUCCCUUGAGAGACUUCAGGGGAGAAUCAAAGAGCGAGCACGCGAGAGAUCGGGUCGCGAACCUCAAACGACCUCCCUCCAAGAGACUUUCGGGGAGGUCGGCAGUAAGGGAGCCCGAGGAGGAGAGAUCCGAGUGGGUGGAGGUUGAGCGAGAGGGAAACCGAAGGAGAGGAGUUCUAAGCAGAGGAGGUUCGAGAUCUGUAAGGCGGGGGUUGCAAGAAAGGGUCAACCAAGGUUCAGAUCUGGGGUUCUUGCUGAUGUCGUUGCCACCAGACGUUGUGCCAACGCCGUUGCCUCGACCAAGUCCCGAUGUCGUUGCCUCGAAGGCUCGCUGUCGUUCCCCCACAAAGUUGUUGCCGUGACUGAUCCGCCGACGCCACGCCAGAUCUGGGAAGCUGAGUGGCCGCCAUCGUUGCCCUAUCACCGCCACCGGACGCUGUGUCGACGUCGUCACUCGACCAGUCCCGACGUCGUUNNNNNNNNNNNNNNNNNNNNNNNNNNNNNNNNNNNNNNNNNNNNNNNNNNNNNNNNNNNNNNNNNNNNNNNNNNNNNNNNNNNNNNNNNNNNNNNNNNNNNNNNNNNNNNNNNNNNNNNNNNNNNNNNNNNNNNNNNNNNNNNNNNNNNNNNNNNNNNNNNNNNNNNNNNNNNNNNNNNNNNNNNNNNNNNNNNNNNNNNNNNNNNNNNNNNNNNNNNNNNNNNNNNNNNNNNNNNNNNNNNNNNNNNNNNNNNNNNNNNNNNNNNNNNNNNNNNNNNNNNNNNNNNNNNNNNNNNNNNNNNNNNNNNNNNNNNNNNNNNNNNNNNNNNNNNNNNNNNNNNNNNNNNNNNNNNNNNNNNNNNNNNNNNNNNNNNNNNNNNNNNNNNNNNNNNNNNNNNNNNNNNNNNNNNNNNNNNNNNNNAAAAAAAAAAAAAAAGACAGAUUUCUUGAGAAUUGACCGCCGUGGAAUGACAAGAACAGUAAGACGAUAUGUGACCCGACAAAUUUAAAUACAGAAGGCUGGCCGUUCGUCUUAUGUCUGCUAAAACAACAAAUGCUACAUCGAGUACCUUUAGUUAGACCUACACAGGCCCCUUGCAAAAGGUUAUUUCGGGUCACAAAUCGUCUUUAAUGCUACAUUGAAUAAAUGGAGUCACCUUUUGCCACCUAAGAAAGGCCGACUCUGGGUCUAGGCCUCGACUUUGACGCGGGUUUUCACCUUUUGCUAGUUGUCUUCUUCCAAAUAUCUCUGAUGGGGAAAUUCUACUGUGCCUUGAUGAGAGGUUUUACGAGAGCGGUCCCAUAUCCAACACGGAUCAUUGGAUGAAAGGACGAAAAAAAGGGGUCACAAAAGGAGAGAGCACGUGCAUUUGCUCUGCCUUUCCAGACACAGGUGAGUUUUGCCGAAACUUGCAUACUUGACAAUUGUGGUCCUGAGAAAUUUCAUCUUGAGAUCAACCAGAUAAAUUAUAAUCGGCCAUACCCGUUUUGCUUUGCAGUAACAUUUCUCCAAUUCCACUAACUUUUGGCUUUGUAGAACUUAGAAAUCUGCUUUUGAUGAACUGGUGCAACUCUGGUGCUUCAAUUUCUCUGCAUCUGGUCGAGAUGGAAGGGCACAAUUAUGAAGUGUUCUUGAGCUUCAGAGGACUGGACAUGCACAUGGGCUUGACUGCUUAUCUCUAUACCAGUCUCUUAGAUGCAGGAGUCAGUGCCUACAAAGACGACGGAGAUUUCCACGUUGACAAAGAGAUUGGCCCAGAUCUGCUCAAAGCGAUUCAGCAGUCGAGGAUCUCCGUACACAUCUUCUCUAAAAAUUUAUGCUUCCAGUAAAUGGUGUAUGAAGGAGUUGGUGCAUGUGGUAGAGUGUUGGAAAAGGACAAAUAAUCCUGCCCAUUUUCUACUAUGUCGAACCAUCUGAGGUUCGAUACCAAACCGAAGGCUAUGGUCAGGCCUUUCUUGAGCACGAAAACAAGAAGCGAGUGGACGAUGAGACCAUCCGCAAGUGGAGAGCUUCUCUAAAUGAGGUUGGAGGGUUAAAAGGGAUGGAACAUAGAAAUUGUGGCUAACAGGUACCUCAUUAUCUUCCACCCUUGAUGGGAACAACUCUACCUCAUCCUCAUUUCCCAUUCCCAUUUUUGAUGGGAACAACUAUGACUUUUGGAGCAUAAAAAUGACUACAUUCUUGAUGGCCAAGACUUAUGGGACAUCGUGGAAAAAGGUUGUGAGGCUCCGCCAGAAGGUACAAGUGUUUCGAAUGAUCAACUACAAAGGAUGCAAGGGCGCUAUAUUUUAUCCAGCAAGCUCUCUCGGAAACCGUAUUUCCAAGAAUUAUUGGAGCGAGGACUGCAAAAGAGGCUUGGAUAUACUACGAGAAGAAUUUCAAGGAUUGGAAAAGGUACGCACUAUUCGCCUUCAAACUCUGAGAAGAGAUUUUGAGAAUUCUAAAAUGAAAAAUUAUGAGACCCUACAAGAAUAUUGUGGAAAAUUAAAGGAACUCGUUAAUCAAAUGAGAGCCUAUGGAGAUGGGAUAACUGAUCAAAGGGUUGUUGAGAAAAUAUUAGUGUCACUUACCAAAAAAUACAACUCCAUAGUUACAACAAUAGAAGGAACUAAAGACUUGACGACCCUAUCAAUAAGUGAAUUAAUUGGCUCUCUAGAAGCACAUGAGAAAAGACUAAUGGCACAAGAUGAAGAUUCAGUUGAAAGUGCCUUUCAGUCUAAAGUAAAUAUACGGUCUCAUCAAACUAAAAAUGGUGGAAGGAGCUCAUGGAAAAACAAAAGAGGAGGAGAAAUUAUAAAAAAGGAAAAUUAUCCACCUUGUGGUAUUUGCAAGAAAACAAAUCAUUUGGAGAAGGACUGUUGGUUUAAAAAUAAAAAACAAUGCCGCUUUUGUAAAAGAUAUGGCCACGUAGAAAAAGAUUGUCGCUCUCGAAAACAAAUAAACGAACAAACUAUGUAGAAAAAAAAAAGAAAGUGAAGAGAAUACAUUCUACGUAGGCCAAGCGGCAAAUGACAAUAAAAGUGAAACAUGGUACAUCGAUAGUGGGUGUAGCAAUCAUAUGACAGGGGACGAAACUAUAUUCACUGAUAUUGAUAAGUCAAUGAAAUCCCAAGUAAAGUUGGGCAAUGGUGCAUUAGUUAAUGUCAAAGGAAAAGGCACCAUCACCGUGGAAACGAAUAAAGGCCCAAAAUAUAUACAUAAUGUAUAUCUAGUCCCUCGUCUUGCACAAAAUCUAUUAAGUGUGGGCCAAAUGAUACAAAGUGAGUAUUCUCUAUAUUUUAAAGAUACCUGCAUUAUCUAUGAUAAAUAUAAAAAUAUCAUUGCCUUUGUUAAGAUGAAAAAUAACAAUUUUCCUAUUCAAUGGAAAUAUGUCAAAGAUAUAGCCAUGAAAGCUCAACUUGAUGAUUCAUGGCUAUGGCAUUGAAGAUUUGGCCACUUUAAUUUUGUUGGGCUAAAAAUUCUCCAUCAGAAAAAUAUGAUGAGAGUUUUCCAGCCAUCACAGAAAUUUCAGAUGUUUGUGAAGGCUGUCUUCUUGGAAAACAACAGAGACAGUCCUUCCCAUCUGGAGUUGCAUGGAAAGCUAAGGAGCCAUUUGAAUUGUCCACACGGACGUGUGCGGUCCGAUGAGGACACCUACACCCAGUCAAAAUAAAUAUUUCAUCCUAUUCAUUGAUGAUUACACAAGAAUGACAUGGGUAUACUUUCUUCAAGAAAGAUCUGAGGUUUUCUCUAUCUUCAAAAAAUUCAAGAACCACGUCGAGAAUCAAAGUCCUAAGAAGUGACAAAGGCACAUAAUACAAUUCAAAGGAGUUUAAUAAAUUUUGUGAAGAUGAAGGAGUCCAUCAUCAACUAACUGUUGGCUAUGCCCUAGAACAAAAUGGAGUAGCAGAAAGAAAAAACAGAACUGUCAUGGAGAUGGCAAGGUCCAUGCUAAAGGAGAAAGGCCUUCCCAACACUUUCUAGGCAGAAGCAGUUUAUACUGUUGUAUACCUACUAAACAGGUGUCCAACUAAAGCAGUUCAAAAUAAAACUCCAGUCGAAGCAUGGAGUGGACAGAAGCCUUCAACAAAGCAUCUCAAAAUGCACCCCUACUCAAAAAAGGAGUAAGCUAGAUGAAAAGACAGAAAAAGGAAUAUUCAUUGGCUACAGUGACCAAUCAAAAGGCUAUCGGGUUUACAACCUAAGAACCAAGAAGCUUAUGAUUAGUCGAGACAUCGAGUUCGACAAAAAUGCUGCCUGGAAUUGGGAGAGCGAGAAGAUCGAGAAAAAGUACAUCACUUUGCCAGACAUACCACCUGCUCAAGAAGAGUCAACGUCACGGGUGAUAUUGCUAGUGUAAACACCUAGAGGGGGGUGAAUAGGCGCACAAACUAUUUUUCUCAAAUACGUAUGCAACUGAUUGAAAUACGAUCGAUGUAGAGAGAGUAAGGAAGAGAAAAUCAAACACAGGAUUUAUAGUGGUUCGGCUUAUUCCAAGCCUACGUCCACUCUUCCACACUGACAGCCCACGGGCUGGAUUUCACUAUGAUCAAAAGAGGAGUUACAGCACAGUUUUGCCUUGAUUCCACAGUGUAGAUAUUCUAUCACACCUCCUCAAGGUCUCUCACAAAUAUAGACUCUCUUUUGUAUACAGUAUUCGCUCAGAGAUUUAUCUAAANNNNNNNNNNNNNNNNNNNNNNNNNNNNNNNNNNNNNNNNNNNNNNNNNNNNNNNNNNNNNNNNNNNNNNNNNNNNNNNNNNNNNNNNNNNNNNNNNNNNAAAUAGGAGCUUCAGACUUUGGAAUUUUUCUAUCGCGCACUCUCUCUUAAACAACUAAGAACGUCUUCCUUAUAUACUCCUUUAUGCCAUCAUACCCGUUGGCACUUUCCAAAGGAAUUCCUCCAAUCUACCCGUUGGACGGAAUCAAUUAGGAAGAUCGUUCGAGCUAUUAAAGGAACGUGUUGAUAGCCCAUCAAUCCUGUUCGCCCAUACAAUCAGGAUCUCGGUUUCCAUAAGCAAAACCUUCCAAUAAUAUUUAGACAAUCAUCGAAUCUUCAGUCAUUGAAUCAAUCUUGAUCAAUCAAAGGAUUCUGAUAUGUCUUCUCCAGCCACAAGAUCUUCUCCAGAUGAUAAGGUGUAAAUCCUGAACAAAACAUCCAGUUCGGGAUAACCUUUCUUCACCGGAUUAGAGACUAUCAAUGAGGAUAGACUUUGAGUCUUGAGUCUGGCAGUCCGGAAGUCUUCAGACUUUAACUGACAGAGUCUGCAGACCUUCAGACUAGACUGACAGAAACAUUUUGUCAACUUCAAAACUCUUCACGAGGAUUUCUCCAACAAUCUCCCCCUUUUUGAUGGUGACAAAACCUUCCUACAGAUUUGGAUAUCCUACAGAUUUGGAUAUCUUUGACCUGCAAAACAUUUCUCAAACACAUAUGCAUAUCUUAUGAAAAUAAAUGACUAAUAGAAUAACACUAGAAUCUGCAACCACGGAAAAUAGGUUAGUCCAAUAUAUGAUUAAGCCAUUCAUAAGAUAUCAAUAUUGAUAAAUAGAUGCAGUCAAAUCCAAGUCUAGGCAGUUCUUAUCCAGACACAAAACAAGGUCAAAGUCUGUCAAAAACAAACAGACAGUUAAACACAAUCCAACAAAAUAAAAAGAUUGAAAGUUUUGUUUUUCAAAUCAUGCAUCUCUCCCUCUUUUUGUCAUCAUUUAAAAAGGAUGAGAUGAAAUCAAGAUUGCUUGGGAACGCGGACAAGCUGGAAAUCUUCCAUAGACUGAACAAUGCCUUCUAGCCUCUUAAAGUCUUCCUUCAGCUGUACAACCUCCUCACUCUUGGCAUUGGCCUGAUUCUGAAUAGAGAGGGCUUGCAUCUUUUCAUUUAAUGAACAGGAAGAAGCUUGACCUUCAUUCUUCAAGCUUUGAACUUCGCAUCCCAAGGCAUAUAUCUGACCUUUCAUCUCCAAGAGAAUAUCCAUGAUUCUGCGAAAAUCUGCUCCAUUAUCAGUCUGAGUACUUGCUUCUGCUCGUUCUGAUGGACUAAAAGCAGACGAUGGUGGAUCAGUAUAAUCUUGCAGGUUGGGCGAUGAAGCUUCAAGACCUUCCUCUGGAAAUUGAGAUGCAUAAACAUCUUCUGGGUCUGCAGGCGAACGACUGACUCCUUCACUUUCAUCUGGAAAUGAAGAUGUCACUCCUUUCUCCUGAACUCCCCCUGUUUUCAUGCCUACAGGUGGAGAAGAGAUUUCCUCAGGUUCUCCUUCUCUUCCUUCUUCUUCAGGUCUUUCUUGCUCUGCUUCUUGCUCUGUUUCUCUUUCUUCUUCUUCCUUCUCCUUUGCUUCUCUUUCUUCUUCCUUCUCCUCUGCUUCUUUCGUCUUUUGUUCCGAUUCUUUCUGUGGAACAGUACGACUUAAGUUCUUUAAAGCCAUUGCAGAGAUGGUGAUGUCAUCGUCAUCAUCUUCAUCCUCAACGAGGAGAGCUCUUCUUUUCUUUGAUGGAGUAGCCAUGGGCUCCUUCCCUUUUCUCUUAGCAGCAGAAGAGAGUUGAUGAGACUUGGCAGGAGUCUUCCCCUUGAAUUUCUCCAAUUCCUUGCUCAGUUCCUUCAGACGCAUUUUGGUCACCAUUUUCAGUCCUACCACCAUAUGAUCGCAUGAUCGAAAACAAAAGAUUUGCGGAGGCUGAAUAUUCAAAUGUCUGAAUAACUUCGUAACAAGGCUUGGGUAAGGGAGUUGACCUCUGUCCUUCAUCACCGCUCUAUACAUGUGAAACAUGACAGUAUGAGGGAGAGAAAACUUCUUUCCACAAAGGAUAGCAUACAUCAACUUUGCCUCAGAGCUUGAAACAUCAGUUUUGGAAGUUGAUUUUGGCCGAAGGCAAUUAAUCACAGUCUUGUGAAGCAAAAUGUUGAAUGCAUUCAUCCUUGAGUAGGUGAUCUUCUCUUCUGUUCUCCUGUCCUUCACCAAUUCAAGUGUGGCCCGAGCAAUGGAAACUUUAAUUGGUUGAUAUCUGCCUCUCUCAACUUCUAACACAUCAGCUAGCAUAUCCAUAUCCACAACAUAGUCUUGUUCAUUGACACUAAAGGAAAAUCUAUUCGCAUCUAAAAAGCUAAGAUUUGAAUAGAAGUAAGCAGUCAAUUCAGCAUAAGCCUCAGUUGAGUUAGAACAGAACUUUUCAAGUUGAAGAUAAUUGAACUUUUCCCUCAAGUUCACUUUCACAGCAUCCAGAAAAUCAAAGUCCACACUCCCAGGGUUUAUUACCCCACGCUUCAGCAAUUUCGAGUACAGAUCCUUUUGUUCCUUUGAUCCGAACAAAUCUCCCCUUUUUCCUUGAAUUUCAGCCGCAAUACCCAUUUUCGGUUGAAAUAAACUGAACAGAUUGUNNNNNNNNNNNNNNNNNNNNNNNNNNNNNNNNNNNNNNNNNNNNNNNNNNNNNNNNNNNNNNNNNNNNNNNNNNNNNNNNNNNNNNNNNNNNNNNNNNNNCGCAAGGGUUUCCUCAGCCACCCCUUUACGAGCGAUUCCCAAACUUUCCAUUCUUUUCAGAAAAAUAUAUUCGUUCCUAUAUCCUUUUUCUUUAACAAAACUAUCAAUAUAGUUCAAAGGAGUACGAAUUCCUUUUAAAGCACGAUAUAACUUGUAGAUAAAAUCAGGCUUUUGAGUUCUUACGGGGUCUGCUUCCUCGAUGAUUUCUUCCUGAUGAACAACGUCUUGAGGACUAGAUGAUGGAGAAUGACGCUGUUGAGAAUGUUGUGGGCUCGGUUGCUGAUUUGGAGAAACUUCAUCUUCAGUAAGAUCGAAGUGCGUAGGCCCCUUACUCAUUCUCUGUGGUCCCCUGCUUGAGAUUCUUGACGAUUUUCGUGAAGAAGACAUCUUUAACAGUGUUUGGAAGUUUCCUAGCUUGACUUUCCCAGAAAAGAUGACAACUUUUUGAUGAUUGAGCGAUGAAGACAAACGGGAGUGGAGGAUCGAUGCUUUCUAGGGUUUUGAGAGUAAAGAGAAUAGAUAAGUGAAGAGUAAUCGAUAGUGCUCGUUCGGUUAAAAAGAAGAGUAAACGAAUCGUCACAAAGGAAAUAAAAAUAUGCAUUUUCAAAAUAACUGAUUUUAUCCGUAAAAAUAGCUAUUUAAAAAAUAACUUCCCUUUUGAAAAUGAAUCGAUGUAAUAUAUACGGCAAUAAUUUAAACACAGUCUGAUGAUCGUACCUUUUCAAGAUAAGAUUGGAGAGAGAGAAAGACUUACGGUCUGAAGGUCGAGACAAGACUGUUGAUAAAGUCUUGUAAGCCUGAGUCUGAAAGUCUUUAGACUUUGAUAUCCUCAUACCUCAAAAUAUUGAGUCUGGUCCGUAUAGACUCAAAUUGAUUUUUCUCCAAAGGCUUCGUAAGUAUAUCAGCCAGCUGAUUCUUUGAGUCAACAAAAUGAAUUGAAACAUCUCCAUUUUGAACAUGAUCUCUAAUAAAGUGAUGUCAAAUUUCUAUGUGCUUCGCUCUUGAGUGAAGAAUUGGAUUUUUGGUGAGGUUGAUAGCACUGAUGUUGUCGCAAUUAAUCUCCGUGCAUGAGUCUUCAAUUGCAAAAUCUCUUAGCUGUUGUUUUAUCCAUAGAAUUUGUGAACAGCAGCUUCCAAGAGCGACAUACUCUGCUUCAGUUGUUGAAAGAGACACAAUACUUUGUUUCCUUGAAAACCAAGACACUGUUCUGUUUCCAAGCAACUGGCAAGUUCCUGAAGUACUCUUUCUAUCAACUCUGCAACCGGCCAGAUCUGCGUCUGAAUAUCCCAGAAGUUUAAAGUCUCCCUUCUUAGGAUACCAAAGACCGAUGCUUGAUGAUGAAGCGAUGUAUUUAAUGAUGCGUUUGGCAGCGCUGAGAUGUGAUUCUCUAGGAUCUGAUUGAAACCUAGCACAGAUGCAAACACUCAACAAAAUAUCAGGUCUAGAGGCAGUAAGAUAGAGAAGUGAUCCAAUAAUGCUUCUGUACGGCUUUUGAUCAACUUUAUUCCCUUCUUCAUCUUUGUCUAUCUUUAAAGAACUUGACAUUGGUAUGUCGGUCUUUUUGCAAUUCUCCAGUCCAAACCUUUUGACAAGAUCAUUAACAUAUUUUUCUUGAAAAAUGAAAGUUCCUUCCUUCAAUUGUUUUAUUUGAAGACCAAGAAAGAAUGUUAAUUCUCCCAUCAUACUCAUUUCAAACUCAUCCUGCAUAGACUUUGAAAAUUUCUUGCACAGACUUUCAUUAGAGGAUCCAAAAAUAAUAUCAUCCACAUAUAUUUGAACAAGUAAGAAACUUUUAUUUUCCUUUUUGAUAAAUAAAGUCGUAUCUACUUUACCUUUAACAAAACCAUUUUGUAAUAGGAAAUUACUUAACCUGUCGUACCAAGCCCGAGGUGCUUGCUUUAAAGCAUACAAAGCCUUUUUCAGUCUGAAGACUGAGUCUGGCUUCUUUGGGUCUUCAAACCCUGGCGGUUGUUCAACAUAAACUUCCUCAUGGAUAAAUCCAUUUAGGAAGGCGCUUUUGACGUCCAUUUGGAAUAACCUGAAAUUCUUAUAACAAGCAAACGCGAGUAAUAGUCGAAUAGCUUCUAACCUUGCCACUAGAGCGUAAGUCUCAUCAUAGUCUAUUCCUUCUUCUUGCGUAUAUCCCUUGGCCACGAGUCUUGCUUUAUUUCGUACGACUUUCCCUUUCUCGUUUAUCUUGUUUCUGAACACCCAUUUGGCUCCAAUAACAGUUUUUCUUUUUGGUUGGGAUGUCAAUUCCCAAACAUCAUUUAUGAUGAACUGUCUGAGUUCUUCUUGCAUAGCUUCAAUCCAGCUUUCAUCAGAUAAAGCUUCUUCUAUGCUCUUUGGUUCAAUUUCAGAAACGAGUGCCACAGCACUAGACUCUUCUCGCAUUUUGGAUCUUGUGCGAAUUCCUUCAUUAAUUUCGCCAAUUAUAAGAUCUUUGGGAUGACUAGACUUAUGCUUCCAGUUACUCGUUGAUUUGUCUGGUAGAUGAUCUCUUUCUUUAUUUGGAUCUUCACUAACAACCUGAUGCUGGUUUUCCAGAGUCUGAGAUGCAUCUAGAGUUGUAGACUUUGGAGGGUCUGGAGCAGGUUCAGACUCUUCUUGAUGAGUCUGUCUUGAUUCAACUUGCGUUGAGUCUUGAAAUUUGACAUUCAUUGACUCCUCUACAGACUGGCUCUUCUUGUUAUAGACUCUGUAAGCUUUGCUUGAUGUAGAAUAUCCAAGGAAGAUACCUUCAUCUGAUCUUUCUUCAAACUUACCAACUCGAUCUUUUGCAUUUUUUAAUAUAAAACAUUUGCAUCCAAAUACAUGAAAGUAUGAAACAAUAGGCUUCUUUUCUUUGAAUAACUCAUAAGGGGUUUUCUGAAGAAUAGAUCUUAAGAAGACUCUAUUGAUGAUAUAGCAAGCUGUUGAAACAGCUUCAGCCCAAAAUCGAGAAGAAAUUUUACUUUCAAUUAAAAGAGUUCUAGCCAUUUCUUGAAGAAGAUCUGUUCUUUCUUUCCACAACUCCAUUUUGCUGAGGAGUAUAUGGAGAGGAAAACACAUGCUUACAGCCAGAUUCAUCAUAGAAUUUUGUAAAAUCUUGAUUUUCAAAUUCACCUCCAUGAUCUGUUUUUAUACAAGAGAUUACACAUCCCUUUUCAUUUUGAACCUUUUUAGCAAAUUUUUCAAAAUACGAAAAGGUUUCGGACUUACUUGAAAGGAAAUAUACCCAAGUAAAAUGGGAGUAAUCAUCAACAAUUACUAGGCAAUACUUCUUACCCCCAAUACUCUGAGUUUUGGUUGGUCCGAAGAGAUCCAUAUGCAGCAACUGUAGAACAUGAUUAGUAGAGACAUGAUUUAUUGGCUUAAAAGAAUUUCUUACCUGCUUUCCCAUAAUACAUGAAGUGCAUGAAUCAGUCUUUUGGUAUGGCAAUUUUGGUAGACCUCGAACAAGCUGCUUUGAUGAGAUUUUGGCUAAUUGCUUCAUAUUGACAUGUCCAAGCUUUUUGUGCCAUAAGCUUGCUUCGUCUUGAAUUGAGAUAAGACAUUGCGAUUCAUUUGGUUUCACAUCCAGAAGAUAGAUAUUUCCAUGUCUUUUAUUGUGAGAGUUCCAAUUUUCACGGUUCCAAAUCCCACAAUACUUCCUUUGCUGUUUCCUCCAAAUGAAACUUUUCCACCAUUUACUUGAGCAAGUUUUAUAAAGCAAUUUGAGUCUCCUGUCAUGUGUCUUGAGCAUCCGCUGUCAAGAUACCACUUUACCUGUUUCUUGAUGGAGACCUGCAUUUAACAAAGAGUCUCAAGCUUUCUUUGGUACCCAAAUUUUCUUGGGUCCUUUGGUGUUAGUAAGAUAAACAGUAUUAGCCCAUACUUUCUUAAUAGGUUUCCAUACCAUAGGACACUCUUUUUCAAAGUGAUCCGGACUGUUGCACUUUGAACAUUUAAGAGAAUUUCUCCUACGGGUUUAACAAAAACUUUCUUGAGUGAUUUUUGUAAACCUCACUUGAAAGCCUUUUCUUGAUUCUUUCUUUUACUUUAGGAAAAUCAAUCAAGGGAAUUGUUUCUUCUGUCAUACCUAAACCAGACUUAUUGAAGUAAGGUCUUUGUGCUGAAAGAAUUUUCUCAAGUUUUUCAGAUCCCAUAGAAAAUUUCUUUGAUAUAUUAGAUAAGUCUGUUUUUAAAAAAGUAUUUUCUUUUAAAAGAUUUUCUUCAUUUUCUUUAAGAUUGGAAAUAGACACGUCUAGACUUUUAACUCUUUCUUCUAAAACAUUUUCUUUUAGUUUUAGAGCUGAGUUUUCCUUUUUUAGUUUGGAAAUUCUUUUGAGAGAAGUCUUAAGACUAAAGCAUAGUUCCUCAAUAUAUUUAGAAACUUUGACAGGAAUUUUAAAGUUACUUGCCUCAAAUUCACUGUUUGAGUCUGAUCCUGAGUCUGAUCCAGAGUCUGAGUCUGAUUGUGCUUGGCGUAUUCAUUAUCACUUUCUUCACACUCAGUAUCACUCCAGGUUUCAACUUUGAGAGCUUUUCGAAAUUUUUCAGCUUUUCCUUUCUUUUUCUUCAAAAGAGGACAAUUGGGUCUGAUGUGUCCCUUUUUCUUGCAUUCAAAGCAGACUACAUCUUUGUUUGGUUCCUCAUCAUCAACAGACUUGGUCUGCUGUCUUUGAAAGCCUUGUUUCUUUGAGUUGAACCUUCUUCCUAUUCUGUUUAGUUUUCUGAAUCUUCUUAUCAUGAGAGCAAGCUCCUCAUCGUCCAUAUCUUCUUCAGAAUCUGUAACAUCAGAAUCAUCAUUUGAUUUUAAUGCAAUAGAUUUCUUACCUCUUGGAUCUUCAUCUUCAUUGAUCCUUUCCACUUCAUAGGAUUGAAGAGUUCCAAUCAGCUCAUCGACAGAUAGUGGCAUAAUUCUCUGCGUCUCUCUUAUCGAAGUCUUUAUGUGAUUCCAAUCCUUGGAGAGUCCACGCAGUAGCUUGUUUACCUUCAUGGGAUCAGAAGUUGGUUGACCUUGAUUUUCAAGACCAUUCACAAUAUCUGUAAAACGACUAAACAUGUCAGAUAUUGAUUCUCCUGGUUUCAUUCUGAAGGCUUCGUAUUGACCGAGAAGAAUGUUGAUUCUUGUUUCCUUCACUCGAUCUGUUCCUUCAUAGGUGAUAUGCAAUCUGUCCCAAACUUCUUUUGCUGUACCACAAGAAGAUAUUCUAUUAUAUUCAGUUGGUGAUAAAGCACAAUAUAAGGAAUAAAUUGCUUUUGCAUCGAGUGUCUGUCUCUUGGUUAUUUCUUCUUGAGACAUUCCACUGGAUUCUUCAGUUUCUUUCCCUCUUUCAGAGACUGAUGCAGUGGUAGGAGUAAUUCCUUUUUCUACAACGUCCCAUUCCAGAGGAUCCUUUGAUCGUAGGAAAGCUUUCAUCUUGUUCUUCCAGAUGUUGUAAUCCUUUCCAUCAAAGUAAGGUGGUCUGGUAUUGCUUUGCCCUUCCAUCAGCCCUGGUGCUAGCAUACUAGCCAUGGAUCUUUUACUAUGAAGUAAAACACUUCAAAUAAAGUAAGUACACAGGCUCUGAUACCAAUUGAUAUUGCUAGUAUAAACACCUAGAGGGGGGUGAAUAGGCGCACAAACUAUUUUUCUCAAAUACGUAUGCAACAGAUUGAAAUACGAUCGAUGUAAAGAGAGUAAAGAAGAGAAAAUCAAACACAGGAUUUAUAGUGGUUCGGCUUAUUCCAAGCCUACGUCCACUCUUCCGCACUGACAGCCCACCGGCUGGAUUUCACUAUGAUUAAAAGAGAAGUUACAGCACAGCUUUGCCUUGAUUCCACAGUGUAGAUGUUCUAUCACACCUCCUCAAGGUCUCUCACAAAUAUAGACUCUCUUUUGUAUACAAGUAUUCGCUCAAGAGAUUUAUCUAAACAAAUAGGAGCUUCAGACUUUGGAAUUUUUCUAUCGCGCACACUCUAAUAAACAACUAAGAAUGUCUUCCUUAUAUACUCAUUUAUGCCAUCAUACCCAUUGGCACUUUCCAAAGGAAUUCCUCCAAUCUACCCGUUGGACAGAAUCAAUUAGGAAGAUCGUUCGAGCUAUUAAAGGAACGUGUUGAUAGCCCAUCAAUCCUGUUCGCCCAUACAAUCAGGAUCUCGGUUUCCAUAAGCAAAACCUUCCAAUAAUAUUUAGACAAUCAUCGAAUCUUCAGUCAUUGAAUCAAUCUUGAUCAAUCAAAGGAUUCUGAUAUGUCUUCUCCAGCCACAAGAUCUUCUCCAGAUGAUAAGGUUAAAUCCUGAACAAAACAUCCAGUUCGGGAUAACCUUUCUUCACCGGAUUAGAGACUGUCAAUGAGGAUAGACUUUGAGUCUUGAGUCUGGCAGUCCGGAAGUCUUUAGACUUUAACUGUGCAGACCUUCAUACUAGACUGACGGAAACAUUUUGUCAACUUCAAAACUCUUCACGAGGAUUUCUCCAACAACGGGAAGAAUCCAUUCACUGAACAGCUCAAAGCUCUCAUCUGUCCCGAUUAUCUAUACUCACAUGGGGACCGCUAUAUCUCCCCUUUGAAAUAAGUGAUAAGUACUUGUCUGAAGUUUUUAUGAGAUUGGGCCAUCAGUUCCAAUCGUUACAAUACCAAAUAAUGAAACUUUUUCCAUGAAGAGUGAAGGGUUCCUCAGGUUCAAUUAGUCGAUGCCCUAAUGGAAAUUACAUUAUCUAAAGGUCCAAGAGAUCUCAAGGAGAUCUUCUUCAAAUGUUUCGAUAGGCCCUGUAUUUCGUUUUGGCAACUUAGCAUGUCUUGGUCUAAUUUCUGAAGCUUCAAGUGCUAUACGAUAUAGUCGUCAAGAAAAUUGUGGUAAACCUGUACAUGAAGUUUGUUUUAGACAUUAGUAUUCAAGCACUAUUAGAUGUAUCGAGACUAGAUUGUUAGUGGCCAUCUGAACGGGCGUAUCAUAUUCAAUAUCUUAUAGUAAGUUCCCACAUCAUUAAAUUGAUGUAAAUCUCUUCUACUUUUGGGGACAUAAAACAUAAAAUGAAUUNNNNNNNNNNNNNNNNNNNNNNNNNNNNNNNNNNNNNNNNNNNNNNNNNNNNNNNNNNNNNNNNNNNNNNNNNNNNNNNNNNNNNNNNNNNNNNNNNNNNNNNNNNNNNNNNNNNNNNNNNNNNNNNNNNNNNNNNNNNNNNNNNNNNNNNNNNNNNNNNNNNNNNNNNNNNNNNNNNNNNNNNNNNNNNNNNNNNNNNNNNNNNNNNNNNNNNNNNNNNNNNNNNNNNNNNNNNNNNNNNNNNNNNNNNNNNNNNNNNNNNNNNNNNNNNNNNNNNNNNNNNNNNNNNNNNNNNNNNNNNNNNNNNNNNNNNNNNNNNNNNNNNNNNNNNNNNNNNNNNNNNNNNNNNNNNNNNNNNNNNNNNNNNNNNNNNNNNNNNNNNNNNNNNNNNNNNNNNNNNNNNNNNNNNNNNNNNNNNNNNNNNNNNNNNNNNNNNNNNNNNNNNNNNNNNNNNNNNNNNNNNNNNNNNNNNNNNNNNNNNNNNNNNNNNNNNNNNNNNNNNNNNNNNNNNNNNNNNNNNNNNNNNNNNNNNNNNNNNNNNNNNNNNNNNNNNNNNNNNNNNNNNNNNNNNNNNNNNNNNNNNNNNNNNNNNNNNNNNNNNNNNNNNNNNNNNNNNNNNNNNNNNNNNNNNNNNNNNNNNNNNNNNNNNNNNNNNNNNNNNNNNNNNNNNNNNNNNNNNNNNNNNNNNNNNNNNNNNNNNNNNNNNNNNNNNNNNNNNNNNNNNNNNNNNNNNNNNNNNNNNNNNNNNNNNNNNNNNNNNNNNNNNNNNNNNNNNNNNNNNNNNNNNNNNNNNNNNNNNNNNNNNNNNNNNNNNNNNNNNNNNNNNNNNNNNNNNNNNNNNNNNNNNNNNNNNNNNNNNNNNNNNNNNNNNNNNNNNNNNNNNNNNNNNNNNNNNNNNNNNNNNNNNNNNNNNNNNNNNNNNNNNNNNNNNNNNNNNNNNNNNNNNNNNNNNNNNNNNNNNNNNNNNNNNNNNNNNNNNNNNNNNNNNNNNNNNNNNNNNNNNNNNNNNNNNNNNNNNNNNNNNNNNNNNNNNNNNNNNNNNNNNNNNNNNNNNNNNNNNNNNNNNNNNNNNNNNNNNNNNNNNNNNNNNNNNNNNNNNNNNNNNNNNNNNNNNNNNNNNNNNNNNNNNNNNNNNNNNNNNNNNNNNNNNNNNNNNNNNNNNNNNNNNNNNNNNNNNNNNNNNNNNNNNNNNNNNNNNNNNNNNNNNNNNNNNNNNNNNNNNNNNNNNNNNNNNNNNNNNNNNNNNNNNNNNNNNNNNNNNNNNNNNNNNNNNNNNNNNNNNNNNNNNNNNNNNNNNNNNNNNNNNNNNNNNNNNNNNNNNNNNNNNNNNNNNNNNNNNNNNNNNNNNNNNNNNNNNNNNNNNNNNNNNNNNNNNNNNNNNNNNNNNNNNNNNNNNNNNNNNNUGCACACCAGGUAUUAACUAUACUGAAACUUUCGCUCUUGUUGCUCACCUUGAUACUAUUCGAGCACUCAUAGCCCUUACAGCACAAAAAGAAUGGAAGAUUUAUCAACUAGAUGUGAAGUCGGCAUUCCUAAAUGGAUAUAUUCAAGAAGAAAUAUACAUAGAACAACCACAAGGCUUUAUCCUCAAAGGCCAAGAAGAAAAAGUUCUCAAACUCAAAAAAGCCCUAUAUGGGUUAAAACAAGCACCACAUGCGUGGUAUAGUAGAAUCGAUGAAUACUUCAUCAAGCAAGGAUUUAGGAGGAGUAUGAGUGAGCCGACACUCUACAUCAAGACCCAAGGUAAGUCCGACACUCUCAUUGUCUCUCUAUAUGUAGAUGAUCUCAUAUAUAUAGGAAACAAUGAGACAAUGAUCCAAGAAUUCAAAGAAGAAAUGAUGAAGACAUUUGAAAUGACGAACUUGGGCUUGAUGAACUAUUUCCUCAGUAUUGAAGUCAAUCAAGAUGAAGGAAUUUUCAUCUCGCAAAAGAAAUAUACCGAAAACCUCCUAAAGAAAUUCAAGAUGAACUAUUGCAAAGCAGUUUCAACCCCACUCAUGACAAAUGAAAAACUAUUGAAGGAAGAUGGAGCAAAAAAAGCCAAUGCCUCCCUCUAUAGAAGUUUGAUUGGCAGUCUGUUAUAUCUCACUGCUACACGAUCGGAUAUUAUGUAUGCGACAAUUCUACUAUUACGAUUCAUGCAAAGUCCGAGUCAAAUACACUCUGGAGAUACCAAGACAAUUCUUAGAUAUUUACAAAGAACUAUAGACUACGGCAUUCGGUAUCGCCCAAAUGCUAACUCCAAGCUCAUUGGCUACACUGAUAGCGACUGGGCUGGUUCAACUGAUGAUAGGAAAAGUACAAUUGGCUAUGCAUUCACUCUAGGUUCUGGAAUAUUCUCAUGGACAUCCAAAAAACAAAACUCUGUGGCACAGUCUACUGUAGAAGCUGAAUACAUCGUAGCUGCUACGACUGCCAGUCAAACAAUAUGGCUUCGAAGAUUUCUAGAAGACAUUGGAGAAACACAGAUAGAAUCAACUCCGAUACUUUGCGACAAUAAGUCCGCAAUCGCUACAUCAAAUAAUCCAGUAUUCCAUGGAAGAACCAAACAUAUAGACAUCAAAUAUCACUUCAUACGAGAUGCACAAAAUAACAAAGAGAUUGAGCUGAAAUAUUACAAAACCGAGGAACAAGUAACGAACAUCUUCACUAAAGCACUACCGCUAGCCAAGUUCGAGACAUUGCGAGAAAUGCUUGGAGUAACACGAAAUUGGAUCAAGGAGGAGUGUUAAAUUAUUGAGCCAAUUUCUAGAAAAUUCUUGAAAGAUUUGAGCUAGAAAAUACAAGAAAAUCCUAGAAGAAUCUAUGGAAUUAUCUCUGCAAAUGGCAGAGAUAUUUGCCUUAGAAAAGCCUAGUUUUCUAGAAAAAAAAAUUGUAAAAGAAACUCCUAGAAUAUGGGCUAAGUCAGUGGAGUGUCCCUAUAAAUAGGGAAGGAGGGGGGGGAGCGUAAAAAAAAGGCAGAGCAAAAAGGUAAGCUCCUCCCCUCCCUUUGUACUUUGUACUACAACUAAAUAAAUAAAUAAAUAAGCUUUCCUUUGUUGUUCCCUUGCUGCCACUCUCUUUUAUAUAUUCUUAUAAUUACUUUGUCCAACCAUUUUCUUACCCAUAUUGUUCUUUCUUUAGCCCUCUUGAAAGUUCACACACAAAACAUACUUGCACAUACAUUAAAUACACGCUUCCGCAAAUACCAACAUUUUUAAAUGGGGAACUAUGCUAGUUCCCUUUGCUUGAGUAGUGUGUCAACAAUCUAAUCUAAAAUUAAAUAUUUAUGAUACAAAAUAUGAAGUAAUUUUUUUUCAUAUUUAUGUAAUGAAUGUGCAUAUAAAUGUUGGUCGAAUUUAACUUAUGUUAUAUGCUGAAAGUUAAUGGAUCUCUUAUUUAUUAUUCAUAACACUUGAGAUGUGUACUAUAUGCUAAUGGUAAAGCUAUUUUGAGUAGGAGAAGCUUGUCAACGCAUCAGAAAUACGGUAAAUAGCAUCAACCUGUUUUCUUCUAAAUAUAAUGAUCAACUAUUGUACUUUGACGGUUGCGUUACUGUUCAAAUGCUGCACAACGUUUGCGCAACUGCCUAGCAUGUCCGUAAAUUUAUUCUCCCAGAUCUAUGCGUAUGUUCCUUUUGCAGUUGCAGUUGCAUUUCUUGUUGCAUCCCUUGGCAUCCACAGACUACUAUCAAUUCCUAUUGUCAUAGGUUUCGGCUAACUUUCUACUUUGCAUUCUCGUCAUUUUUUCAUUAGGAACUGUUGGGAAUAAUGGAUCCCCAAAAACUGGAUUCAACACUAAAUCGAACCCCUAAAGCAAUGCGAAAGACGAAGCCCGAGAAUAACACAUAUCACCGAUCGUAAAGCACACCACGAAUUCAAGCGUACCUUGUUAGCCACAGAUUAGACACCGACGCCGAUAAGAGGAAGAGAUUUGGCCCUGUUCGAUCCGAUGAUGCCUUGAAGGGAAGAAGAAAUGUGUCUUUUGCCUUACUGUUUCUUCUUUUUCUUUUUGAGAGAGAGUGCACGGGAGAAGGGAAGACGUACGUACGUUCAUUAUGCCAAGAGGUGUCUUCUCUCUCUCUCUCUCUCUCUCUCUCUCUCUCUCUCCUCCCUUUUAUACCUUCCCCCAUCCAUGGGCCCUAUUCCCGUGGGCCGGGCUUUUUGGGCCCAACCUGGGCGGACGGGCCUUAAGCCAGGGCCUUAAGCCCAUCGCUAAUAAAACCAUCAUCUCCCACUCGCACAUGGUGGGCUGAACAUAAUUCUCUUUACCUCUCUUCAACAUUCAUACCGGUGAAUAAUCCGUGUGACCAGCAUACUUUGAGAGCUUGUUGCUAUAUAUCUGUUAAGAAUAUAUAGUAGCUCAUAAUGGGCAUCACACUCCAAGUAGAUUUAGUAUGCAGUACCCUAGAUCGAUUGAUCACAUUUAUAUUUCUCUUGAUCUCUUUUUAAACAAUGAUAUAUAUAUAUAUAUAUAUAUAUAUAUAUAUAUAUAUAUUGUAUUCACAAUUAUGAUUAUUACAAAGACAGUCAUAAUUGGUUAACCGGUGAAUACAAAACUAUAAUGUGAUUCUCCAAAAUCGAUUUUCCUCUUUCCUUCAAACUCUCAAUUUCAGUUCAGCUUGCUUUUCUAGAAAUGUCACAUUAGAUCGAAUCAACUCAUGACCAUUGGCAAUAUCCUAAGAUAGCAAACACUAAAUAGAAACCUUGAGAAUAAGUAAAAGUCAUGAGGGGACUAAAAAUUGAGGAACUCUUUUCCUCAAGAGUCUCACACGACAUAAAAGUUGAGAUCAAACUUUUGCCACUCUUAUUGGUCGUCUCAUGCAUACGUAGUAUGAAAUACGUAUUACAGUAUUAACUCAUUUCCCAUGGAGCGUAUGUCUACACUUUCAAUACCGUAUAGAUGAUAGUUCAGACAUACCCAAUGUCUAACUUGAGUUCACGUAUCUACUCAUUCACAAAAUUCAUCAGAACUCACAUCUGGCAUCAUAGACAGAUAAAGUAAAAUAUGUGGGGUAUUUUACUUUCGGACAUAGUAAGUAUUAUGUCCUCAUCUUAACACCCAGUUAAGGCGACAUACGUGUUUUAAGCUUGAGCUCUUGAUUAUCACCUAGAUAAUAAGCUUAAAAAUAGUCUCAUCUCUAUUUAUCAUAUAGUAAAUAGAGGCGAUUACCCGUGUGAGUGGGCUAAUCUUAUAUAUGUCCAACAUACUUUCUCAACUUAAAAUAAUGCACUGAGCAUUAAGAUGCAUUAAGAUCAAACAAAGAUUCAUAGGCAUUAAUGAUGAAAAAACAUAAAUUCAUCAAAUGUGAACACUUCAGGGAAAUUACAAUCUAGUACAUCAGACUCUACGCAAUCCUAGAGAUUUCAUGUGGCCACAAAACACAUCUCUAGGUAUUGGCUUUGUCAUAGGAUCUACUACCAUUCGAUGCGUAGAUAUAUACUGUAAGUUCGCAUCAUUUCGUGCAACCAUAUCUUUGACAAAAUUAUACUUUGUAUCUAUAUGUUUGGUCUUGCCAUGAUAUUUUGGAUCUUUGGUGUACGCUUUUGCUGCUUGGCUAUCACAGUUAACUAACAAUGAAUCUGCAGCACUUCAAAUAACACCUAAAUGAUCCAAUAAUCUCUUAAGCCAAACAUCUUAUUUUAUUGCUGCUGAUAAUGCCACGAACUCAGUUUCCAUCGUGGACAAGGCUAUACACUUUUGUUUCUUACUGCUCCAACAUAUGGUGCCAUUAUUCGGUAAGAAAACAAACCCAGAGGUAGAUUUUCUUUAAUCUAAAUCUCCUCUCCAAUCAGCAUCAGAAUAGCCUUUGAGUUGCAGAUCCUUUCCAUAAUAACUCAACGUAUAAUCAGCAGUCCCAUUUAGAUACCUUAGUAUUCAUUUAACAGCCUUCCAAUGUGCUUGACCUAGAUUGGAUUGGUAUCUACUCACCAUUCCAACUGCAUAACAUAUGCCAAGUCUUGUACACAUCAUAGCGUAUAUCAAGCUCCCAAUAGCACUAGCAUAAGGAACAUAUUCCAUUUGUUCCUUCUCUUGUGGAGUCCUUGGACACAGUCUAUGGCUCAAUCUUUCACAUUUUGCAAUAGGAGUGUCUAUGGGUUUAAAAUCCCAUAUCCUUCAAUUCAAAAUUGGAAGACAACUAACUUUUGACAGUAUUGACAAGCUCCAUAUUGCUUCCGGCAAUCAGUAUAUCAUCAACAUAUAAUGUUAUGAUCACAAAUAGACCUUUGGAUCUUUUGAUAUAUAUACAAUGAUCCUCAUAUAUCAUUAUAAAAUCAUAUGCCAUUACGGCAUUAUGAAAACAUAUAUACCAUUGUCUUGACGACUGCUUAAGGCCAUAUAUCGACCUCAAAAGUUGACAUACCUUUUUUUUCUUGGCCUUUCACUAUGAAACCAGCAGGUUGUUCCAUAUAUGUUCCUUCCUCUAAUUCUCCAUUGAGGAAAGUAGUAUUUACAUCCAUUUGAUGUAACUCAAGAUCUAUACUAGCCACUAUUGCCAGAAUAAUGCGAAUCUAGGUAAAUCCCACUAUAGGAGAAAAUGUAUAUUCAUCAUCAAUUCCUUUAUGUUGAUUAUACCUCUUCGCCACAAUGCGAGCAUUAUGCCUUUCUAUCGAGCCAUUAGCAUUUCGCUUUAUUUUGAGAACCCACUUGUUCCCAAUAGCUUUGUGUCCUUUUGGAAGAUCAACCAGUUCCCAGACUUGGUCUGAUUUCGUUGACUCUAUUUCCUCUUCCAUUGCAUGAAUCAAUUUUUCCUUAUUAGGGCAAUUCAAAGCCUCAUUAAUAUUUCUUGGCUCAUCCUCAUCUUGUGGAGCAAUCGUAAAAGUUUCCCCUUCAAUGUCAAAACGUCGAUGGGGAAUACUCUGGCGACUUGUUUGCCGUAUGGGAAAUUGUAUACUUAGCACAUCAUUCCCCAUAAUGCUCCCAAUAGGAUUAGAUAAUGACGUUGUCUCAUCAUGUGGUUGCAAUUGAGAAUGAAUUAAAUUAAAUUCAUCACUUCUCAUAUUACUCCCACUUGGAUGAACUCCAUUAAUAUCAUUAUCUUGAUCCAAUGUUUCAAAUAGGGGUAAGCUUCCCUUAUUUCGCCCUUCUUAGGAAAUUCAUCCACUAAGAAUGUGACAUCCCGUGAUUCAAAUUCAGUUAUACUCCCACUUUCCUACUCAACUACAAACACAUACCCUUUCGAGUGUUCGGAAUAUCUCAUUAAAAUACUCUUCUUUCAUUUAGGACCCAAUUUUCCAAACUUGUGAAAGGACUCAUGAAUAUAGGCAGCACAACCCCAUGGCUUAAGAAAACUUAAGUCAGGUUUUCUACCUAUCAAUAACUCAUAUGGAAUGGAAGUAACUGAUUUGGAAGGCAGUAGUUAACUACGCAUUACUACAAAAAGUGAUAUGUAAGUUAGCAUUCGCUAUCAUGGACCUAACCAUUUCUAGUAGGGUUCUGUUUCUUCUCUUUGCAACACCAUUUUGUUGAGGAGUGUAUGGAAUAGAUAACUGUAUUUCUAUUCCUUUUCAUCACAUUAUUUUCUGAACUCAUCAGAUAAAUAUUCUCGACCUCGAUCGUAUCUCAAUACUUUUAUUUUCUUGUCUAAUUGAUUUUCUUCCAAGUUCAUAAACUUUUUGAAACAACUUAUGCUUUAGAUUUAUGAGAAAUCAAAUAGACACAUCCGAAUCGAGUAUAAUCAUCUAUUAAAAGUGAUGAAGUAAACAGUCAUAUGCCUUCCUCUCACAUUCAUUGAACCACAAACGUCAUAAUGGAUUAAAUGCAGAGGAACAUCAGCUCUUUUACCUUUUCCAAAUGGUUUCAUUGUCGUUUUCCUUACUAGGCAAUGCUCACAUAUGGGCAAAUCGACUUUUUCAAUAUUGCCCAACAAGCCCUUUUUGGCUAGUCUAUUCAUACAUUAUUGGACAAUAUGACCAAGUCUAGCAUGCCACAUAUUCACAUCAUUAUCAUAUGAAGUCAACAUUGACAUUGACAUCAUCACAGUCAAUAUUUAGUACAAUAAAACCAUCUAGAAAGUGACCAUAACCAUAGUAAUUUGUAUCCAAAUACAAAUCUACACUGCUAUUACGGAAGUUCACACUAAAACCAAGCUUAACCAACAUCAAAACAGACACUUAAAUUUCGACGAAUCUCCAGAGCAUAUAGAACAUCAUGUAUGAACAAGUUGCGUCCACCACGCAUGUUCAAUUGGCAAGUGCCAAUCCAUUUAACUUCAUCUCUGGAGUUAUUUCCUACAUAGAUCCACUUAGUUCCAGUUAGUACUCGUCGGAAUUCCACGAAGGAUCAUAUAUCCUUUGCUACAUGGUCUAUCGCUCCUGAAACUAUAGUCCACAAAGGAUUGGAUUCAACCAAUAAUUCAGAACUUGACACAUAAGCAAAGUUCUCAAAUGUACAAGAGGUGUGUACCUUCUUUGGCUCACGACAGUCGCGAGCAUAGUGACCAUUCUUGUCACAAUUGUAACACCCCACCCUUGACAUUUUCUUCACUUGAUGAGGCUUUCCUCUCUUGUGUUGGUUAACUCUUGAUCUUUUGCAAUAAGGACUUGAUCCUUUGCAUUCUCAUAUAUUGAACGAAUCAAUACGCUUGCGCUUAGAGCUCAAAGCCCUUUCUGAGCUAGAACUAGCAUUGCAAAUAUCUAUUUUCAGCUCACAUGCCGUUAAGUGGUCCUCUACUAGCUCAAGGUGGCGCACAACAUCCUCAAGAUCUUCCAUAACAUGGUCAAGAGCUUCUAGUGCUUCUUGCUUUUCCAGCACAUAUUGAAUCUCCAAAUUCAAUAUUUCACAAUUGUUGCCGUUCAUAUCAGCAAUUACGUUCUUAGUUGCUGAAACCAUCAAUCUGAACACAUCAGACAUAUAUGCACGAAUAAUUAAUGCCUAUCAUUUAUCCAUCCACUUUGCACAGACCCAUCAUAUCAAUGAAUAAUUUCAAGGUUUCAGAAUCAAAAUGUCAUUAUGUUUCCAAUCAUCCUCCAAAAAUCCUAACUUAAAACUAUCAUUAAUAUAAUUGUCUUAUGCAAAAUAAAUUCUAUGAAGUUACAAAAACUUCUAUAACUACCCACAGCUAACUACCCACAACAAUCAGCAAUUAACAAAAAGCAACAGAUAAUUGACAUCCAAUAAAAUAAUAAUACUUUCAACUAACACAACAAUCCAUUACACUAAGUAAUAUAUCCAGAAAGAAAUUUCAACAUAGAAAGAGAUAUUCACACCAAAAAAAAUCUCAAAACUAAUCUAAGAAAUAAAUAGGGAAAGUCCAUUCUAAUCUAUCAGUUAAAGUAUCUGAGAAAACUGAAGGCACAUUUGCCAACCAUGGGAAAACUUUUGGAGAGCUUUCAUGUCGCCACCAAGGCACAUUUACUCUACGUCAUGUGGCGCUCAAUCUAAGGGUUGAAAUUUUGGCCAACUCAAUCCUAUAGUACUCUCUUACAAAAGCUUCCACUAGCCUCCUAUAAUCCGGAACCACGUUGACCUCCCAUAGCCGAUCUAACACUGCUUGCCAUUCAGGUGAAAGAGUGUUCAUCAAAGCCGGCACCUUCUCAAAAUCCGGCAUAAGAUAACCAUUCCAGAUGAUUUUCUGUAUCAUAUGAUUGACCCUCACCACGUGUGAUACUAAAUCACCGUCAUACCAUCGAUAAUCAGCUAACUCUUUCAUCAGCCUUUUAAGUCUAGCUCUUCCUUCGUCUGUUCUCGGGAUUGCAGAUAUCCGUGCAUAACGCAUCAUAGUUCCUGCAACAAAUGCAUAACUAAAAUGGAUCACUUAUAAUCCACAAUAAACAAAAUGGAAAAUAAUUAAAUUUCCAUGAUUCAUGCAACAAAUGAAGAAUAAAAAUUGGAUUACCUCUAACCCAACCAAACAUUAUUGAAAAAGAAACAAAUCUUUUUCUUUUUUUUUCAGGUCAACGGUCAACGGUCGUCGGUCAAUGGUCAACGGGUCAACGGUCAGGUCGUCGGACCGAUCGGGCCCGGUCGGACGAACCGACCGCACGUGCCGCACACAUGCGCAGGCUGACGUCACGCAGACGUCAACCGGCACGUGCCGCGCGCAUGCCAGGCGUCCGCAGGUCGGGUCGGGUCGGAUCGCCGGCCGGGUCGCCAGUCGGUGACCGCCCGGCCAACCGUCAUCGGCGAUGACGUCAUGCCAGCAGUUACCGAUCGUUGGAUGACGUUAGCACGCGUCGGUCCGCCGACCUACACUUGCCGGUUCGCCGCCGGCGUCGCGCACGUGCCGGUUCGCCGACUGGCGCAUGGGACGCACGUGCUGGCCGAUGCCAACACUUCAGCGCGUCGCGCCCACGCGCAGCGGCUUCUAGCUGCGCGUGCAGCGUCGCCCGGCGGCGCACGACAUGUCGCCGGACUUGCCUCGAUGACCUCUUUCACCCAGUUCCUCAUAAUCAUUUUGACUUACGGAACUCGAAAAAAUCGAUGACAGUGCUCGGAAUCCGUGCCAGCUGAUUUCUUGCGAAAAUUCAAUCAAAAACAUCAAAACAGGUCUUGAAAACAUGAACUAGGGCUCUGAUCCAAUGUUGGGAAUAACGGAUCCCCGAAAACCGGAUUCGACACUAAAUCGAACCCCUAAAGCAAUGCGGAAGACAAAGCCCGGGAAUAACACGUAUCACCGAUCUUAAAGCACACCACAGAUUCGUGCGUACCUUGUUAGCCACAGAUUAGACACCGACGCCAAUAAGAGGAAGAGAUUUGACCAUGUUCGAUCCGAUGACGCCUUGAAGGGAAGAAGAAAUGUGUCUUUUGCCUUACUGUUUCUUCUUUUUCUUUUUCAGAGAGAGUGCGCUAGAAGAGAAGACGUACGUAUGUUCAUUAUGCCAAGAGGUGUCUUCUCUCUCUCUCUCUCUCCUCCCUUUUAUACCUUCCCCCAUCCACGGGCCCUAUUCCCGUGGGCCGGGCUUUUUGGGCCCAAUCUGGGCGGACGGGCCUUAAGCCCAUCACUAAUAAAACCAUCAGGAACGAAGGAAAACUAGUUAAAGAGGUGGUUACGAGGGUUUUAAGUGAGCUGAAGAACGCGUCAUUGGUCGUUAGUGAUUUCUUGGUUGGUGUUGACAACAGUGUGAAAAAAGAUCGUGGGAGUUCACAUAAUGGAUGGCAUCGGAGAAACUACUCUUGCCAAAGUAAUCUACAACAAACUUUCUCUAGACUCUUGUUUGAUGCAUUGAAUUCAUGCACACACAAGUUUUGUCACAGGCGGAGUUUAGCAAACCAGCUUAUAGCGAACAUUCUUCCUUUAAGGGUGUCAAACGCAAAUACGAAGGUAUGCUCUACAUUGAGAUUGUCAAACCUGAAUUGUUCUAUAAGAUUAAGCAUGAGUUCAAUCUUGAAAUGUGGAACACUGAAAGAGGUCAUGGCUUAAAAGCUGCCAGACCAUAAGGAUAGGCGGUUAGGGAUUAUUUCAAGCUAUGCUGUGUUGUCGGAACUGGUUAGAUUUUUGACUAAUUUUUUGGGCCAUAGAGUAAACCUUACACAUUAGCUAUUGCUCCUCUUGCUAUAGUAAGCAUAUACAAUCCUUUAGAAGACUACCGCCUAGUUGUCAAUGGAACAUAAGAUUCGGAAGAUGGGUCCCAUCACCGGCAUCGAAUUUGGCAUUGGUCUCAAGAGAAGUCAUGGCAACUUAUUGUGAGUGAGUCAUGCUCGGGAAAGAAGAUCAGUGCUAUAUCUAACUUGAAAAAGAUAACAACCAGAUGAACCUGAGAUAAACUCCAAGUUAAAAAGUUACUGAGUUUUUCAAGAUCUUUCAUCUGUUGACUAAGAUAUUGCUGGAGUUAUGAAAUUCCCGUGCAAUCAUCUCUAGUGAUAAAAAUGUUGUCCACAUAUAGAGCAGAAAAUAGACCCACGAGAAGUGUGUCGAGCAAAAAGAGCAUGGUCGUAGGGACCAAGAAAAAGCCAAGGAAUUCCAUUGUGGAGCUAAAGUUGGAAUACCGUGCUUGAGGAGAUUGUUUCAAUUAAUAUAAUGCGCAACCUAAUGGACGCACUUAAAUUAUUGACAAGGGUCGUGCUUUUAUUUUUCCUUUUCUUUUAUUUUGGCCUGGCAGACCCCUGUCGAGAAUUGUUGAGAAGGUCAUGCUUCAAGCAAAACACAAUUAUUAAGAUCCACAUAAGAUUCAUUGAUCGACUUGAACAUGGCUACUUCGAGAAGAAAAGUUAAAUCUCAAUCUGUCAAAGAGAAAGCAACCCCCAUGCAUUAAACUGGUUACAGCAAAAAUCUACAACCCUGACCGCAAGUGACGUAGGUUUUUGUUGUCCUUUUUAGACUAAUGAAAGCCUCAUACGCUUCUUCGUCGUCAUAGCCCUUAAGACUAAUUUCCAUUUCUCACAAUACGAUCCCUUCUGCUUCGAAUGGAAAGCUCUUCAGAAUGUGUAUAGCUGCUGAAUCGAAUUAAUGUCCAAGCCUUUCAGCAUGACCGCGGAUUCAACAUGGCCCUUCAGAGGUUGUAGCUCUCGAAGCCUGCGACAACAGAUUCAGUUUGCCUUACUAUCGGAUGUCAGACUUAAAUGGCGAAAAGGAACUGCUAGCAGAGAAAGAUUUAAACUCUAUUGAGAAAGUAAGCUUCCUAAACUCCUUAAAUGCAGCAUGGCCUUUAAACUUCAGUUAUCAGGCAAGCAAACAGGUACAAAAGCGAAGUAGGUGAAACUAUGUUUUUCAGUAAAUAACACGAUUUUCUUACGAGCAUUGAAGUAUGAGAAUUAAUGUGCCCAUCUCGCAACCUCUGCUCGUCACUUGGCUUGCUCUGCGAUCUCUGAGAGCUCCCUGUAGCUACUCUUGUCAGAGAAAAGGUUGCUGGUUUCAGGAGGCUGACGGCCGUGCAGAGUCCUCCGUGCAGUUGCCCAUUGAGCUUCUUGCUCUUCUUUGCCAUAGUCUUUUUUGGUAGUGAAGGCAGUCUGCCUGAUCAAAUUGGCCAAAAUUAACAUAAUGUAGGGUUUUUCAUAAUACAUAAUCCGUGGCAAUGCCUUUUCUCAGUGGAAAUACCUUGUUCUCCGAGAGGGUAUUCCAUGCUUUCCCGCUCAGAAUGUAGCGGAUUGCGUAUUUCAGAAAACUCAAGCAGAACAUAUGUCACCAAGCUGUAGAUGACACUGGCCCACCCCCAUUCAGUUCCUUUUAUCCUCACGAAACCCCAAUUUGCAUAAACCGCUGUAAGUGUUGCAUCGUGUCCAUGAAAAAUUUUGCAUCAGGGAACCAUAUUGGUGAAUGGUGAUUAAGUUAUUGAUUGUCCAAACCAUUGACCGUCAGUUAAAGCUAAUAAAUCUGCGGUUCUCACUUCAACCGGACUCCAAUGAAAUUAGUCAGUAGAAAGUACCAUAGCAAACUUAUGCUCCCGGUAGAAAGUGAACAGACUAUUCUCACCAGCUGAGCAACUACAAAUGCCCUGACCAAGAGAAGUCCCGGGUGUUCCACAAAGGACCAGCUGCGCAAUCUGGUGACAAAGAUUAGAGCCUGGCUAACCAUUCUCGCAAAUAUAGGGCUGCCAUCAUUUCACUGGGGCUAUAUCUGAUUGAUUUUUUACAACAAACUUGUCCUGCACCAUAGAAUAGGGUAGUGAUAUUUUAUUGCUUCUCGUUUCAAUAAUUAAACAAAAUAUACACAUGAGAAACAGAACUAGAAAACCACACAAGAAACAGGUUCUUACUGAGAAGUCCACAUCUUUCAUGCCCCAAAAUAUUAUACAGUUAUUAGUGCCAGGUAACCUCCAAGAACAAUUCCGGUAGCAAAAUUUUCUUUCAACUUUGGCUUUCUUGCUAGGGAGAUGGCCUCACUCAAUCUUUAAAGAUUGUCACGAUCAUUCCUGAGAUUGGUACAAAAAACUAUUUAAAUUAGUCUUUCUUAAUCUGCUAUGUUGAACCAGGAGUACAAGAAUACACAAACCUAUCAUCUUAUCAUUGUUUAAUAUGGCAAUGAUCAAAACCAUAAAGGACAGUAAGAUUUCACAAUUCCAUAAGAUGAUCCAAGAUAGUUGCAGGUAUGGAUUGAUCUGAGUAACUUUUCAAUUGUGUGUCUACUUGCGCUCUUUCUCGACAUGCUCACAACUAUGCCACAUGAAGAAGAUGAUUAGAACAGUAAAUUGUGUGGAAUACGAUGGUCGAUUAAGGAAUUCUCGCCUCAGAGGAGAUGUAUGCUGAGGAAUGUCUUCUCAACAGGGUGUUCCAUCUGCACAGUGAUUUUAAUUUAGCUCACACAUCAACCACCUCCAAAUAUGGUUCUUCAUUGAUAAUUUUAUUUUUGGCCUUUGGUUUAUUUCUAGUUGAUCAAGAGGACCAAAGUAUUAUAAAGAACAUGACACUGAAUCAAUUUUCUUCUACUGGUCAAAUUUGACACAGAGAAACACCACUAAGAAAUUAAAAGUUGCCUGGGAAUAAUCUUUCAAUAUCCUUUCUCAAACAAGUGUGGCAGAGAAUUUUAAGUUUGCUGAAAGUACAAAGACAAGCUGAAGAAUGUGAUCAAGAGUUCUCAUGAGCCCUGCAGAUGACGAAAGGGAAAAGCUUGAAAGUUGCUCAGUUGCAACUUGGGUGGAAUGCUACAAUAUACAUUAUCUGAAAGGAAGGGAAUAAGGCGAUACAUGAGCAAGUUAACCCCCAAAAGAAUAAGGUUGCUGCUGCUGAAAUUAUCAAUAAAAGUCAUGUUUCGGUCAUUAAUUCUGAAGGAAGCAGUUCCUGAUGAGGUUAAAAGUAUCUAUAUUCUUGCUCGACCAAGACUGCUUUGAAACCAUGAUUGAGGACUGGUUUGCUCGAUAGUAAGUGAGUUACUGGUUUUCACUUGUAUGAUUGUUUCUAGGGUUAAUACCAGAAACAAUUCAGACCGAUACGUUAUGACGAAUUUAUCCCGAAUUAAUUUUUUGACUGCAAAAAAUCUAAAAUCGGUACAAAUGUGAUAAAAAAAAAUUAAAACUAAUUUUUUUAUUACCAAAAACUCCAAACUGAUACAUUUUGAGACACAUUUAUCCACUGUUAAUUUUUGUUAAAUUGGAUUAAUAUCACGAAAAAUAAAAAAAAUAAAAAAACUGCCACACCUAUAACAUAUGGAGAGUAAAACUCUAAAAUGAUAUACUCAACUGUCACAUGUCGUUCAAUGCAAUUUGAUGGUGAAAUUUAAUGUAUCAUCCGAAGAAAUUUAUUGAAUCAUCAACUUAGCAAUUUGAUGGUGAAAUUUAAUGGAAACUAACAGAGAUUGAAUUUAUUACAGGUGUAUUGAUUUAGGGUGUUUUGUUGCUAAAAAAAUUAGUUCGGGAUAAAUUUGAUACAAGUGUACUAUUUUGAGAUUUCUAUGAUUUUAAUCCUUAUUUCUAUUCUAGUGUUUCUUGUGAUAAGGGUUAUUGAGUUUAAGGAGAGGUGUCCAAGACUUUUUUAAAUUCAUAUUUAAUAGGUGGAUUGUGCAUCGGUUUGUCAAAAUUUAAAGAAUUGGUUGUUUUGUGAAGCCCAACUAGAUAUGGAUUUUAAUUAGUCUCGACUAAACUCACGCGCAACUCACCAAACAAUGCCUCCUCUUGUUUGGGCUGGCUGACGCUGUUUGGGCUGUUGCGGGGUCGAGCUUACAAAUUCACUCGUAUCUUACGCAUCUCGGACAACAGCAACCAUGCCCAUCUCAUAGCCGGUCGGUCUCACAGAAUGUGCACCAAGAUAUAUCAAACUCUUCCAAGAAUCCAAUCUCUUAAGUCCUAAUUUCAACUAGAUUUUAGCAAACUCCGGAAAUUAAUAGCUCCAGAGAUUAAAUCUGAAAGAUCUAGCCUCUCGAUGGACUUGCAUCCAGCAAUAUUCCCCUUUUCCAGGCAUGCCCCUACCUAUUAUGGCCAUGAAUUCUAGCUAGAUUUUGCAAUUUGUAGCACUCUUCAUACACUUAAAUAAUGGUUUUAGGCCUUUCAAUGGAGUUGCUCUAAGAGACAUCGAACUCUUCUAAUUUCGACUAGAUAAUGACAACCUGCAGCAUCCAACAGCUUCAUUUGAUUAUCGUGGUCUCCAAUUUCAAUGAGUUGAUCGCCAAAUAGCUUCAAACUAGUAGAUUGCAGAAGGCCCAAGCCUUCAGGGGACUUGUGUAGAGAGAAAUCCAAUAAUUCCAACUUAAAAGCCCUUGAAUAUUUUAUAGGCUUUCACAUUCUCGAACCAUCACUUGCUUGAGACAUUUUGAUUGAGAAAGGUCCAUCCUUUCAAGGGACUUGCACAAAGAGAUACCCAAUACUUCGAAGAACUCCAAUUCAUUAAGGCAUUAAAUUUCUGGUAAAUUUCACAUUCUUUAGCAUUCUAUGAAGGAUUCAGCCUAAUAAUAGAAUUGCAUGAAGAGAUAUCCAACACUUUUGACCACUUCAAUCUAACAAAUUGCUAGAAUUUCAACCAGGUUUUGGCAAUUUGCAAUGGCCAAUCUCCUUAUACAACCUCCAAGAACUCGUACUUAUUAUGACCUCGAAGUCCAACAAAAUUUGCACAAGAGCAUGCCUUCAAUAGCUUCAAACAAUCUAAUUGUAAAAGGUCCAGCCCUUUAAUCGACAAAUCUAACAUUUCCAAGACCCCCAUAUGGCCUUGGAUUUCGGCUAGAUUUUAACAAGAAGCCUUCAACUGCUUUAGUAAUAGGUCUAGCCUCCUCAUGGAUUUGCACUAGAAGAUGUUUGUCUCUUUCAAGAACUCUGACCUAUGAAGGCCUUCAAUUUCACUUAAAUUUUCGCGACAACUAGCAUUUACUUUCUUUAAAUGUUUCCAUUGAGAAAGAUCCAGCAUUUCAAAAGAAUUGCAUGGGUCGAUGAUUAACUAUCCAGGAACUUGGAUCUAUCAAGACCUCAACUUCAACAAGAACAUUGUUUUUUUUUUUUAAUCUCAGUGAAGCUUUCAUUCCAUCAUAAUAUACGAGGUUAUCAAGACCAGAUGAAUUUGUACCUCAUGCUUUAUCCAAUGUUGUCGUUUCAUAAUUUUCAUAUGUUCAUAUGGAAAAUCUAGAGACCCCUUAAGAUUUUUACUAAAAAAAUUUAUUGUUGAUUGACUUAAACAAAUGUUUACUCGUUGCCUUCUUUUUGGUCCUCGAUGCACGCUCCCUAGUGGCUUUAACAACUAACCCACUAACAUUUAUUUAUUGGAAAGUAAUUACAGUGAACUCACAGAAUUGAUGCAAUAAAAUAGACUAAUUAAUUGACCUUGACUUAGAAAAGAUGUAUGCUACCUAGGCCUUAGCCACUAGCCCACUAUCCAUUUUUUUUUAUUGAAAAGUAAUUACAGUUAACUCAAUAAUUGAUGUAAUAAAAUAGACUGAUUAAUUGACCUUGACUUAGAACAGUGAUAAGCCGUUCCCUUCUAGCUCUAGCCAUUCCAUUCACAGCUCCGAGAGGGCCUUUCUUUUUCACCUUUAGGAGUCUUCCUAUACGCGUUCUUCGUCGUUGCCUUUCAGGCAUUAUCCGGUGGCGGUUCUAUCUUGGUGCUGAAUGGAGUCGACCAACAUGAGCUAAUUUUAGUAUCAUUUGUGCACCAACAUUUUGAUUAGCCCGUGCGACGCAUGGGAGGAUCGUUUAACGUUUACAUUGCUGUCCUCUUUGGCGAUGACAUUGAUAAUGUAUCUAAAAGCAAGGAGAAAAGAAAGAAAAUGACGUAAUAGCUAUGGUUCCACUAUAAUUAUGUUACUAUUAUACUAGUCUCUUGCUAUGCACGCGAAAAAAGACUUAUGAAAUAGAUUACGAUAAAUAACAAUUCUAGAAAUAUGCUUGAUCAGUAUGAGGAUAAGAGAUUUUUGUAAUAUCGAAAAAAGAAUUAUGUAUGUUGAACUAAAUGGGAAAAAUUUUAUUUUGAUUAAAAUGGAAAAACAAAAGAAUUUUUUUUUUCCAAAAGAAAGUGAAAAUAAAUGUCACUCAUGAAGAGUAUCACAUGUCAGUCAUAUACUAAUAAUAAUUUAGUGCAUCACUUUACAUUUUUCAAAGGGUACAAGCCAUCAAAAACUCUAAACUAUACACAUUAUGAGACAUUUACUCCAAGUUUGUAUAGUAUGAUAAAUUUACCCCAAACUUCUUUUUUGACACCAAAAACCACUAACUUCAGUAUGUGACACCAAAUUUUUGGGGCAAAAAUGUCAUACGAAUACAAGUUUUGGGCAUUUGGUGUUACAAAAAAAAGUUUGGAAUUUUUGAUGUCAUAGAAAAAAAGUUUGGGAUAAAUGUGUCAUAUGGAUACAAAUUUGGGAUUUCAAAUUUGCGUUUUAGGAAAAGAAAGGGAAAGAAUUUCUCUUACCAUCCAAUUAAUGAGAACGCAUAAAAUCAUCUUCCCAAUAAGAAUGUUUUACUGUUAAUCUAUGUAUUGAGGUAAUAUGACUUCUAAUUUUUCUAACUAAUUAUUCUAAGGACCGACGUUGGCCUUUUUAAUCAGGAUAUAUGCAUUUUUAUUAAUUCAAAUAAUCAAUAUGAACAGUGAUGAAUUGAGUAAUACAAUUAUCUAUAGUAAUUUUAAUUUAUUCGGCGCGUGUUGUGAGGGGUGAUGGACUUUUUGGCCAUCGACCCACUGUCAAGACAAAUAAUUUUGUGAAAAAUCCAGAUGAGCGCUUUCCAAAUUCAUGUUGCUUUUUGCCAUAGCAGCCUUUGAAGGUUCUUGCAAAUGCAGAUUUUCUGUCUUCCGUUUGCUCUAAGGUUCACUCCCUUUGUGCGUUUUAUUUCAGUGCAGAAAAUGGAAGAGCACAUCUUCCAAAUUCAUGUUGAUUGACUGAGAGCAGUAAGCACGUGGUGGGUCAUUGCCUUCCCUCGGACCUUGACCUCCGCCCGAUGUUAUCAUUUGGCCACGUCCUCCGACGAAAAUCUACCUCUUAUCUUCCACAAAAUUAAAAGAAUGUUUUUAAAGCGUGCGGGCGAAAGGGGUUAGAGUAUGAUGAUUAAAUUCUAAAGCAAGUUAUACAAUUAAGGAUCAAUGUCAAUUAAAAACCCCAAACUGAUACACUCGUGAUAAAUUUAUCCAAAACUAAAUUUUUCACCACAAAAAAUUUCCAAUUGGUACAUUUGUAAUAAAUUUACCCUCUAUUAGUUUACAUUAAAUUUUACCGUCAAAUUACUGAAUUGGAUGAGACGAUACCCUCCAUUUGUCAUAGAUUUACUAGUUUAUAGUUUUUCAUAGUAUUAAUCCAAUUUAAUAUAAACUAACGGAUGAUAAAUUUGUCAUAAAUUGUACUAAUUUUGGGGUUUUAUUGGUCAAAAAAUUAGUUUAUGAUAAAUUUGUCAUAGGUAUACAAGUAUGAGAUUUUUCAUUAUAUUAACCUACGAUUAAAGAUGUUUUACAAUUAUGCUUGUUGUUCAUCAAUCUAAAAUUACGACAAUAUCAAUCAUUCUAUAUUAAAACAGUGGUUUUUAACAACUCAAUUGAUGAUAUAUUUAAUUAUUAUGAUGACUAUCAAUUUAUUAAUGUGAUUUUAGAAUACAUUUUUGUAAAUGAAUUAUAAUGCGUAUCUGUAUAUUUUAUUAAAAUCAUUAGAAUUAAUAUCCCAUUCUACUUUCACGAUGCAUUUCCUAAAUAAAAUAAAAAAAAGCAAACGAACCCUCGUUGUAUUCAUUCUGUAAACUUACUGAAUAAAAAGUUAUCUCAUUCCGGUUUUAUUGUACCAAACAAAAAUUUAGUGGAAAUUGAAUAGGUUAUAGUUGAUUGGUGUCGCUUAGUCUACGAACUUUGAAACUUUUUAAAUUGAUAUCCAUUCGGUUAGUUUGCCGGUGAUAAAAAAUUGUGGCUCUGAUGGAUUAGCCCUUUCCCAAACUUGUCCAUUUGAUCUUUGGGUUCAAUAAGUCUAGUGGUAAUUCUUAUUUGUGUUAGGUUAGAUCCAUCAUUAAUGACCAUUGAAUUUAUGAUUGUCACACAUAAGACCCACAUAAGUCUCACAAAUUCAAGGUUCCAUGUAGCAGACUUCGAUUUAGGGAAGAAAUAUCGCAACCCUAGAUUGUCUGAGUAAGGCAAUCACUUUGUUUUUUCCCUUUAAAAGGCCUCAGUUGCUUUAGUAGUGAUGAAGUGCUGAUAGGAUCCACUGUACUAGCAAAUUACUUCCAAAUGACUAGAGCAUUUUGGUCUAGUGAUUAACAUUACUAAAUAAGUUAUUCCUGACUUUAGAAAAUUCAAAUUCAUUUUUCAAAUCCCCAUAACAAUGAGGGUCUAGUCGCCCUUGCUUGACCAAUUUUUUGGAGUAUUGACCAAAUGCUUUACGAGGAAAAAAAAGUAAUUAGUCUAGCGUUUUGUUGGGAGGUAAAGAGGCUAAAUCCCAUUCAAGAUUACAUCAAGAUGGAAAGAUAAAUUGCAUGACUCGGCUGACUCUUUUCCAUCAUUUUCAUAUUGCUUUUGGAGAGACAUAAAUUUAGUCAAGGUCUUGCCACUUACUUUCUAUAAUGGACGUCCCUGUCAUAAAGGUAAAGCCAGCCUUUAUGGUAGGCAGCGGAAAACCACUUGGGAGAAAUCGGAGUCGAGCUAUAAUGGACAUCCUAUUAAAAAAGCAAAGCAUUUCAUAACUUUUAUCACAGGUGACCAAAAUGAUUUGCUCAAAUUAUACACGAGUCCCUACAUGAUGAAGUAGGCAUUUAAACAUUCAAAACACCUAUUGGAUACACAAAAUCUUCAAUUCUAUAACAUGAUCACGUAGUAAUAGUAAUAGUAAUAGUAAUAGUAAUAAUACACAAUCUUUGAAGUUGAGAGAACAUGGACGUCACUUAGACUUAGGAGAGGCUCAGCCUUUAGUAGGUUCAUAAUAAUACACAAUCUUUGAAGUUGAGAGAACAUGGACGUCACUUAGACUUAGGAGAGACUCAGCCUUUAGUAGGUUCGACCACAUGGACAAGGUUCUGAUGGCCAAAAUGAGGGAAAAAACUAAAAGUGACAAUAGUAAUAAACAUUGAAAGAGGUUGAGUUUUGGAGCUUAGUAAUUUUGAAUGGGAUUUAGCCUCUUUACCCCCAACAAAACGUUAGACUAAUUACUUUUGUUCUUGUAAAGCAUUUGGCCAAUGCUCCAAAAAAUUGGUCAAGCAAGGGCGACUAGACCCUCAUUGUUAUGAGGAUUUGAAAAAUGGAUUUUGAAUUUUCUAAAGUAUGGUAACUUAUUUAGUAAUUUCUAAUUGGUAACUCAUCAAGAUCCUCUUGUAACCCAGCAAAUUACUUCCAUCCAUCACGAUCCAUUUACUCCCAAAUUUUGUAAUAUCACAUAAAAAACUCUCAAAUUGAUAGACUCAAGCCAUAUUUAUUAUUGCAAUACUAAAACUAGUUUGGGAUAAAUAUGAUAUGGAUAAUACUAAUUUGGGAUUUUUUUAAUGGUAUUAGCCCAAAAAAGUUCAAAUUUUAGUUUAUAUUUUCAAAUAGCCAUGUAAGCGUCUUCAGAUCAAUUUAGGGGGAAAAAAGAGCAUUUAAUUCAAAGACUGAAUUGGUAAAGAAAAGUUUUGUUCGGGUCGUACAUUUUGCAAAAGUCUAAAGGUUAUUGGUGUUUUUUUUCUUUUUUUAAAAUAUAUUAUGUUGUAAAUUUUUACAUCCGUCUCGCCAUGGUCCGCCGGUCAAAGAAGCCCUCGUACACCUACUCCCAUGGUAUGAAACUGGGAGGUGGAUCUUUGAAAUAGAGAAGAAAGAGCGACAAAAACUGAGAGGAGGAGGCCACCCAACACGGAAACCAUUUUCAUUUUGAAAGUAGAUGGACAUCCAGAAUUCUAGCGACCGUGGAGGAGGUUCCUCCGAAACAAGAGAAAAGAGUUACGAUGUGUGUUUGAGCUUCAGAGGAGCGGAUAUGCUCCUUGCUUUUGUGAGACAUCUCGACUGUAGGCUCGACCAAGCGGAGAUCCGCGUGUUCAGGGAUGAAGGUGAACUCGUCAUGGGAGAGUGUUAAAAUUUAAACGUGCGCGGAAGCAUGGUUUUAGUUAUAGAUGAUAGUUUUUUUAUUAGUGAGAUGUGUGCAAGUGUAUGGUGUAGUUUAUGGAUGAUGGACAAGGGAUAGACUAGAAUAAUUGAAAGACAAAUAACAUGGGAUAUGGGAAAUAGUUUCAUUAGUUUGAUAAAAUAAUUUUACAAGGAAGUGUCGGAAGUGUUGGUGGAGGAGUUUCAUGAUAUGGAAUAUAUUCUCAUGCUCCUCUCACUCUCUUACAUUUGUUAGUUUGCUACACUCCCCCUUCUUUCCUAUUUAUAGAGUCUAAAUACAACAUUCUAGAACAAUGGGGAAUGUUAUCCACUUAGGCUUAUUCUAGGAAAUUCUAGAUUCUAGUUUUUCUAGAGACUUCUUACAUGUUGGACAUUUCUUAUUUCUUCUAGAAAAAUGUUUUCUUCUUUCUUCUAGAAAAUUCAUCUAGGGAAUUCUAGAGAAUUCUAGAAGUUUAACAAUUCUAGGAAAUUCUAGAAAAUGGAUCAUAAUUUCCAACACUCCCCCUUGAUCCAUUUUUGGGAUACUUCGGCUAUUGUAGUUUGUCCCAUGUCUUUUAUCCCGUCUUCGUCCACGAUCCCUUGCAUUCUCUUGUUGGCACACUUGCACUUGCCUUCGAAUGUACAUGUCUUUUCUUCAAUGAUGACCCAUAUGUCUCGGGACAUCAAAUUGUUCUUAGUGGUAGUUGUUAGCUCGGGCUCGGGCUCUGGCUCUGGCUCUCGUAGGCUCUGGCUCUGGCUCCGGCUCCGGCUUUGGCUCUGACUCCGGCUCUGGCUCUGUUGGCUCUCGCUCGGGCUCUGGCCUUCUUAGUUGAGGAUGGUGAGGACAAACGCCCAUAACCAUCCGAUGUGCCUUUCUCUGGCUUCACGGUCUCUUACACCUGGCUCAGUUACGAACCUGGGUGCAUCUAGCUUUGAUACCAUGUUAGUGUUUUGCGGAAGCGUGUGUGUAGUCCCUCGUCUUGCACAAAAUCUCUUAAGUGUGGGCCAAAUGAUAUAAAGUGGGUAUUCUCUAUAUUUUAAUAGAGAUACCUGCAUUAUCUAUGAUAAAUAUAAAAAUAUCAUUGCCUCUGUUAAGAUGAAAAAUAACAAUUUUCCUAUUCAAUGGAAAUUGGUCAAAGAUAUAGCCAUGAAAGCUCAACUUGAUGAUUCAUGGCUAUGGCAUCGAAGAUUUGGCCACUUCAAUUUUGCUGGGCUAAAAAUUCUCCAUCAGAAAAAUAUGAUGAGAGAUUUUCCAGCCAUCACAGAAAUCUCAGAUGUUUGUGAAGGCUGUCUUCUUGGAAAACAACAGAGACAGUCCUUCCCAUCUGGAGGUGCAUGGAAAGCUAAGAAGCCAUUAGAACUUGUCCACACGGACGUGUGCGGUCCGAUGAGGACACCUACACCUAGUCAAAAUAAAUAUUUUAUCCUAUUCAUUGACGAUUACACAAGAAUGACGUGGGUAUAUUUUCUUCGAGAAAAAUCUGAGGUUUUCUCUAUCUUUAGAAAAUUCAAGAACCACGUCGAGAAUCAAAGUGGCCAAAGAAUCAAAGUCCUAAGAAGUGACAGAGGCACAGAAUACAAUUCAAAGGAGUUUAAUAAAUUUUGUGAAGAUGAAGGAGUCCAUCAUCAACUAACUGUUGGCUACGCCCCAGAACAAAAUGGAGUAGCUGAAAGAAAAAAUAGAACCGUCAUGGAGAUGGCAAGGUCUAUGCUAAAAGAGAAAGGCCUUCCCAACACUUUCUGGGCAGAAGCAGUUUAUACUGCUGUAUACCUACUAAACAGGUGUCCAACGAAAGCUGUACAAAAUAAAACUCCAGUCGAAGCAUGGAGUGGACGAAAGCCUUCAGCAAAGCAUCUUAAAGUGUUUGGAUGCAUUUGCUACGUCCACAUCCCUGCUCAAAAAAGGAGUAAACUAGAUGAAAAGACAGAAAAAGGAAUAUUCCUUGGAUACAGUGACCAAUCAAAAGGCUAUCGAAUUUACAACCUAAGAACUAAAAAGUUAAUGAUUAGUCGAGACGUCGAGUUCGACGAGAAUGCUGCCUGGAAUUGGGAAAGCGAGAAGAUUGAGAAGAAGUACAUAACCUUGCCAGACAUACCACCUGCUCAAGAGGAGACAAUGUCACAAGAAGAAGGAGUAGUACCGGAUUCUACCACUCACGAUAUAACUCCACCAAGCUCUCCAAGAGCAACACAAGAAGAGUCUACUCCAGAGUCUCCAGUACUAAGGGUAAAAGCCCUUAAAAGAAUUUACGAUACAUGCAACUUUGCUACUUUGGAACCAGAAAACUACGAACAAGCAUCCAAAGAAGAAGUUUGGAUAAAAGCUAUGGAGGAAGAGAUCAAGAUGAUCGAGAAAAAUGAAACUUGGGAGCUUGUCGAUCGACCCGAAGACAAAGAGAUCAUUGGCGUCAAGUGGGUCUACAAGACGAAGCUCAAUGCGGAUGGAUCAAUCCAGAAGCAUAAAGCAAGGCUUGUGGCGAAAGGAUACUUGCAACAACCAGGUAUCGACUAUACUGAAACUUUUGCUCCCGUCGCUCGCCUUGAUACUAUUCGAGCACUUAUAGCCUUAGCAGCACAAAAAGAUUGGAAGAUUUAUCAACUAGAUGUAAAAUCAGCAUUUCUAAAUGGAUACCUUCAAGAAGAAAUAUAUGCAGCAUCAAGCUCAAAGGCUGAAGAAAUUUCUGGUACGUGGGCAGCAGAACACGUGGACAGCAAAUAGGCCAAAGAAAAGUCAACAAAAGUGGCUGAGAGUUGGAGAGAAUAGAAAAAUGCAGAAAAAUGGAGGAGAGACCAGAAGAAUCGGGAGAAGCCGCAUGGACGAAGAAGCAAGCUGAAAUUUUUUAUAUUUCUUGUACUCAAUGUCGGUGAAGAAGAGGCGGUGCUCACGCCUAUAAAUAGAGGUGUGGUGUCUGUUUUAGUUGGCUGAAAAAACCAAAACCACUCUUUCCUUUGUAAUACUUACUUUCAUAAUAAAAGCUCUCUUUUUUUAACCCAUACACCCUUGCCUUUGUAGCCCAUAUUUCACACAUACACACUUGCACACACACACGCUUCCGCAAAAUCACCAACAGAGAGAAGUUGGUUCUCCAAGCGAUCAGGCAUUCCAAGAUCGCCAUUCCGAUCCUGUCAGGGAAGUACCCAUCGAGCAAAUGGUGCCUCCGAGAGCUGGCUCAGAUUGUGGAGUACCACAAGACGAUGGGCCAGAUCAUCAUGCCAGUCUUCUUCAAUGUCAUGACAUCGGUUGUGAAAAACAGAUCUCACGGUUACGGCGAGGCUAUCAAGUGGCAUAGAGAGCGCGGAAUCGUCCCAGACAUCCUCCGGAAAUGGGAGGAAGCUCUCAGCUAUGUGGGAUCCAUCCCAGGGUUGAAGAUUAAUGGGUGAGUGUAAUUGAGUAAGUUCGAUUAAAUAACCUAGAAUCCAAAUCCCAAGCCAGCGCUUCCUUCAAUUUUGGUUAAUCUAAUUAGACUAAUGCUGCUAGGUGUAUCAAUAUCUGAUGUAGCUCCCUCUGAUCUGGUACUGAAUGUGAUCCGCUUGUUAACAUUCUCACUCCCAGCUUGCCACGUUACUUAAUGUUUCGGUUUUGUUGACAAAUUUCAGCGCUCUAGCGUUACACGUAUCUCAUAACUCAGUUUUUCCAUGUUCGAUCACUGCAUUAAAUGGGAGGCAGCGGUUAUGGUUGUGAUUUUAUAUCGAUAUGGUCCAGAAAAAUGUUCUUCCUCUUGAAAUCUGCAUCCACAGGAAAUCUACCUCUUGCAAGAAAAUGCCAGUGUAGAGUGAUAUUGAUUUGCUUAAUUUCUGUGGAUGCGACAGACAGCCUUUGCAUCUCAUCGUACUGUGCUUUGUCUGUGUUGAUUUAGUAAAAGCAUGUACCACUAAUUGCAUGGCCUGUUUGUCUAAAGCUGAUUGCUGUAUGAUAGUUUUUGAAAGGAGAGCGUGAACUUUUUCUUGCAAACUACUUCAGAGUUUAGAUAUGGUUGGACUUACAUUAAUCUUUGUGCGUGUACCUUGUGCACACAUGCACGCAUGAUACAGCUGGCCCGUAGAUGCUUCAGUCAUCGAUGUUAUUGUCGCAAAUGUGUUGAGGGCACUGAACAGAUGCUUCGUUGGCAUCGAGCAUCAUGAGAAAAGAGUUAUGAAAUUACUAAAAGUGGAAUCUAUCGAUGUUCGUGUAGUUGGAAUACAUGGCAUGGGGGGCGCCGGGAAGACAACAAUUGCAAGGUUCAUCUACAAAAGAAUAUUUGAUCUCUUUGAUGGCUGUAGCUUUCUGGAAAACGUUAGAGAACAUACCAAAAAAGCAGGAGGUCUAGAUAAUUUGCAAGGUCAGUUGGUUUCUAACCUUCUAGGUGUAAUGCAUGGACAAAUUCAUUUUGUUGAUGAUGGGAUUAAGUCCAUCAACAGCAGACUCUUGCACAAGAAGGUUCUCAUUGUUCUCUAUGAUAUUGAACCAAGCUCUAGACUUACGCCAAUUUUAAGUAUUCUUGAUUCGUUAGGUUCAAGGAGCAGGAUCAUAAUUACCACCAAAGAUGAACAGGCUUUAGAUAAGUUUAAAGUGUCCCUGAAAUAUGAAGUCAGGGGAAUGCGAGAAGAGGAAGUCGAUGAACUAUUCUCCCCCUGCUCCAGUUGACUUAGCUACUCUAUCCAAAAAUUUAGUAUCGACUAUUGGCCGGCUUCCUUUGACUGUUGAGGUUGUUGGGUCGUAUCUAUAUUCUAAAAGCAAGGAGGUGUGGGAGCAGACAUUAGAAGAAUUGAGAAAAGUACCUAAGCCACAAGUUCAACGGAAAUUGAUGGUAAUAAUCAAGGCAUUACCUGACGAGCAAAGACUGAUAUUUCUGGACAUUGCUUGUUUCUUCAUUGGAGAGGACAAAAGUGUUGCAUGCUACCUGUGGUCUGACCGUGAUUCCACAAGCGGAUCGGUAUUAGAAGUGCUCAUCAAUUCGUCUAUCGUUAAGAUUGAGAACGAUAAGUUAUGGAUGCAUGAUCAACUUCGAGACCUAGGUAGGGAUAUUGUCGUAGAGAAACAUCCUAAACAUGGAAAGCACAGUAGAUUGUGGAGUCACGAGCAAGCCCAGGAUGUGCUGGUGAAUAAAAAAGUAAGAUACAAGUUCAUCACUGUUUUUACCUUACUUGUAUGCCUUACGACUCAUGUUCCUCUUUUCAUAGAAAGAAAACUAAUUGGGGUGCAUAUUUUUAGCGGAAAAAAUGAUUUGAACAAUAUUUUUCUAAAAAUGAUCAUUUAUAUUUCUUGAAAUAAUUAGUUAAUGAAAAUUUUUCGUUAUUGAUAACAAUUUAUGUCUACUUUUUUUCAUGGAUGAUGAAAAUAUUUGUUGUUCAUUCAUUUUUGUAAGAGAUGAAAGCAAUCAUUUUUAAGAAUUUUUUCCAAAACCUUUUUUUUUAAAACAAAUUGAUCCUUAAUAAAAUGAUUUCUUUAAUUUGAAGUCUCUAAGAAUUUAUCAUCUUCACAUAUUUUUGUGCGGAAAUGCCAAGUCCCUUGGUAAUCCAAAUCAUGUAUUUCACGUGUAGGGAACGGAAAUUGUUAGAGGAAUUCUUCUCAAAUUUGGCAGUGGGUCACAAUACAGUUUUGGACCAGCACAUUUUGCGAGGAUGUCAAACGUAAGAUUCCUUCGAUUGGAUCAGGCGAACCUCGAAGGAAAUUUUGAGCGAUGUCUAUCAAGUUUAAGAUGGCUCCAUUGGCAAGGUUGUCCUCGGCAUCUUCUUGCUGAAAAAUUGGAUUUGAUGGAGUUGGUUGUUCUAGAUCUUUCCUGGAGCAAGGUCAGUGACAAAUGGAACAGUCGGAGUGAAAUCAAGGUAGAGAACUACAUUAUUAUUGAUUUCAUUUGUCAAAUUGUAGCGGAAAAGUUGACUCUUUUGUUUUUCUAUUUAUGACAGAAAGCCAAGAAAUUAAGAGUUUUGAACCUCACUGGCUGUUAUGAUAUGAUCAGAACUCCAGACUUAUCUCAUUACAAAUGUUUAGAGAGAUUGAAUCUUGAAAGGUGCAUUCGAUUGGUUGAAAUCGGUUCAUCAGUAAAAAGUCUGGAGAGCUUGGUUUUGCUGAACUUGAGGUUUUGCACUGAACUCAAUAAGUUGCUUGAAGAGCUGGGUUCCCUCAAAUCCUUGGAAAAGAUUCUUAUAGAUGGAACUGCGAUUCAGGAAAUUCCUGCCUCCAUCGGUCGUAUGCAAAAUCGUAGAAGAUUCAGUGCCUGCAACUGUCUUUCAUUGAUCUAGCUACCCAAUUCAAUUAGUCAUGUGAAAUCUCUGAGAGUCUUCGCACUAAAUGGUACCAGAAUAACUAAACUUCCCAUGUCUGCAAAGUUAGAAAAGCUACAGCACUUGUCAAUAAAUCAUUGUAGGUCAAUAUUGAAGUUACCAACGUCCUUGGGGAGUUUGACUUCAUUGAUCGAACUUGAUUUAUCAAGCUCUGGAAUUGUCGAAUUACCUAAUACUGCCAAUAAGUUAUAUCUUUUAAGAGUGCUCAUAAUUGAUUUUACUUUUAUACGAGAGCUGCCUUGUGCUAUAUGGAAGUUGAAGAAGCUUGAAGAGCUGCAUGCUUCAAGAUGUCGGAGCUUGGCGGGGGAAAUUCCUAGAGAUAUUGAGGAGCUUUCGAGAUUGAGGGUCUUCAGGCUUGGAUACUCUCGAAUUCAUGGUCUACCAGAUAGCAUUUCUACACUUCCCAAUCUACAAACGCUUGAUCUGCUUCAUUGUGACAAGCUCCAUAGAGUGCCCGAGCUUCCUUCCACUUUAAUAAGCCUUUCUGUCAGUUCUAAAUUGAUGUAUACAAUCCCAGACAUUAGUAGCCUGGUGUUGACACCUAAAUUUUCCCAUUUUUUAUUUAUGAUUUAAUUGUGUACGGAAUUAGGAAUUAGUCAUUUAAAAAAACAAAAACAACAAAACAACAAAACAAACAAAACAAACAAAAAAAUAGAAAGAAAAAAAAAAGAAGAGAAAAGAAAAAAAAAACGCCUAGGGGUCAGGUCGAGUCAGAUAUGGCUUUGGCCUAGCCCAUCGUCCGCCUCGCUUUCCCCUGAGUGGCCCACGCCAUCUCCCUUUGGCCCAACCCACCUCUCCACUUGUCUUCUUUCUGGUGUCUUCGCGUGCAGAGCCUGCACCAAAAGAAGAAGCAAAGCAGCAAUGUCAGAAAGCAAAAAAAUAAAAAAGGAAGGAAGAAGAGGGAAAAGCAUAGAGAGCUGGACAAAGAGAAAAACAGAGAAGGAAUGGAGGGGAGGAGGGCGGCAAUGACGCUACUCGUCACCGUCCAAGCCGCCGCCCUCCUGCCCGCCACCGUCCGAGUCGCCAUCCUCUAAGCCCAAAGCCGUUCGAGUCGCCCCGCGUCCGUGACCGCCCAGUGCCGACCCGUUUCUGCUCUGCCGUGCGCCUCCGCCGGACACCGCGUUCGCCAAGCCCCUCGCCGUGCCGCCAAGACUCCUGCAAGCCCGAGGCCCCGUCUCUUGUCGAGACCCCCUGCUGCUGGGUCCCCCUCGGCUCCAACGCCCAGCAAAUCUGCUCCAAGCCUCCUCCGAGCGAAGCUGCCUUCUGCUCCCUGCCCGCUGCUCCGCCCGUGCUGCUUUGACCAGUAAACCGACACCGUUGCUCAAUCUCGUCACCGCACCCUCCUGCUCGAGCACCAGAUCCGCGCAGAACCGCGCCACCCAUCGAGCGCCUCCGCCGGACACCGCUGCUCCAAAUCCCUUCACCCGUGUCGGUUCCUCGAGUCGUGCCUCCAUCGGUCACACCAGUCGUCGCUUGCUUUCCCGGAACCCAGAUCUGAAGAAACGGGAGAGGGAGAGAGAACCGAGAGGAAAAAGGUGGGCUCUCCAACGUCGCCCAAGCCUCCUCGCGCCACUGCCAUUCCACCCGAGUCGGCCACCGUCCCGCCAACCGCCGGAGUUCCUCCUCACCUGCAAGCUCGCGCCACCGCUUCGCCUGCGAGCUCGCGUCGCCGUCCUUGCCACUGCUGCCUCGCUACUCCGUCCUCCUGCCCGAUGCCGCCCAAGCUGACGCCGCCGCCGCCCGUCGCAUCGCCUCCGCCACCUGCCGCUUCGCCGCCACCGUCAACACAGAACCGCCGCUCAGUGUCUCGACCAUCCCCCUUCGCCGCCGCAACAUAGCAGGAGAGAGGUGAGGUGAACCAGGUCUUGGCCGGGUCGGGCGAAAGCCUCGUCGGGUAGGGUUUCAGCCCAAAAUCGAGUAUGUUCUUUUAAUCAAUUUGGGCCAGAUUUAGGAUAUUCUUGCAUGUGGGCUUAUGUUUUUUUUUUUUUUUGGCUUGUAGGUUUGGGCUAUUUAGUGUGGGCUUAUAGGUUUAGUUUCUUUUAAAAAGAGAUAAGGGGACCUCUUGGGUUGGGCCCGCGAUUCGAGCCCACCUGCUCCUAACCGGAACGAACCCGGGUCCGGUUGGAGACCGGACCCGAUCCGCGCCGACCGGACCGAACCCAGGUCGGGUUGGACUGGACCGGUCCAACCCGGUCCAAAAAAAAUAUUUUUUAAUAUUUAAAAAAAAAAACAUUUUCGAGAAUAAAAAAUUGUUAAAAAAUGUUAAUUUUUUUAAAAAAUAAAAAUAAAAAAAUCGGAAAUUCUUUAAAAAAUCGAAAAUUUAAUUUUUUUUUUUGAGAAAAUUAAAAAAAUUUAAAUUAAUGAUUAAAAAAAUUUAAAAAAAAAAUUAAAAUUUUCGAAAAUCCAAAAAUGAUGGGGUUUGAUUAGGAUUUCCCAUGUAUUUCCAUUUUAGCGUAAUUAGACCUUUAUGUGCUCGUAUAUUAAUUAUGUUGCAUGUUUAAUUUGCAUAUCUAAUUAUGUUUGAUAGCAUAUGAUUAAUUUUAUGAUAAUUAGGAUCUUGGUAGUUAUGGUUAUUAUUUUAAUGAUUGCACAUCCGUAUGAUCACCUCACAUGUUAGUGGAUAUGUAUAAAAUUAAUCCAGAUUGCCUAAUAAAAAUCAUUGCUUUUAAAAAGAAUAAGAUUAGGUACCGAAAGGGCACUAAUUGAUUAAUUAGUGUAAUCAAGUCCCCGAUCCUAGAAUCUCUGGUUGCGUAGGAAGUGAGGCGCACUCCCAUGCCUCACUUGGUUUCUAGCCGACCCCAAUAGGCUAGUGGCGACUCCCUUUGUGCAAAAUUCAUAGAAAAUAUCAUAAUGUCACGCGGGGUAUGGGCUUGGGAGAGCCCGCGUCUAAUCAUGGGCUUUAGGCCCGUCCUUUAGGCAAUACCCCUAAACCUAUUCCCUCCCCCCGAGGGUAGGUCGCGACAGCUUUGUGACUCUGUUGGGGACUUGGUUUUAGACCUUAGAGGACUUAGGCCAAAAUUAAUCUUGUUUAAAAAUAUUUUUGUUUGGCAACGAGGAUUCCAGGUGCAUCCCUAACAUUAAGGUGUUAAAUGUUUUUGCAGAAUGGGAGGUAUAAGGGGAAGUGUUUGCUCACCUUUGUCUUGCAGUGAGGCGUAGGAAUGUAUGGUUUAUUUUUUAUGUAUGAAGUGUUGAUUGCUUAUAAAUUGUCAUGCCUGCAUUUUCUGCAUUGCACUACACUUUAACACACACAACCUACCGCCAGACCCGGGCCGCAUAGGAUUACUUAGGAUGGUGCUGAGGUGGAUACCACUCCGACUACAACCGCGUAGUACAAGACGCCCACCUCUACCCCGAAAUUUCUUUCUUCACGUCGAAGGUACCCACCCCGGUCUGCGAGCAUGCGACACGGGUCGGUCCUUUGACGAAGCCGGAGUCAUGGGUAACCCGACCCAGCCACGAUCUUGUUGGUUCAGUCCAGUGAUCCUAUGGCUUCAUUUUGAGCCAUAUAGAGUAGAAAUCGAACCACAUUCCAUAUGCAUGUCUAUGUAAUUAAAAAAAAAAAAAAAAGAGAAAGAAACAGAGACAAAUGUUGGCAUCCAUUGUAAGUAUCAUUUCCCUUUUUAUUUGCCCACUUUGUAUUGCAUUUUCAUCUUGAAAUUCGUGGAAACCAAUCGAAUGCCCUCAGCGAUGUAGGCUUAUAAUUAAAAAAAAUUGGCAGUCACUUUUGAUAAGUGAAUAUUAAAGGCAAGUUCUAAACACUUUGAUUUGGCCCUGUUGAACACGUGGUUUUGCUUAAAUUUCUAGUUAUGGGCUCGAAAUCAAUUUAAAAAAAACUUUCAAGUUGUGAUUUUAUGUUGGGGUACAAAAAUUGAAAUUGCAUUUUUUUAUCAAAUUCUCUCAUCCUCACAUUUUGGGACUAAAAUGCAAAUCAUUUUGUGUACAAAUUUCUCAAAAUAGAAGUCACUUCAUUUUUUUAAGAGUAAAAUCACAAAUCAAUCUUUCAAAAAUCAAUGUCCUUUUGCAUAUGAAACUUUUGGAAUAUAGUGGAUAUUCGAUUGAUAACCGUUGAUCGAUCUUUUAAUGAUGCCCCUUCUCUUAUGACUAAUCUUGGUUAGAUACUAAAUCCCCGUAAUAAAGACUAUGGGGCAUGUACCGUCACCUUGAUUUUGUUGUAAGAAGCGACCUCAUUAAAAGAUCAUUUUCACAUUCACAAGUUAUAUGACAUUGUUGCCUUUUUGCAGGCUAUGCGUGAUGCUCCAUGACAUUCUCGUGUUUUACUACAUAUAGAAGUGAAUUCUAGAGCUAGAACGAGAGUUGAUUUUUACUCUUAUCUAUACAAGAGUUUCUCACAUUUUAUCAUUGUUUUUAUUCUUGUUAAGAAUCUUGUUUUCCAUUUUGGGUUUUGGUCGCGAAUCCAAUUAAUGCUUUGGUAAAUCAUGCGACUCAUUUUUUUAUGGUGAAAAUCAUCCCAAAAAAAAAGAAAGAAAAGAAAAAAACAAAUUCAGAAAUGUUUCAAGCAAACCUUUACGUCUACCUUCCAAAACGAAUUUCAAGAAAACUUUGCUUAAGGCCCUCUCUUCUUGUAGUUGUUUUCUUAGGCUCAUCGAACUCGAGAAGCAAGCACGCGUUGAGUCACCGUUGGUGCCAAUUUUCCAUAAAGGCGGAGCGAAGUUGAAUUCCAUUCUAGGAAGUUUUGUUAUUUGCAAAUGCCUUAGGAACCAAAAUAGCCCAUCAAUUUCGUUCACUCUGCAUGAGGAGACAAAUGAAGGGAGUUGCCAAGCAUCCAAAAGGGUGAAAUCGAAGGAAGAGUAAACUGUAUCGAUUUCAAUCAUCAAUUUCUGAUACCGUUUCUGACAUGGUUUUCUUUCCCAUUAUCAAGGAAACAUCAAGAGUGUCAAGUUUUGUAACGUUCUUAACAAACACAGUGGAGCGUUUUAAACAAAUAAAGAUUCAAAUGAAACAAAGGGGCAAUAUUAUCAAUUCCUCCAUUAGAGAUACCUUGGGAUGUUGAUCGCCCGACUUUGAAAAUGAUGUAUCUCGUUCCUAAACUUGAUUCUCUUCAGCAUAAAAAAUGACAUGUCCUUUUCUUUGAUACAGGACGGGUUUGAACAUAACAAAGGAUUGUCAAAUAAAGAGUGACAAAGCAACAUUUGAUUUAAAAAUAAAAAAUAAAAAAAUCUCUCAUCUCCCCACAAACAAAAUGUGCUGGAACAACAUUGUCAAAUUCAUCAAGAAUGAUGUAUCGUUCCUUAGUUGAACCUAACUAAGAAUAGAGAUAGCUCAUUUCAUCUCCCUUUCUUACAGGGUGAUAAAUUUAAAAAAAAAGGGUUGCACCCAACCAUAAAAGCGACACCUUCUACCAAGGAAUUAGGAAAACAUCAAACACUUAAAGGCAAAUGCAAGGGAAGGGUAUUGUUGAGUUACCAAAUAUCUAUGAAGGUGAAUCCAAGAGAUGUUAGCGCCAAAAGGAUGAAAGCGAGUGAAGGGUAAUAAUGUAUCGUUUCCAACAUUUCAAUCCCUAAGGAGCUUUGCACUAACAUAUUCUUUUACAUUCUUUACAGGAUUAUCGGGUUGCCAUGCUGUAGGUAAGUACCCUUCUUCUCAGUCUUUUUUGUUUUUUCUUUUUAAGUAAAAAAAAAAAAAGAAAUUUCCAUUACAAAAGAGAACUUUUGGGCUUUCCUAGAGACAAAAAAAAAAAUGAAUAAUAAUUGAGAAAAAAAUUACAAACCUUUUGAGCAUCCUUUCUAUCUCAAAAUUGUUUUCUUGUCUUGUGGAUUAUUCAUUUUGAAUCAAAAUCCCCUAUGGAGAUUGAUAUACUGGGAUGAUCUCGGCAGAGUGAAAUGGAAAUGUUAACCAUGCCAAACAAGAAGUGCUUAGGAUGAAGAAAGGCAAGCUAAUUUCCAAACACGUCCUUUAAACACUUUUGAGAGUUGAGCAUUAUUCAAACACUUUUGAGAGUUGAGUGAAAAGAGACCUUCUCUUAGGACAAAUGAUUCAUUCGCAUUGAGCGCAAAGAUCGAAAUGAUAAAGGCAUUGCCUUCAUCAAUCCCAAGCAUUGCAUUGAUCUCUUGUUACCCCUUUGGGCUGGAAAAAAAAAAAAAAAAGAUGAUCCUUCAAAAUACUCCUAUCGAGAACGACCCUACAUUGGGGCAACAUAGGAGGUUACAGUCAUGUUGUAAAACGAAAGGUUGAGAAAGAUUCUAUUACUUUCACUUACAUCAAUCUUCUUGUGGUAGCUUUAGAGGAAUUCUCAUCGGAGCUUGACUCAUCCCAAGGUGAAGAAUAGCAUUUCUUUCUCUACCCAAACACCGAUACCCAUUGCUAUAGCCAAUUUGGGCCUGAUUAUUCAUUUCUGAAUCCCGAGCGGUGAUCAUCUCCCUUCACUGGGGCAAGGCAUAAGAAUUGACCAAAUAUAAUUGACAAUCACGGGAAAAUGUGAAAAGCAUCUCGAAAGUCAUAAGCUACCAAAGUUCAAAGAGCAAAAAGCUCGACAAACUAGGGGGCAUGAAAAAGCAGUGUGCCUAGUAAAAGCAAGGCCAAUGCCCGUCAAGAAAAGAGCCAAAAAGCCGCAUCUUAUGUGAAAGAAAAAUUAUCAAAAUCCAAGUGCCUGCGAAAAAAAUCAUCGCAAAGGACAAAGAAAUUAGAGAAAAUAGCAAAGCUCUCAUGCAGAAAUGAUCAGUGAAUGAACUCUCGAGAUGUGCUGUGUUUCAAGAGCCAAAUGCUUUUGAAAGGUCAAGUGACCCAGUCACGAUGCCAUGAUGAUCACUGACUCUUAAAGACCCUCUUGAAAAUUUUAAGCCUUUCAAGCCUUUCCCGAGCCAACAUUAUAACCCUUUUCCGAAGCCUCUUCUGAUUGGGAUGAUUUGAGUGAAAAUGAGAAUACCACAAAGAAGCUACUGCUUGAAGGAGUGGAAAUAAUUCUAUCUUGUCUUAUCUUCCAAGUUCUCAACUCGUAAACCCAAUGAAGAUAGCGGCAAAUGUUCCUUUAUUGGCCUCAAAGCAAUCAUUCCUUUGUGUAAGCCCUAACAAAACCUAUAUUGCGGUCCUUUCAAAAGACCUUUUUGAUUGAUCAGAUUGUGCUCAUUGCGAAUGUUUCAGAAAGCCUUCGACAUAGGCUACGUGAGAUACUUUCAACAAUCAGUUAAUUCCCACGUGAAUGGAUGGGAUCAAGUAGCCAUUUUAUCGAGAGUAUGUGAGAAGCCCUUUCUGACUAAAAAGCUCCAGUUUAGCAUGCUUAAUGAGUCUUUUUCAGGAAUAGAAAUCAUUCUAGUAAAAACUUGACUCAUAGAUAAUUUGAUGAUCAAUGAUAUAUUCAUGAACAAGAUGACAAUUUUGCACCACAUGAUGUUGAUUGAAAUAAAAUGUUUUUCCAAAGCAGUCAGACUUGCCCUGGAUGACGUGACGCGCACAAAUCACUGAAUAUUUUCUCCGCGGACGAGACGGAGACCUGCUUCCCCGCUAAUCAACCAGGGCAGAGCAUGGCAUUGUGAGUCUCCUUCGCAGCUGUAGAUGGCGAAAGAAGGCCCUUACAGCGGUUCGAGCUCUGCAUCAUCAGCUUCGGUGACGGGAAACAACUUCGACGUGUUCCUGAGCUUCACAGGAAGCGACACCCGACAUGGGUUCACCAAUGUUCUCUACAGAAGCCUCGUCGAUCACGGGGUUCGCACCUUCUUAGAUGAAGAAGAGCUUUCCGAUGGAGAGUACAUCAAGAAGCAGCUCCCUGAGUCGAUCAAGCUGUCGAAGAUUGGCAUCCCGAUCCUGUCCGAGGACUAUGCCUCGAGCAAGCCGUGCCUUCAUGAGCUGGCUCAGAUGGUCGAGUGGCGCAAAGAGGGAAGAAUGAUCAUCAUGCCCGUCUACUUCUUGAUCACGGCGUGGGAUGUGGAAAUGAAGGAUGGGAGGGGUCCCUACGCCGAUAAAAUUACGGCACACAAGGAGAAAGGAGUUGAUCUGGCUACGAUCCAGAAAUGGGUGAAGGCCCUCGAAGAAGUGACAUCUGUGAAAGGGCGGCAACUGACCAAAGAUACUAGGUAAGGUUGAAGAAGGAUCUGUAACUAGUUUUGCUUUGUUUUCUUUUCUUUUCUCCCUUUUUUUGUCCUGAAUAAUCUGGCACUCUCAUGCUCAAUUCAAUUGAUUUCACGGCAAAUUGCCCCCGCAUACGAAAGUGGCGGUCUGUUAAGGGUUGCGAUGGGCAUGGCCAAUGGUCACUCUGAAUUGACUGGGGCACACUCUUGCAUUUGUAACGAGCGUUUAACCAUUCCGUCCCAUUCACGUUUCAUCAGUUUCAGAUCUUUAUGCCCAGUUAACAGUGUCCAUGACUUCGUGUACUUUCCAUCUUUCUGAAACUCUUUUUGUUUUUUAGGCAAGGAGAAUUUGCAAUUAUGAUGGUCUCAAAAGUUCUGAAGAGAUUGAGAAAGGCUAAGCUCAAUUUGUCUGACAAAUUAGUCGGGAUUGAAGACCGCUUGCCUGAGCUGAGAAGAAUGUUGGAUACUGACUCUAGCGAUGUGCUGAUGAUUGUCAUCUCCGGCAUUCCAGGCAUUGGUAAGACAACCCUUGCAAAAUCUCUCUACAACGAUAUCUACCACCUCUUUGACCGUCACAGCUUUCUCGGUGAUAUUGGAGACGCUACUGACAAGAAGGCUCUUCUAGCUUUGCAAAAUCAGUUGGUUUCUGACAUCGUCCAAAGGGACUCAGGAAAACUCAAAUCGGUUGAGGAAGGAAUCAGCUUCCUCAAAUUAAGAUUAAGCACCUGGAAAGUCCUCAUCCUUUUGGACGACGUGCAUGAGAAGUCUCAGCUUGAAGCUUUGGUUGGAAGUCUGGAUUGGUUCGGUUCAGGGAGUAGGAUCAUUAUCACAACCAAAAGAGUUCUCAAUUUACGUGAAAUGGCAGAAACUGAUGACGUUGAAACUUACAAAGUCCCAGAGAUGGAGGAUAGUGAUGCUCUAAAACUUUUUUGUAGAUACGCCUUUGCUAAGGAUUGUCCAGAACAUGACUAUGUUGAUCUGUCCGAAAGAAUUGUGUCGGCUACUGGAAAACUUCCAUUAGCUGUUGAGCUCGUAGGUUCACACCUGUCUCUGCUUCGGGAUAAAAGAGGAGCUUGGGAAUCUCUACUGGAGAAGUUACAAAAUAUAACUGAUGAUAAAGUCGAGAACAAGUUGAGAAUAACUUACGAACAAUUAAACAGUUUCCAACGGCAUAUUUUUCUCGACAUAGCUUGUUUUCUUUUUGGAGAGGAUAAAAGAAUCGCAUCUUACAUGUGGGAUGAGCUUCAAUUGUAUCCUUCUUUUGAAGUCGAGAUGCUUUGUCUCAUGUCCAUGGUAAAGAUUGGAGACGACAAUAGGAUGUGGAUCCACGAUCAGCUAAGGAAGCUGGGCAGGAAAAUUGUUCAAGAAGAUUGCAUGAAACAGGGGAACAACAGUAGACUAUGGGCCACUGAAGCUCGGAAGAUUUUUAAACAAGAUGAGGUAGAUUUGACAUUUCCUUUUUUGGUCUGUCUAUUGAAUAUGUAACUCUCCUUGUUUUGAUUCCUUUUGGAAAGAGUGAAGCAUAAAUGAUCCUCAGUUCAAUUACUGUAUUGGGGUUUCGUUGGCUUCUGUCUAACAAUGGUGUUUGACCAACAGAACCAAAUGAAGGUUGAAGCUCUGUGGCUUGAGAUGGAUAACACUGAACAAAAAGACAUGGAUGGUCGAUCGCAGACCUAUUUGACUGGUGACCAAUUUAAAAGAGUACCAAAUCUCCGUCUUCUCAUUUUGGAUCACUUUGACAUUAAGAAGGAUUUUAGAAAUCUUCUUUCAAAGUUACUUUGGCUCCGUUGGCAUGGCUGUCCGAGAGCUUUUAAUGUAAUCAAUUUGAACUUGGAGGUCUUGGUCGUUCUUGAUUUAUCGUGGAGCAAGGUAACUGAAGGUUGGGAGGGUUGGAAUAGUAUAAAGGUAGCUCAAAUACUUUGCAAUUCCCUUUUCACUUGAAUACUUACUGCAACAUUAACAGUUUCUGUCUUUGUAUUGCUUGCAGUUGGCAAGGAAGUUGAAAGUCUUAAUUCUCAGAGGCUGUGUUGACUUGAUACAAACUCCAAACUUCUCUAAUUUCGAGUCUUUGGAGAUGCUGAUUUUAGAAUAUUGCUCUCAUUUGGUUCGAAUCGACCCAUCGAUUGGUCAGUUGCAACGUUUGCAAAUUUUAGAUCUGAAAUUUUGCACUGACCUCGGUAACUUGCCCAGAGAACUUGAUUCUCUUGAAGCUUUGAGAGAGCUCCGACUUGAUGGAACUUAUAUAGAAGAUAUUCCGGUCUCCGAAGAUAUGAAGCAUCUUAAAACUCUCAGUGCCUGCAACUGUAAAUCAUUGGCACGAUUAUCCAGUGAAAUUGGUGACAUAAAAUCUCUAGAAUUUCUUUCGAUUGAUGGCUCUGAACUUACCACACUCCCGGACUCAAUUAAAAGGCUAGAAAAGUUUAAACAACUGUCUUUGAGAGAUUGUCGGUUGUUGUGGAAACUUCCAGACGCCAUUGGGAAAUUGACAUCAUUAGAGAACCUGGAUCUCUCAAGUACAGGAAUAGACAAAUUACCACACGCCAUUGAUAAUAUGCAUAAUUUGAAGGUGCUGAGAAUGGAUGGAAGUUUCAUUAGAAAGUUCCCUCGAUCUAUUGGAAUGCUGAAGAAGCUUGAGGAGAUUCAUGCAUCACGCUGCAGGAGUUUGGAAAAAAUUCCUGAGGAGAUCAAAGGCUUGUCUCGUUUGAGAAAUUUGGUGUUGUCAGAUUCCAAUAUUCCCAGCCUACCAGGGAACAUCUCUAGUCUUUCCCACCUUCAAAACCUUGAUUUAUAUGGCUGUGACAAUCUUCAUGAGGUUCCUCUGCUUCCCACUAGUUUAGCCACUUUGCGUCUCACUUAUGACUCAGUAAAUUGAAGUCUUUGGAUNNNNNNNNNNNNNNNNNNNNNNNNNNNNNNNNNNNNNNNNNNNNNNNNNNNNNNNNNNNNNNNNNNNNNNNNNNNNNNNNNNNNNNNNNNNNNNNNNNNNAGUUGUACCUUGCCAAUAUAUGGAGAGGAGGCAUCUCCCGGCACAGACGGAUAGUUGAUGGUGGAGCCAAUCAGCCUUUCGGGGAUUGGCAAAGUGACAAAAGUUGAGACCUUGAAAUUGUGCCUCCCAGGCUUCACUAAACUACCGGAAAUGGAUGCUCUCAAGCAGCUAAGGAAGCUUGAUCUUCAAUGUCCAGACCUACAACAUCUCCCACGACUACCCAAAAGUUUGAAAAAACUAACCCUCCGGGACUGCAAAUCCUUAAAGACGUUGCCAGAGCUUAAGUAUCUCAAGUCUCUAUCUGGAUUGGAGCUUCUGUUAUGUUCUGUAAUGGAAAUCGAAGGACUUCAAAAUCUCUCAUCCUUGGUAGCCUUGCUUAUUUCUCACUGUGAGCUGGUAAAGCUAGAUGGCCUCGAAUGCUUGACAUCCCUGAGAACAUUGACCAUCUCAUACAGUGAUUCCCUUCAAGGACUGCCAGAUUUGUCGAACUUGAAGAAGCUGAGAACAUGUCAUAUCCAACAUUGCAAGAACAUAACUCAAAAGGACAGCCUCUAGUAGUCGAGCUCCCUAGAAAGGCCAGAUAUUUGCGAAGGUCGUGGUACGCCUCUGGUCUAAAUGAGGACUUGAAAGAGAUCCAUUUCAUGCUUCCUCGAGCAAGUCUGAAGUUUCUGAGGCCAAUGUUCAUUCUAAAGGUCAUGCGUCUUUUCAAUUUAAUGAUGAUCCAUAACUUUCACCUGCAUUGUUGGACUUCCUUGUAACUGGAAUGCCUUCUUCUCCGAUAUUUCCAUUUUUCUUUUCACUUCUUUAGAGAAUGCAAUAUUUUUCCUUUAUGAAGUUAUUCUCAACAAUGCCCAGCAAUUGCUUGGUAUACCACUUAACACUUCGACUUCAUUGUACUGUUUUCACAAAUAUGUGAAUGAGUGCAUGAAUCAGCAUUUCUGAAUUCCCUAAUCAUUCAGGCCGUUGCUGUUCUUAAUUUCUUCCAUCUGACUGAUUAUCCUUGGUAAGAUGAUUUGCCCAUUUAUUCAAUAUACAUGGAGUAUUCGCUAGCGGGAGUAUUGUAAUGGAAGAAAUAACCGGAUGUGAUCUCUGUUCAUUUCUUUUGCCCAACGAUGAUGUAUAGAAUAGUCAUAUCCAAAUGCGAUGCAGAAAGGCCAAAUAUAUGCUCAUACACCUCUGCAUAGACAAUACUGAGGGAAAAAUCACCAUGGCAUGCACUUUUUAUUUGGGAAUUAUUUAUACGAUUAACGAGAGGCACCCAAUAACCCUGAUGAUCUAGAUGAUUAUAGGAUGAAAAUUCAAAAAGGAUGAUGAAUUCAUGUUACUGAACAUCAUCUGGCAUCAGUUUGUUGUUUUUCCCCCUUGAAUAAAUUUUACAUGCUAAGUAGUUUAUCUACUCGAAUGAAUAUCAUUCGACUCGUUUUAGUGUUUUCUGGGUACUCUGAGAUAUCUCUGUGAACUAAUGUCUCGGGCUAAGCAGCCAACUUAGGCUGAGCAGCAGGUGCCUCAUCAUGAAUAACCUGGAUUAUUAUAGCACAUUCCAGGACGGUCCUGCCUUUCACAACCAAAUAAAAUGCAUCUCUUUGUUGCCAGGCCUGAUCAGAUUGAAGAUUCAGAACCUGUGAAGAGACCUGCGUACAUCAUUACAGGACCCACUUAUUAUAGUUUCCUUCUUGGUUAGUCCGUGAUAGUAAAGACCAGGCUGAGGAAUCUUAUGUCACAUGGGUAGAGGAGCAAGGCGUGACUUCACUCAGUUACACGUUUCUGAAUCUUCUUUUUUCAACAUAGUUGAUCUUUACUUGCGUCUCUGCAUGAUUCAGGCAUCUGCUUUUGAUAUUUACGUCCUGCUUCGUUGGAUGAUCCACGCCAAAGAAUGUAACAUCUCUGGAUUUCGUUUUGCUUUCUAGACACAUUCCAUAGAAGUGUUUCCCUUGCAUUUCUAUUGGCUAUUUCUACGAUUUAUUUUGUUGAAAUCUGCGAGAUCUCAGCACCCACUCUGUCAUCAGUUUAUGAUCUCUUAAUUCCUAGAUUUCUGCGAAUGUACCAUAAUAUGGUUAUGUGGUGUCAACUGUCAACUUAAACAAACUCUUCUGGACAAGAGAAUUGGAAGAAGAAAAAGGCAAACAGUUUUCCUGAGAAUUGAUCACCACAAGUUAGUGGCAUUCAAAUUUCAAACAUGAGGCUUCCCGAUGUUUCUAUGAGCUACAACAAUGAAGAAAGCCAUGGAUUGACAAGAACGGUACAGAUGAUUUGUGACCCGACGAACUUAGAUUCAGAAGGCUAGUCGGUCAUCUUACGUCUGCUAAAACAACAAAUGCUAUGCCAAGUACCUUUUGUUAGACCUAAAUCUAAACAACAUUAGGAAUAUGAAGCCCGGGAGAGUGUUUCCGAACUUUUCCUCUUCCCAUUAUAUAUGCCCUUUGAAAUUUGUACCACUUGAUAUCCCAUAAAUUGCAUCCUCCGAGAUCUUCAUAGAAGACCUCCUUCCUGUACAUUCCAGUUCGUGUCAUCAUCAAUAUUCAAAUUCAAAAGUAUCUUUUGACUUCACAGUUUCCAAUGCCACAAGCAUCUCUCUUUAGAAAAAGUAAUCACCAACAUUUUCUGAUGAUGGAAAAUUAUUCAAGCAGUUAUGUUCGCUUUAUGUUUUCAUGAAAAUUGAAUACUGGCUCAAUGAAAUAUGUCGUGAAUAGAAUCGAUCUUUUUGUUUCCUUCCAAUUUUUUAUUGUACUUUUAUGCCAUUAAUUUCUUUCCCUUAUUACUGCUUAGGGUGCAUUUGGUAAUAUUUUUUUUUCAAAAAUUGUUUUAGAGAAUAGAUAUAGAAAAAGUUAUUUUUGUUCCGGAAAACAAUUUUUGAACAGAAAAAUGCGUUUGGUAACUGUACAAAAUUUUUACUCCUAGAAUAAAAAAGAAGUAAAAACACGAAUUUCUACCCCAUGCUUCGUCCAAUGUUGUCGUUUCAUAUAUUUCAAAAUCUAGAGAUGCCUUCAGACUUUUACUACAAAAUUCAUUGUUAAUUGACGGAAAACAAAUCUUUAGUCGUUGCCUUCUUUUGGUCCUUGAUGUACGCUCACUAGUGGCCUUAACAACUAACUCACUGUCACUUCUCUAUUGAAAAGUAACUACACUGAACUCAUAUAAUUGAUGUAAUAAAAUAGACUGGUUAAUUGACCUUGACUUAGAAAUGUGCUGAGUCGUUGCCUUCUAGCUCUAGCCAUUAUCCUGUUCUUCCAUUCACAGCCCGAAGAGGGCCUAUCCCUUUCACUUCUAGAAGUCUUCCUCUACGCGUGCUUAGCCAUUGCCUUUUAGGCAUUAUCCAGUGGCGGUUCUAUCUUUGGUGCUGAAUUGAGUAAACCAACGUGCGCUUAUUUUAUUGUCAUUUGUACACCGACAGCUUGGUUGGCCCGUCUGCGCAUGGGAAGGUCGUUUAACGUUUGCAUUGUAGUCCUCUCUGGCGGCGACUUUGAUAAUGUAUCUAAAUGCAAGGGGGAAAAAGAAAGAAAAGGACGUAAUAGCUAUAUUUUUCCACUAUAAUUAUGUUACCAUUAUACUAGUUUCUAAUAGCCAACCCUAGAUUGGCUGAGCAAGGCAAUCACUCUGUUUUCUCCCUCCAAAAGGCCUCAGUCGCUUUGGUAGUGACGAAUGGUGAUUGGAUCCACCGUACCUUUCGAGUAAAGAACAGGGAAAUGUUUCUUAUUUUAUGACAAAUCUAAUUGGUAACUAAUCAAGAUCCCCUUGUAACCUAGCAAAUUACUUCCAUCUAUCACAAUCCAUUUACUCCCAAAUUGUCAUUUCAUAAAGAAAAUUCUCAAAUUAAUAGACUCGAGCCACAUUUAUUUUUGCAAUACUAAAACUAGUUUGUGAUAAAUAUGAUACGGAUAAUACUAAUUUGGGAUUCUUUUUUUAUGAUAUUAGCCCAAAAAAGUUCAAAUUUUAGUUUAUAUUUUCAAAUAGCCAUGUAAGCGUCUUCAGAUCAAUUAGGGGGAAAAAGAGCAUUUAAUUCGAUGACUGAAUUGAUAAAGAAAAGUUUAAGGUUCCGGACGUUCAUUUUGUAAAAGUUCAAAGGUCAUUGGUGUUUUUUUUUUUUUUUCUUUUUAAGAUAUAUUUUGUUGUAAAUUUUUACAUCCGUCUCGCCGUGGUCCGCCGGUCAAAGAGGCCGUCGUACACCUACUCCCAUGGUAUGAAACUGGGAGGUGGAUCUUUGAAAUAGAGAAGAAAGACGAAAACUGAGGAGGAGGCGCCCCCAAAACACGGAAACCAUUUUCAUUUUGAAAGUAGAUGGACAUCCAGACUUAUCGCAGCCGUGGAGGAGGUUCCUCCGAAACAAGAGAGCAGAGUUACGAUGUGUUUGGGAGCUUCACAGGACAGGAUACUCGCAAGGACUUCGUGGAUCAUCUCUACGAUAGGCUCUUACGAGAGGAGGUCCGCGUGUUCAAGGAUGAUGAGAAACUCCUCUUGGGAGAGGAGUAUGAGCUGUCGCUCCUCGAAGCGAUCGGGCAUUCCAAGAUCGCCAUUCCGAUCCUGUCAGAGGACUACCCAUCGAGCCCAUGGUGCCUCCGAGAACUGGCUCAAAUGGUGGAGUGCCACAAGAAGACAGGCCAGAUCAUCAUGCCCGUCUUCUACCAAGUCACGCCAUCGGUCGUGAAAAACAGAUCCAACGGUUACGACAAGGCUACCGACGAGCAUAGAUGGAGAGGAUUCAAAUGCUCAAAAUCUCGUCCAAGGAGUAGAAUAAAAAUAAUAAUUUUUGAAUAGAAAUUAUUUUCAAAAAUAAAAUAAUUAUCAAAAGUACCUACUUUAGCCAUCGACCCACUGUCAAGACAAAUAAUUUUUUGAAAGUCUCUGCCACAACCGUACCAAAUCCACCGUAUCACUCUCGAGAAUGACCCAAAAGGAGAGAGACUGGCUAAUGUUCUGCCUCAUCAGAGGCCGCAUGUGCUUGUCCUCCGCCAUGAAAGUCUCCGCGACGUCCGUACAAAGUCCACUUAGCUAGGUUUGGCUGAAAAGGAAGAAUUAAGAGUUGAUUAUGGCAUCAUCAAAGUUGCCCGUCUUCCUUUCGGCUGGAGCACAAGCACGUGGCUUUCAUCCUUUUUCUGAAGGACGCAAAAAUCUGACGGGUCAGAUUUGUUCAAGGAAAACUUAGGCCCAGUCAACAUAAGUUAAGACUACUCAAUUACCGUAAUUAGUGGGGCCUUGCGUCCUGCCGCUCUGAGGUCGAUUUAACAACCACCACUAACGACUGUAGGCACACUAAUUGCCCCUAAAAAAUCCAUGCUAAUCACAAUGGUUUAUUAUUUAAUUUAAGGUCAUUGCACCUCAUCACCUCUUUGUAUUGCCACGAUUAGCAUGCUUUCCUUUUACAAUAGUUUAGAUACAGUCAUAUUGUUCAUUUGAAGGUAAAAUUGUCAAAAAGAAAAAUUAUAAAUUUAUUGUACAAUAGUCAAUUUGGUCUCUAAUUUUUUAAUUUGACUACCUUUUGAUGAUUUUCCAAUAAUUUUUCCUAUCAAUUUUGAUUGAAAAUUGCUAAUAUAGACGAUUUUUAUAAUUUUUAAAAAAUUUAGAAUAUUCCCUUUUUUUCUUUUAUCCUUUUUUCAUUUUUUUUCCUUUCGUCAAUCCCCGGCCACCCCUUCCCCAAAUAUAGUGAGGAUGUCCCCUCACUUGUGGUCAAUAGAGGUUAUGAGCCAUCAUUGAGGCCUUAGCAACCGGUGGAAGGACAUAAGGAGAGAAGAAAAAAGGAAAAGGAAAGGCGAAUAAAGGAAGAAAAAUAUAAUUUUUUAAAAUUGUAAUAAAUCGCCGAUGUUAGCUCUGUAUACUAUAUAGAACAGUCGGUAUCCAUGUUAGCGAUUUCGAUUGAAAUUUGGCCACGAAAAUUAGAUUAGUAAAUUACCAAAAUUUUUAGAAUUAAAUUAACAAAAUAGAAAAGUUCAGAAUUGAAUUGACCACCGUACACAAAUUAGAAGCCUUUUUGGAUAAUAAUCCCUACAUUUGAAUGGUCCCUAUGCGUUGCCAAGCCAUCUUCGUUCCUCCUUACUUAAGGAGAAACCGCAAAUACAAUAUCCUAAUACUCUCUCCCCCUCCCACCCUUCCACCAAACGGUUGCAGUAAUCCGUCAAUGCUCCCCAUGAAAACGAGAGUAAUCAGAACAUGAUUUUGUCAAGUCAUUUAUGAAGACUUAUCUCUUUCUUGGACCUAGACCUAGAAAAGGAAAGCUUGGGGGUUGAACUUUAAAGCAGCCUCUGUCGGUCCCGCCCCAGGAGACUAAAUAACGGUCGGUAGCAAUCGUUCUUUGGCCAAAGCGGACGGAUUUAAAAAGGCUUGAUUGCUCUUCUAGAGCAACCCAUCUUUUCAACGUUUCAGAUAGCUAUAAACACGAAGCCUAUGUUUCGUAUUCGUACUUUGGUUCAAAGGUUCAUACAUAAGUCGGUUUAGUCUCUCCUCUCUCUGUCUCUCUGUCUGUCUGUCUGUCUCUGUCUCUGUCUCUGUCUCUCUCCCUUCCUCUCUCUCCCCCCUUCUCUAUAGUUAGUCCGUAGACUUCUUUGUAAGGCAUGACUCAUCCUUAGAAAAAACUGUGGCAUGAGCAAAUCAGCAAGAAGGAGAUAAUUUUCUAUGAAAUUUCUAUGAAAGUGGAUGGGGAAGUUGGAAACGACAAUUUACCUUAGUGUCUUGAGAAAAAUAUGAGGAUAAUGGCACGAUGGUCCGUUGAAGUUUACUCGAUUCUCAAUUCGUCCUUGAAUUUGUUUGAUCGGGUCCCGAAAUCUUUUGUUUCAUUCAACACGGUCGUUUAAUUUUUUUUUCCUUUUUGGUUGAAACAAAGGUGCCCUUCAUACAUCAAAAUGAUAUUUGAGAGGGGAAAAUUGUUCAAAAAGUCUUAAACCUAUUGCAAUUUUGCCAAUUCAGUCAUAGAUCUUUCAAUUUUGCCGAUUAAGUCCUAAACUUUUUUGUCAAUUUGCCAAUUAAAUCCAUCCGGUCAAUUUUGGUUGGAAAAUACUAACGUAGACACCGACGAUGCCACGUAAGACUGCCGGCGCUGACGUGUAUAAUUUUUAAUAAUAUUUUAAUAUUUUUUUAAAAUUUUGAUUUUUUUAAUAUUUUCUGUUUUUUCCCUCUCUUUUUUUUUUUUUAAAUUUUUUCUUUUUGGCUUUUCCCUUGCCCUUUUCUGGUGGCCUGCCAUUGGCCACAGGCAACGACCGGCCAUUGGCCACAGCCAGCCGGCUGGCCUCGCCCGCCACAGGCGAGGCCUGGCCGGGCGACAGUGACACCGGGGCUCGCCCUCACUCAGCUGAGCAUGGGCCUCGCCUCUAGCCGAGCGAUCGAGNNNNNNNNNNNNNNNNNNNNNNNNNNNNNNNNNNNNNNNNNNNNNNNNNNNNNNNNNNNNNNNNNNNNNNNNNNNNNNNNNNNNNNNNNNNNNNNNNNNNNNNNNNNNNNNNNNNNNNNNNNNNNNNNNNNNNNNNNNNNNNNNNNNNNNNNNNNNNNNNNNNNNNNNNNNNNNNNNNNNNNNNNNNNNNNNNNNNNNNNNNNNNNNNNNNNNNNNNNNNNNNNNNNNNNNNNNNNNNNNNNNNNNNNNNNNNNNNNNNNNNNNNNNNNNNNNNNNNNNNNNNNNNNNNNNNNNNNNNNNNNNNNNNNNNNNNNNNNNNNNNNNNNNNNNNNNNNNNNNNNNNNNNNNNNNNNNNNNNNNNNNNNNNNNNNNNNNNNNNNNNNNNNNNNNNNNNNNNNNNNNNNNNNNNNNNNNNNNNNNNNNNNNNNNNNNNNNNNNNNNNNNNNNNNNNNNNNNNNNNNNNNNNNNNNNNNNNNNNNNNNNNNNNNNNNNNNNNNNNNNNNNNNNNNNNNNNNNNNNNNNNNNNNNNNNNNNNNNNNNNNNNNNNNNNNNNNNNNNNNNNNNNNNNNNNNNGGGAAAAACCGAAAUAUUUUUAAAAAUAUUAAAAUAUUAUUAAAAAUUGUCCACGUCAGUGCCGGCAAUCUUACGUGGCACCCCCGGCAUCCACAUUAACAUUUUCAGGCCAAAUUUGGCUGGAUGGACUCAAUUUUGCAAACUGACAAAAGGUUUAGGACUCAAUCGGCAAGAUUGAAAGGUUUAGGACUGAAUUGGCAAAACUGCAAUAGGUUUAGGACUUUUUAGAGAAUUUUCCCUAUUUGAGAGGUACAAAAAAAGACUUUCAAGUCUGUCAAAUCUGAAAUAAUUGCAAAACAAAGCAAAAACCAAAAAGCAUAUAACAAAGGGUAACCUACAGCUAGCUCUUUUCUCUAAAGAACAUAUCUGACAAUGUAAACGAUUGGUGGCCAAUCACUAGAUCCAAUGAUGAGCACACGUUGAGAUCUCUCACUCUAUUUGCAACAACUCGUAGUGCGCAUCUAGGUUCAACAUUCUAACACCAUCAUCAUGCAGAUACAUCAACAUUAAAAUAUUAAAAAAACACAGUCAAAUACUAGUAAGAGCUCCUAGAUCUAUAUCUAAAUUUAGUUCAAUAGAGUAAAACUCCUAAAACUUGACCUAAAUCUAAAUUGAGAGAGGAGAGUAGCCUAAUAUUAUAGAGGUUAUGAAGUUACAUUACGAACAUCCUUCUCGAUGGCUGUCGACUGGACAAAUGACCGAACUGGUCUCCAUGUUCACCCAAUAUCAGCUGUAGAAACUUACUCAUACAUAGAAACUCCAAAACAGAUGGGGAAAUAAAAGAAAGACAAGAGCUUAAAAAAGAGGGAAGAGGGAGACACACUCCUCCCUCAAGGAGAGCAUUGCAGAGAGGCGGUGACUUCACGAGAGAAGAGAGGAAACCCUAACUUAGGGUUAAGAGAGAGAGUAUCUCAUAAGUCCAUGGGAUGAAAAAUACAUAUGGUCGUUUAAUUCAUUCACACUGAAUAUUAUCGAGAAUUAUACAAAAAAGCUAGAAUACUUAUACGAAAGGAUUUUUUUUAUAGUUUCUAUUUGUUUCUUUUUACAUUGUAGAGCUUUCUUCAAUCUUUUACCUGGGAGACCUGAGCAAGAUUGCAAGUGUGCAUGGCUUCAAAUAGAACUUAUCUGGACAGAAAGUUCUUACCAGAACCAGAGACGUAGUUGUGUAGGAAAUUAAUGUUAUUUGGCUUCUGGUUUUUUCAGAAGUGGCGAACCCCAACCUCAACUUCUUUACGUCCAGGUACUGAGAUCCCUUUGUCUUUUCCUACAUAAAGCCGUGGUUGUUCAGACGGACCCUAUCAAUGCCUCAGAAGGUCACAGUCUAGAUAGAAUGAUGGGACAAAAGAAGAAUCAAAGACGCGUUUGGUUUUUGAAAAAAAUUAUGUCGAAGGAAAUGGUCUUGCACGAAAUUCAUUUCUAAGGAAAGUGAUCAAUUUUGCCUUUUUCGGUUGUAAGCAUGAAAAUGAGGAGAAGUAGUUUUCCGCUGUUUGGAUUUUACUUCCGGAAAUAGGAUAGAUUAUGUAAUGAUAUUAAUCAUAUUACUAUGUAAAGGAAAUUACAGAUUAUUAGAAGAAACGUGAAGCUUUGAAUCCANNNNNNNNNNNNNNNNNNNNNNNNNNNNNNNNNNNNNNNNNNNNNNNNNNNNNNNNNNNNNNNNNNNNNNNNNNNNNNNNNNNNNNNNNNNNNNNNNNNNAUGAUAUUGCCAUGUUGGUCAUCACCUUGAGACCUUGGUGAGUGAUGUUCAAUUUUAGAGAAAGUAAAAAGAUUGGCGAAUUUUAGUGUGUACUUUUAAUUUCAAAGAGGCCUUGUUGAGUGAUAAAUGAGUUAGCAUUUUACUCACAAAUGAUCAUUACCUUUUCUAGUUACACAAAGUACACCUCUUGGGAUCGGUCCACAAAAGUCAUAUCUUAUGAUGAAAAUAAUUACUAAUUGGUAGCGGACAAAUGCAUUUUUUUGAAUAAUAGGAAAGUAAGUGUUGAGAGAGAGAGAGAGAGAGAGAGAGAGAGAGAGAGAGAUGUGUCAAAUUACUGUAGUGACCUCAUUAUUUAGUGGGUGAGGAAAUUUAGAAAAAAAGAAGGUAUUUAAUUAAGCUUUCUAGAGAAAUUUGACUAAUGAAAUGAAAUUAUUUAACGACGGCCCAUCUUUUUAAAUCAGAAAUACAUAGAGUCCUAUAAGAGACUAGUCAAAAGAUAUAUCGACUUCACAUAUGCAACUCGUUAUUUUUGCAGUAUAUUUAUAUUUUGAGGAUAAUUUUCUUUAUAUUGACUUAUCCAUAAAAAUUCUAGUGCAUUUAGAAUGACAUGUGUGUUUGGAUGAGUUAGCCUUAUAAUGUCAUUACUGUUGCCAUAAUUUAUGGUCAACAGCUAAUUAUACCACGUAAUCAAGGCAAAGAUAGUAUUAUAUGUAAUAAUGUUUUAUGGAGCAUUUCCUUUUGCAUUUACAUGAUAAUAAUGGAUGUUUAGAAUUUUUUAUGUACUUAAUUUUAUCAAAUUUUUGAUUUUUUAGAAUAGAUAUUUCAAAACAUCAUGUAAUGUUGGCAUGAAAAAUAAUUAGAAAUUAGAUUAUAAAAUUCACUUAAUAAAAUGAAAGUAAAGCGUUUAAAAUUCACAAACUACACUGUAAUAAUACAUAUUAAAGUUAAAUCAAACGAAAAACGUAGCAAAACGAGUAGACGGUUUUUUUUACUCUUAGGCUUUGUUUGUUUGUGUUUUUUUUUUUGAACACUUUUUUUGUUUUUUUGUUCCUAGGAACAAAAAAGGAACAGAAACGCGUUUGGGUGCGUUUCUGUUCCUUUUUUGUUCUUCUGUUCCCAGGAACAAAAAAGAAACAGAAAUAAGAAACAACAAAUUUUGUGUUUCUUAUUUCUGAAACACAUUUGAGGAACACUUUUUAUAUUUUUCUUCNNNNNNNNNNNNNNNNNNNNNNNNNNNNNNNNNNNNNNNNNNNNNNNNNNNNNNNNNNNNNNNNNNNNNNNNNNNNNNNNNNNNNNNNNNNNNNNNNNNNNNNNNNNNNNNNNNNNNNNNNNNNNNNNNNNNNNNNNNNNNNNNNNNNNNNNNNNNNNNNNNNNNNNNNNNNNNNNNNNNNNNNNNNNNNNNNNNNNNNNNNNNNNNNNNNNNNNNNNNNNNNNNNNNNNNNNNNNNNNNNNNNNNNNNNNNNNNNNNNNNNNNNNNNNNNNNNNNNNNNNNNNNNNNNNNNNNNNNNNNNNNNNNNNNNNNNNNNNNNNNNNNNNNNNNNNNNNNNNNNNNNNNNNNNNNNNNNNNNCGGGUUCGGCAACUCUUCGACAGUGCUUUGGACCGACGAGGCCGACCUCGCGUCGAGCUAGGCGAGCUCGAUCUUGCCCAGAUCCGGCAAGGCCGCCGGCCAUGGCCGAGGCCGGCGACCGGCCAAAAGAAGAGAAAAGAAAAAAUGAAAAAGAAAAAAGAAAAAAAGGAAAAAUAAGAAAAAAAUAGAAAAAAUAAAAGAAAUAAAAAAAUUAUACAAAUUUACCAAAUGUGUUUCUGUUUAUUUUUUAUUCCCGGAAUAAGUUUACCAAAUGCGUUUUUUUGUUUAAAAAUUGUUCCUCGGAACAGAAACACUUUUUUCUAUUUCUGUUCCCUAGAACAAUUUUUAAACAGAAACGCAAACAAACGCAUCUUUACUUGUGCUUAGGUUAUUUUCAAAUAAGAGAAUAUACAACUCAAUAGCAUAAUAAAUAAUUAACUAUCUAUUAAAUAAACUGAUUUUCGGAAAAGAGGGACACCGAUUUUGAGCCACACGAAGUCGGGAGGAAUUUCGAGGACUCCGUGCAGAACGGGUCACGCGCGCGGGUGGGACCCCGGAAAGAGCCGCCCACUCCCGUGGUAUGAAGAAGUAGGGAGAUGGAUCUUUGAAAUGGAGAAGGAAGAGAGACGAUACUGAGAGGAGGAGGCCCCGACACGAUGUUUCGAAAGAAGGAGAUGGUUUCCGAAGUCGCACUUUUUUCCGACGGUGAAGAGUCUGAAGACGAAUAUACCAGAACAAGAGAAGAGAGUUCUACCCGUGUUGCUCCGGCCAAAGUGUAUUUGAGCUUCAGAGGAUCGGACACCCGCGAGGUCUUUGUGGAUCCUCUCUGCAAUAGCCUCGACGAAGCGGGGAUCCGCGUGGUCUGGGAUCACAAGGAAGAUCGUAAUUUGUGGCCACCUAAAUAGUAUGUCGAGCAUGCCGAGAUCGCCAUUCCGAUCCUGUCAGAGAACUAUCCGUGGAGCAUACGGUGCCUCCGAGAGCUGGCUCAGAUUGUGGAGCGGCACCAGACGAUGGGCCUGAUCAUCAUGCCCGUCUUCCUCAACGUCACGCCCUCGGUCGUGAAAAACAUAUCCCACGGUUACCGCGAGGCUAUCGACAAGUAUAGAUGGAAAGGAAUCCACCCAGCAAUCCUCUGGGAAUGGGAGAAAGCUCUCAUCCAUGUGGGGUCCACCUCAGGGUUGGCGAGUAAUCGGUGAGUGUAAUUGAGUAAGUUCGAUUGAGUAACCUAGCAUCUAAAUCCCAAGGUAGCGCUUACUUCAAUUCAAGUUAAUCUAAUUAGACUAAUGCUAGGUGUCUCAGUGCCUGAUGUACCUCCCUCUGAUCUGGUACUGAAUGUGAUCCGUUUGUUUAUGUUCUUACUCCCAGCUUGCCUCAUUACUUAGUGCUUCGGUUUUGUCGAUAAAUUUCAAUAUUCCUAGCGUUACACAUCUAUUUAAAAGCACAUGACUCAGUUUUAGUAAAAGCAUGUACCACUAAUUGUGUGCCCUGUUUGUCUAAAGCUGAUUGCUGUAUGAUAAUUUUUGAAAGGAGAGCGCGAACUUCUUCUUGCAAAUUACUUCAGAGUUCAGACAUUUAUGGACUUACAUUAAUCUUUAUGCAUGUGCCUCGUGCACACGCGCACACAUGAUACAGCUUAGGCACACAUGCUUCAAUCAUCGAUGUACUUGUCACAAAUGUGUUGAGGCUGUUGAAGAGACAAUUCGUUGGCAUCGAGCAUCAUGAGGAAACAGUUAUAAAAUUACUAAAUGUGGAAUUUAGUGAUGUUCGUGUAGUUGGAAUACAUGGCAUAGGGGGCACUGGGAAGACAACAAUUGCAAAGUUCGUCUACAAAAGAAUAUUUCAUCUCUUUGAUGGCUGUAGCUUUCUGGAAAGCUUUAGAGAAAAUGCCAAAAAACCAGGAGGCUUAGUUGAUUUGCAAGGUCAGUUGAUUUCUGACCUUCUAGGUGCAAUGCAUAGACAAAUUCCUUCUGUUGAUGACAGGAUUAAGUCCAUCAGAAGCAGAUUCUUCCACAAGAAAGUUCUCAUUGUCUUCGAUGAUGUCGAACCAGGCUUUGAACUUACUCCAAUUUUAGGAAGUCUUGAUUGGUUAGGCUCUGGAAGCAGGAUCAUAAUUACCACCAGAGCUGAGCAAGCUUUAGAUAAGGUUGAAGGGAUACUGAAAUAUGAGGUUGGGGGAAUGCAACAAGAUGAAGCCCUUACACUUUUCCACAUCCAUGCCUUCAGGGAGAAUCCUCCUCCGGAUGAGUUUGUUACUCUGUCCAAAAAAAUAGUAUCAACUAUUGACUGGCUUCCGUUGACUAUUGAGGUUGUCGGGUCAUAUCUAUUUUCUAAAGGCGAGGAUGUAUGGAUGCAAACCUUAGACGAGUUGGAAAAAGUACCUAAGCUGCAAGUUGAACAGAAGUUGAUGGUAAUCAUCAAAGCAUUACCUGACAAGCAAAGACAGAUAUUUCUGGACAUUGCUUGUUUCUUCAUUGGAGAGGACAAAAGCGUUGCAUGCUACCUGUGGUCUGAGUGUGAUUCUGCAAGUGGAUUGGAAUUACAAGUGCUCGUUCUCUCCUCUAUUGUUAAGAUUGAGAACAAUAAGCUGUGGAUGCAUGAUCAACUUCGAGACCUAGGUAGGGAUAUUGUCCAAGGGGAACAUCGUGAACCUGGAAACCGCAGCAGAUUGUGGUUACAAGAUGAAGCCUUGGAUGUGCUGACAAAUGAAAAAGUAAGAUACAAGUUCAUCACUGUUUUUACCUUACGAUUGUGUGCCUUACAACUCAGUGAUCCUUUUUUCAUAGAGGAAAGACACUUAGGGUGCAUUUGUUUCUUGGAAAAUGAAUGAUUUGGAAAAUAUUUUCUUAAAAAUGGUCGCUUAUAUUUCUUGAAAUAAUUAGUCAUUGAUAAUUUUUUCAUUAUUGAUAACAAUUUAUGUAUAUAUAUUUUCAUGGAUGAUGAAAAUAUUUUUGUACAUUUGUUUUUAUAAGAGAUACAAGCGAUUAUUUUAAGGCAAAUGUUUUCCAAAUAAUUCAUUUUCCGUGAAAUAGAAGGACUUUUAAUAAAAUGAUAUCUUUAGUUUGAAGUCUCUAAGCAUUUAUUAUCUUCACAUAUUUUUGUGGGGAAAUGCAAAGUCCCUUGCUAAUCCUAUAUUCCACAUGUAGGGAACUGACAGCGUUCAAGGUGUUCUUCUCAAAUUUGACAGUAGGUCACAGUGCAAUUUUAAACCAGCACAUUUUGCAAGUAUGUCGAACAUAAGAUUCCUUCGAUUGGAUCAGGCGAACCUCAAAGGAAAGUUUGAGGGGCGUCUGUCAAGUAUAAGAUGGCUCCACUGGCAAGGUUGUCCUCGUAAUCUUUGUGCUGGAAAUUUGGAUUUGAAGAAAUUGGUUAUUCUAGAUCUUUCCUGGAGCAAGGUCAACAAAAAAUGGAAUGGUUGGAGAGAAAUCAAGGUAGGGAAGUUUUUUAUUUUUAAUUUCAUUUGUCAAAUUGUAGCAGAAAAGUGACUCUUUUGUCAUUCUACUUUCUGACAGGAAGCCAAGAAAUUGAAAGUUUUGAACCUCACCGGUUGUGUUGACUUGAUCAGAACUCCAGACUUGUCUUGUUACAAAUGUUUAGAGAGAUUGAUUCUUGAAAGUUGCAUUCGAUUGGUUGAAAUUAGUUCAUCGGUAAAAAGUCUGGAGAGGUUGGUUUCACUGAACUUGAGGUCUUGUACUGAACUCAAUAAGUUGCCUGAAGAGCUGGGUUCCCUCAUAUCCUUGGAAGAGAUUCUUAUAGAUGGAACUGCUGUUCAAGAAAUUCCUGCCUCCAUCGGUCAUUUGCAAAAGCUUAGAAUAUUCAGUGCCUGCAACUGUCUUUCAUUGAUCCAGCUGCCCGAUUCAAUUAGUCAUGUAAAAUCUCUGAGAGUCUUCAGACUGAAUGGUACCAAAAUAACUGAACUUCCCCUGUCUGAAGAGUUAAAAGUGCUGCAGCACUUGUCAAUAAAUCAUUGUAGGUCAAUAUUGAAGUUACCAACGUCCUUGGGGAGUUUGGCUUCAUUGAUCGAACUUGAUUUAUCAAGCACUGGAAUUGUCGAAUUACCUAAUACUGUCAAUAAGUUAUAUCUUUUAAGAGUGCUCAAAAUUGAUUUUACUUUUGUACGAGAGCUGCCUUGUGCUAUAUGGAAGUUGAAGAGGCUUGAAGAGCUGCAUGCUUCAAGAUGUCGAAGUUUGGCUGGGGAAAUUCCUAGAGAUAUUGAGGAGCUUUCGAGCUUGAGGGUCUUGAGGCUUGGAUACUCUCGGAUUCAUGGUCUACCAGAUAGCAUUUCUACACUUCCCAAUCUGCAAACGCUUGAUCUGCUUCAUUGUGACAAGCUCCUUAGAGUGCCUGAGCUUCCUCCCACUUUGAUAAGCCUAUCUGUCAGUUCUAAAUUGAUGGAUACAAUCCCGGACAUCAGUAGCCUGGUUAAGUUGGGAGAGUUAUUCUUGGCUGAUGGAUCCCAGGAACUGUUGUUACCUGACCAAGGUCAAAUUGAGGCCAAAGGAUGCACUCGUUUGGAGCUCAGGAGUUUGUCAGAGCUAAAGAUAUUGCAGCUAUCUAUGUUAAAGAUCCAACUACAACCUGUUGGGUUGGAUCUCCUUCGUAAGCUCACAAAGCUCUCCCUUUGCUGCGUUCACUUGAAAAAGCUACCACAGCUUCCUCCAGGUUUAUUCACUCUCUCACUUUGCCAGUACAAAUCACAGACGAGAUUGCCAGAUCUUUCGUAUUUGGAGCUCCUGUCAGAAUUUGAGCUUUUCGACUGUGCUGUAACAGAAGUUGCAAGGCUUGGGGAGUUCAAAUCCUUGCGAAUUUUCAGAAUAUCUCACUGCAACCUGCAACAGCUGGAUGAGCUGGAGAACUUGAUAUUUUUAGCAUCAUUGAAUGUUUCGUUGUGACAUCCUGAAAUUCGACCCCGUUUCGAUAAAGUGAAAUGGGCAUGUCGUCAACGUGCCUAUGGUCCUUUUUCUCUGAGCUGAUCACUCACGAGUUAACUAACCUAUUGGGUGAAGCCGUUAAGGGAUGUAUCCGCGGUAAAAUCCCUAAAAGCUACUCAAUUGGUUGGAUUGGACUAAAAUCGCGUUUGAUUGAUUCUAACCAUGAAAUUUAAAUUGGUUUCGGGAAUCGAAUAUUCGAGCGUGUCACAAUUCAUUUUUAGGACCGUCUCAUCGUCUAUCAAUUUAUUGACGAGUCCGAAAUUUCAAGAAAGAAAUUAUCGGAAGAAAAAUCGAAGACCAAAAGAAAAUAGAAAGGGAAAGGGAAAGAGAAAAGGAAAAGUGGAAUAAUGAUAUUAUUUAUUUCUUUUUCUNNNNNNNNNNNNNNNNNNNNNNNNNNNNNNNNNNNNNNNNNNNNNNNNNNNNNNNNNNNNNNNNNNNNNNNNNNNNNNNNNNNNNNNNNNNNNNNNNNNNNNNNNNNNNNNNNNNNNNNNNNNNNNNNNNNNNNNNNNNNNNNNNNNNNNNNNNNNNNCGAUAGAACCAGCUUCUUCUUCUUCUUUCUUCGUGCGCGAACCAGAAGCCGAAGAAGAUCAGAAGCAGCGAGCAUCACCGCCAGACGAAGACAGCAGCCGCUCGUCCCGCCGCCGCACCGCUGCACCGCUGCCCGCGCGCUCGCCGCCGUUCCGCCGUCCGCGCGCGCCCAGGCCGCGCGAACCAGCCGCUGUUCGCUCCUGUUCCAGCUCCGACCAGCCACCGUCCGGCCACCUCCGGCCACCACCUAGCCUCGCCGGACCUCCCCCGCGACCCCCUCGCCUUCCGCCGGCCUUCCCUCGCCGUUUUGGCCGCCGGAUCUGCUCCGACCAGCCAUGGGCAGAAACCCACGAAAUGGGUUUCCAGCUGGUUCGGGCCCGUUUUGGGCCGUUUCCCGGCCCCGAACCCGAGCGGUGCUUUGGGAAGAAUCGUUCCUCGCGUCGCUGCCGUCGGAUUGAUCCGAUUUGUGCGCGAUUUGGUGAGUAAUCUCACUAAUCUUGGAUUAGUUGGCUAAUUAUGCUUAAGGUUGGUUUAGAUUUAAUUAAUUAUGUUUAGGUUGUUAGAUUAGAAUAAAUUAGCAAUUAUUAGUCAAUUGUGAUGCGAUUUAAAUAAAUUGAUUGUGUAAUUAGCAAGUAGACGUGGUCUACUAAUUAUUGGAAGUGCUUCGGGAUUUUUCCCGACCCUUAGUGGGCUCCAAUUAGGCUUUUCGGGCCUAAGUGGAUUUUUUUGUAUUUAAAUAUUAAUUUUCGGAAUUAAAUUAAAUAAUUAUUUAUUUUCCGGAAAUUCAACUGACAUGGCCUGGAACCGGAAAAUUAUGCUGAUGACCGUGGUGAAGUCCGUUUAUUUAAUCGGGCUUUAUUUUGUACUAAAUUGAAUUUUUAAUAUUUAUUAAUUAUUUAUUUUUCGGAAAUUAAGAUUUUGAUGGCCGAUGACCGAAAUCUCGUGCUGAUCGUCGUGGCGCAGUCCGUUUAUUUAUUUGAGCUCUACGUUGUAUGGAAUUGAAUAAAUUGUGAUAUUUUAGGGAUUUACCCUAAAUUGAUUGGAAUCGAUUGAGAUUGAAUUAUCGAUUGGUGAAUGGCCAAGUAUGUUUAUUCAGCAUUUAUAAUGCUUUGUUGAGUUAAUUUAAUUAUUUGAUUGAGUAUUGAUUGGUGAAUGGCCAAGUAUGUUUAUUCAGCAUUUAUAGUGCUUUGUUGAGUUGUAAAGGGAGUAGAAUGAUGAGAGUGAAUGUUAGCGGCAGCGCGGUGAAGCAACCUGCGUCACCUACCCGGGGGUUUUGGGACCCUACCGUGGGGUUCGGGGGGAUUUGGGGAAAUUCCCUCUGGGCGAAAAAACCGGGCCCCCUUAAAAAAAACCCCACGUUUUCGGGUUUUAAAACAAAAAAAUUUUUUUUUGGGGNNNNNNNNNNNNNNNNNNNNNNNNNNNNNNNNNNNNNNNNNNNNNNNNNNNNNNNNNNNNNNNNNNNNNNNNNNNNNNNNNNNNNNNNNNNNNNNNNNNNUCGGUGAUUAUGGAACUCACUGGCGAAAACGGCGCCUUAAAGAACGCACACAAUUGUCUAGUGAGUACAUGGUAUAGGCAUGCGUGGUUCGGUGAUAAGGACAUCACUGGCGAAAACGGCGCCUUAAAGAACGCACGCAAUUGUCUAUUGAUAAAAUCAUGUAGGCAUGUGUGGUUCGGUGAUUUGGGAUAUCACUGGCGAAAACGGCGCCUUAAAGAACGCACACAGUUGUCUAGUGGAUACGUCACCUUGGCGAAGUUGACGCCCGAGAGCAUUGAUGUGGCUCUGUGACCGAGUACUCGAUGAAAGAAUAUAUGGUGUGGAAUCAAUGACCUAGAAUGGUCCGUCUGACAUGUAAUCGACUAGGUCGAUUGAUCAUUGCUUUGAUUUGAUGUUGUGAAUUGAUUGACUGAAUGGAAAUGACCGUGAGUGGUCUUGUUGGAAUAUAAUCGACUAGGUCGAUUUGAUCGAUGCUUCGAUCGGUGAUAUGAUUGCUUGGGUGCCUAUUAUGAAUUGUACUGACUUGCAGGUGGGAUCAGAGGCCAAGGUAAGUCCUCUGCCCUGUACGUGUUUAGGCAGCCUUUAGUAUAAUAGUUUACUAAUCGGGCUUAGUGGGGUAGAACUCGCUGAGACGUAGUCUCAUCCCAGUUUGGGGAAAACCAUUUCAGGACCCCGCUGAAGAGCUGAGGAGGAGGAAUCCGAGAAGGAGAACUCGGAGGUGAGAUCUGAAGAGAAGGAUUUUUGGAAGAAGAAGAUAGUCUUGAGAGGGGCCUUAAGUACGGCCUGGAUGGAUUGAGAUCCUGUCUUCUUUUGAGAUCUCCAUUUUGAUGUGAAUAGUUUUGAAGUGGUUUGUGUUUUGUAUAAAAGUUUUGUUAUAAAUUUCAAUAUGAAAAAUAUGGCCCUGCUUUUCUAUCCCAUCGUUUUAUUGUCUGGGGAUUUUAACUGCUUCCGCAUGCGCUUAAUAAAUAGAAAGGGUCGGCGAUACUAGUCCUGGGAUAUCGCAUUAUAAAAUCGACCAAGGGAGAAGGAUGUGUGCGUGCCCGAGGAUCGGGGCGUGACAUUCGUACUGUCAAAGUCUUGAGAGACUUCCCAAUCUAUCAAAACUGAAGAAGCUGAAAGAUAUUAAAAUCAAGGGCUGUCCGAAAAUUCGUGAUAUUAAAAGUGUGGAACACCUGCAUUCCUUCGAAAAGCCAAGUGGUGCCAUAAUUGAGGCAGAAAGCUCAUCUGAGGUAACCAACACUACUGAUUUUUCCCUCUGGACUGCAUAGAUGGAAGGUUGGCACUUGAUUAGCACGUUUCAUGUUUGGAAUUUUUACUAAGAUGAAUGAAUUCCUUAAUAUUAACAAAAGUGCAUGACAUGAUGAAUUACGAUGGACAGGAUAUUUUCUCCCAUUAAAACAUGCAGAAUAAUUUUUCAAAUGAAAUUUGAGUCAUCAAGACUUUGUAUUUCUUUCAUCUUUUUUACUUGAAAGAUGGGUCCAAAUAUGUAAGGACUCCACUUCUUUAAAAGAGCAUUUUACUUUUUCCUGUAUUUUUCUGCGAUAUACAACCAAAGAACUUCUAUUUAUUCCAGUUAGUUUAAUCAUGCUUUUGGGAGGUGUUGUUAUGUAUUCAAUCCAGAGCAUUGAACGUUGUAUUGGUAUCUUAAAUCUUUGAUGUGUUGCAGAAAAGCGCUGGUUUCUGUACUAGUGUCUUAAAUUUUUUAUGGGGUGCUUCCGUAAUAUUCAAGAUCUUAAUCCAAAGUACUUUUAAUAANNNNNNNNNNNNNNNNNNNNNNNNNNNNNNNNNNNNNNNNNNNNNNNNNNNNNNNNNNNNNNNNNNNNNNNNNNNNNNNNNNNNNNNNNNNNNNNNNNNNNNNNNNNNNNNNNNNNNNNNNNNNNNNNNNNNNNNNNNNNNNNNNNNNNNNNNNNNNNNNNNNNNNNNNNNNNNNNNNNNNNNNNNNNNNNNNNNNNNNNNNNNNNNNNNNNNNNNNNNNNNNNNNNNNNNNNNNNNNNNNNNNNNNNNNNNNNNNNNNNNNNNNNNNNNNNNNNNNNNNNNNNNNNNNNNNNNNNNNNNNNNNNNNNNNNNNNNNNNNNNNNNNNNNNNNNNNNNNNNNNNNNNNNNNNNNNNNNNNNNNNNNNNNNNNNNNNNNNNNNNNNNNNNNNNNNNNNNNNNNNNNNNNNNNNNNNNNNNNNNNNNNNNNNNNNNNNNNNNNNNNNNNNNNNNNNNNNNNNNNNNNNNNNNNNNNNNNNNNNNNNNNNNNNNNNNNNNNNNNNNNNNNNNNNNNNNNNNNNNNNNNNNNNNNNNNNNNNNNNNNNNNNNNNNNNNNNNNNNNNNNNNNNNNNNNNNNNNNNNNNNNNNNNNNNNNNNNNNNNNNNNNNNNNNNNNNNNNNNNNNNNNNNNNNNNNNNNNNNNNNNNNNNNNNNNNNNNNNNNNNNNNNNNNNNNNNNNNNNNNNNNNNNNNNNNNNNNNNNNNNNNNNNNNNNNNNNNNNNNNNNNNNNNNNNNNNNNNNNNNNNNNNNNNNNNNNNNNNNNNNNNNNNNNNNNNNNNNNNNNNNNNNNNNNNNNNNNNNNNNNNNNNNNNNNNNNNNNNNNNNNNNNNNNNNNNNNNNNNNNNNNNNNNNNNNNNNNNNNNNNNNNNNNNNNNNNNNNNNNNNNNNNNNNNNNNNNNNNNNNNNNNNNNNNNNNNNNNNNNNNNNNNNNNNNNNNNNNNNNNNNNNNNNNNNNNNNNNNNNNNNNNNNNNNNNNNNNNNNNNNNNNNNNNNNNNNNNNNNNNNNNNNNNNNNNNNNNNNNNNNNNNNNNNNNNNNNNNNNNNNNNNNNNNNNNNNNNNNNNNNNNNNNNNNNNNNNNNNNNNNNNNNNNNNNNNNNNNNNNNNNNNNNNNNNNNNNNNNNNNNNNNNNNNNNNNNNNNNNNNNNNNNNNNNNNNNNNNNNNNNNNNNNNNNNNNNNNNNNNNNNNNNNNNNNNNNNNNNNNNNNNNNNNNNNNNNNNNNNNNNNNNNNNNNNNNNNNNNNNNNNNNNNNNNNNNNNNNNNNNNNNNNNNNNNNNNNNNNNNNNNNNNNNNNNNNNNNNNNNNNNNNNNNNNNNNNNNNNNNNNNNNNNNNNNNNNNNNNNNNNNNNNNNNNNNNNNNNNNNNNNNNNNNNNNNNNNNNNNNNNNNNNNNNNNNNNNNNNNNNNNNNNNNNNNNNNNNNNNNNNNNNNNNNNNNNNNNNNNNNNNNNNNNNNNNNNNNNNNNNNNNNNNNNNNNNNNNNNNNNNNNNNNNNNNNNNNNNNNNNNNNNNNNNNNNNNNNNNNNNNNNNNNNNNNNNNNNNNNNNNNNNNNNNNNNNNNNNNNNNNNNNNNNNNNNNNNNNNNNNNNNNNNNNNNNNNNNNNNNNNNNNNNNNNNNNNNNNNNNNNNNNNNNNNNNNNNNNNNNNNNNNNNNNNNNNNNNNNNNNNNNNNNNNNNNNNNNNNNNNNNNNNNNNNNNNNNNNNNNNNNNNNNNNNNNNNNNNNNNNNNNNNNNNNNNNNNNNNNNNNNNNNNNNNNNNNNNNNNNNNNNNNNNNNNNNNNNNNNNNNNNNNNNNNNNNNNNNNNNNNNNNNNNNNNNNNNNNNNNNNNNNNNNNNNNNNNNNNNNNNNNNNNNNNNNNNNNNNNNNNNNNNNNNUUGCUGGCUUAGUGGGAUUCAGGUGCCAAUCGUAGGACUUAAUAGCUCUCCUGCAAAAACUUCAAAGUGAUGCAUGAUACAGGGAAUUGUUAGGCCACUGCCUUGACUGUGGUGAGCCUAAUGAAAUCAACAUGGUGGGCUGAGUUUUGAACCUGGCAGCUUCCUUUCUAGAGUUAUAGGAUAAGUUCAAUCUCACUAUCAAGGCUAAACUUUAGUUUUCUUCUCAUAGAAAUCAAUUAGGUAUUAUCAAUUGCGUAGUGAUAAAUCCAUUGAUUUUCCCAUCUUGGUAAAAUCAGUAUACCUUCUUUCUUUUUGAUUCGUGAAUACUACAGAAUCCUCAUGCACUCAAAUUGGUAAAUGUUGAUGUGAUUGAUACGGUGAUUAAAUUCUGUAUCAAGUUUUUCAUUGUAGAGUUUACGUAAAGAACCUGUAAUAGAUUUUUUCUCUGGUGUACUUUUGGCAUCCUUACUAGGUCUUAGUGUGUUAGAGAAACUCCUUAAUUUCCAAAAGGAUAGGGCUUUGUAUAUGUAUCCAAUGCCUCUGAGUGGCCAGGAUGCUAUUUGGUUCCCGACACAUUCUUGAUUGAAGUCAUGAUGUCUUCUCUAUAUUAUGAUACAGGAAUAUGGUAUCAGGACUCAGCCAAUUGCAUGGCUUGGGAAUAAUCCAUCGGGACUUAAAGCCUACAAAUGUGUUGAUUACUAAGAAUCCAUUGCAUGCUUAGCUAUCUGAUAUGGGCAUGAGCAGAUGCCUUCCUGAUGGUAGAUCUUCCUUGGGAUAUCAUGCCACUAGUAAGUGCUCGUGAUAGCUUUAUUCAGACCCUUGAUCUUCUUUUCCUCAAUAUUGAUCCGUGCAUAAUCUGAAUCUAUACAGUGGUAAAUCAUCUUCGGAUUCCUGGCUAAAAAUUUUAAAACUGCAAUUUUACUUUGUUAGAACAAUCUCUUCUUUUAAAGAAGACUAUUAUGUUGGAAGUUAGGUUGCUUUGUAUUGCUUCUUAUGUCGUGGUAAAGUUUGUGGAGAUUUAAUAGUCUUUGCCAUGGUCUCCCUUCGUUGAUGGGUGAAUCAAUUAUAUCCAUCUAUAUUUUGUCCAAGUGAUGAGGGCUCUUUUAUUGAUCUUCGUUGUCUGUCUUGCAGGUUGUGGAACCAAAGGAUAUCAAGCACCUGAAGUGUCUCGUGAUGGUGGGCGCCAAACGCAGGCAAUGGAUUUGCUUAGUUUAGGUUGUGUCUUGUUCUUUUGCGUCACUCGUGGAAGACAUCUGUCUGGUGAAAACAUUGCUUCCAACAAUCCAGACCUACCCUCGGUGAUAGAUAUGCCGGAAGCUCAUGAUUCGAUUUCAUAUUUACUAAGCCAAGAUUCCAAAUUGAGGUGAGUGUAUUGUCAUUGUUAAUUUGCAUCACUACCAUUUUUAUUCUGCCAUUUUAUAGAUUUUACAACCAUUUAGUUGACCGAUUUCCAUUUUCCUGCAUCACUUAAUCUCAUGAGCAUUAAAGGUGCCCUAGAACUCCUCCAACAUGCCUUAAAUAUCUUUCCUGCUGUGGGCUCUACUUGAUGAGCAAAAAAUGUGUAGAUCCCACUUAUUUCUUUUGACAAUUGACAAUAGAAGCCGAAGAAAAGGUUGAUUAUGCGAUAGCCUAAAUGCAUUUGACAAUUGUAAUAUUCUAAUGAAAGAUGAUCAUUGUCGGAAGCCUAGUAAUUAGGGCUAUAAGUUUGUUACCCCUCCACGAACAAAUAAAUUGCAAUCAUUUCUAGCGCGGAAUUAGAUUUGCUAUAUAUGCACUGAAAAGGAUUUUAUAUGAAGAUUCCGAGGGUUUAGCAUAUGAUGCUCACUACGAAAUAAGAAUCCUAGGGACUAGAUGAUUAGAUUGCUAAUUUAAGGUACUUGGAGUAAAUAAUUCCUGGGUUCUUGUUGUAGUCAAACAACUGCCUUCAUUCCAAACUCGUGAAUUGUGAAGUGCAUGGAAGUUGUCAGAUAUUUUGGUUACUCUUUCAUUGAGCUAAUGCAAUUUUAAUUACUUUAGAGAUUGCACGAUUGCCAAACUUGUGAUGCUUUUAAACUCAAGAACUCAGUCCAUCUUAGUAUUGUUUGUGUAAUUGAUUUCUUUGAAAUGUUGGGUCAAUAGUAAAUUACUUUUUAUUACUAGCAGGCCAACGGCAUUGGAGGUGCUGCAGCAUCCAUUUUUUUGGAGUUCAACAGACAGACUGACCUUUCUUCGAGACGUCAGCGAUGCAGUAGAACCGGGAGUGGGGAAAGGCAAUUCAGAUCUUCUCAAAGAAUUGGAGAACAUUGCGCAAUUGGUUUUUGACGGGAAUUGGAUAAAGGAAAUAGAUAUAAAUGUUAUGGAUGACCUACGUAAACACAGACGUAAGCCCUAUGACGAAAGCAGUGUCGAAGACUUAGGGUGCGUUUGGCUGCACCCUAUUUCUGUUCCCAGGAACAGAAAUUUCUGUUUUUUUGUUCCUGGGAACAAAAAAGGAACAGAAACACGUUUGGGUGCGUUUCUGUUCCUUUUUUGUUCUUUUGUUCCCAGGAACAAAAAAGAAACAGAAACAAGAAACACAAAAAAGUUGUUUCUUGUUUUUGGAACAAAAUCUAGAAACACUUCUCUUUUUUAUUUUUUUUCUUUUCUUCUUCUUUUUUCUUUCUUUUUCUUUGGCCGGUCGCCGGCCUUUGGCCAUGGCCGGCGACCNNNNNNNNNNNNNNNNNNNNNNNNNNNNNNNNNNNNNNNNNNNNNNNNNNNNNNNNNNNNNNNNNNNNNNNNNNNNNNNNNNNNNNNNNNNNNNNNNNNNNNNNNNNNNNNNNNNNNNNNNNNNNNNNNNNNNNNNNNNNNNNNNNNNNNNNNNNNNNNNNNNNNNNNNNNNNNGUCAUGUCAUAUGGUCCUCUUUCUUUGUUGCUAAAGGGUUGCACUUCAUUGCGUGAAUAAUACCGGCCCUUCACCAGCCCGUGAUGAAUGUCAGCAGUAUGUGCUUCGAUAUUUCUGCUCUGACUGUCUUCAAAACCUGAAUACCGCAUGUUAACCGGCCCAAAGGAAAAAAAAGAAAAAAAAGGAAAAAUGAAUAAGAAAAAUAAGAAAGAAAAUAGAAAAAUAAAAUAAAAAUAUUAAAAAAUUAAAAGAAAUAAAAAAUUAUACAAAUUUAUCAAGCGUGUUUCUAUUCUUUUUAUAUUUCUGGAACAGAUUUACCAAACGCAUUUUUUUGUUCAAAAAUUAUUCCCUGGAACAGAAAUAUUUUUUUCUAUUUCUGUUCCCAGAAACAAUUUUUAAACAGAAACGUUACCAAACGUACCCUUACUGAGAGCCAUGCGAAAUAAGUUUAGCCACCUAAAGGAAGCUCUAGAAAAAGUUAAGGUACUCUCUCUCUCUCUCUCUCUCUCUGGAACAGUGGUGAUAUUUACAGCCGCAUGCGUACAAGGCUCAUAUCUUUUAUUGCUUUGAUGAUUCUGACAGGCGAUCCUCGGAUCGGAUCCUAAUGGUUUGGAUGCUUACUUCACCAAACUAUUCCCCAGACUCUUGAUUGAGUCAUACAAAGUGGUGUCUCAAAGCCCCGAAAAGAAGGAAUUGCUUGCGGGAGUGCUUUCUAUGCUUCCUAAGUAACGUGCUUUUGACCCUUUGGCCACUUCCCGCUGUGAUUCUUUCCUUCAAGCCAACAGGGUUGGCCAUGAAUAUUACGGGACAUUCCACUUGUCUUUUCUGUUGUGUCUGCUGUCUUGGUUACGUGGAUGAAGCUAGAUGGGGCGUCAGACUCUAUUCAUAUUGUCCCUAAUAUCAAAUCUUAAAUAAUUUUAUAGUACGGUAUUGCCGCAUACUUGAAAUGUUUGAUGUAUUGUUCUUGAUAUUGCAUAAACAAAUAUUGUAUUUCAAUUUCAUGCAAUUUUUUUCAAUAACGCAAUUUUUAAAUUUAAAUCUUGUACUUUUUUUUUCAAAACUUUUAUUUUUAGAGUUUAAAAAAAAAAACAAAAGGCCCAGGCCCACGCUUGGGCCAAUGCAGCCCAGGGGUCAGCCCUCAUAGACUUUUCAUCAACAAAAGGUACCGUCACCUCCUUAAUAGUUUAGCAACUUCUUCGCCUUUCUAGUAAUUUUUUCCAUGUGCAACCUACAUGUCUAAAGAAAAAUAUUUAGGUCAAAUAAAUCUCAAUGGAGUGGGUAACAUUCUCAGUUAUGAAAGAAAUGUCACUCAACUCGCAAAUUUUUACCUAUGAAAUAAGCAUCACCCUAUUAUUUUGAAGUAUUUACACACUCUCUCAUUGGAGGGAAUUAAAAGUUGAAUCUACAAGUAAUUAAAAUAUUAAAAAAUAACAUUUUAUGUAUUUCAAAACCNNNNNNNNNNNNNNNNNNNNNNNNNNNNNNNNNNNNNNNNNNNNNNNNNNNNNNNNNNNNNNNNNNNNNNNNNNNNNNNNNNNNNNNNNNNNNNNNNNNNAAAAGUGACGAAAAAUCUUAUCUAUUGUUUACAUACUACAUGUUUCUUUAGGCAAAUUUAUGUACACUUAGUUUGUCCAAUCAAGUAGCUCUAGUUUCACAAAUUUUUAGAUCAGGUUUAUAUGACACAAAAUAAAACUAAAUUUGGGAGAUGUGGCAUCAAAUGACCCCAAAGUAUGAUGUGAAAAAAAUAUAUAGAUGCACACAUGGAUGCGUGUGUGUGAAAAAAUAGCCAAUAUAGAUAGUAUUGAAUUAUGACUCAUUACCCAUUGUUGACGCUCAUGUGGAUGACUACAUUGGAAAAAUUUUAAUCACAUCAUACUCGCUACUAUAUCACUUGAUGGUCAUGUUAGCUAGAUUCGGCCAAAUUUGAUGUCAAAAGGAUUUGAUUAAAAAUAUUGUGAAAAAAGUAAGAUGACCUCAUUAGACAAAUUAAAAAUAUAAGAACUUGAUUAGAAAAUAAAGUAAAAAUAAAAGUAAAAAGUACAGAGAAGAAAAGUAAAAUUUUUUGUAAAAUAAUUGGCUCUUGCGUCUGUCUCUCUCUCACACGCAGAUUGCUUCAGAUGUUGCAAGUAUAUAAUUUUUUUUUUGUUUUUAAAUUAAAAAUAUAAGAACUUGAUUAGAAAACAAAGUAAAAAUAAAAGUAAAAGUAUAGUGACGAAAAGAAAAAAAAAAUUGUAAAAUAAUUGGCUCUUGCGUCUCUCUCUCACAGAUUGCUUCAGAUGUUGCAAGUAUAUUAUUUUAUCUAUUUUAUUCUAACCACAUAUAAUGGGUGAGAAUAUCUCGAGUCCAGGAAAAGGGUUAAAGACAUAAAUAAUAUUAUUAUCAAACAAUUCACACUUUCGAUACUAUGGUUCCGACAUUAUUUGCAACCAACCCAUCCAAAACAAUCAUCAAUGAUUAAACUUUUGAUAUUAUCGGGUGUGAGAAGCUCUAAUAUAAAAACAAAAAAUUCUAAUAUAUGAUGACAGUCACUAACACCUUAUCAUUUUCAAAGAUUUAAAAAGCUUUCUUACAUUUUAUUUUUUGACCCUAGUCAUCAGUCAUCACGUAAUACUGAUUAUAGAGCAUGAUAAAUUUAUUUUCCAAUAAUUUCUGAUCAUAUUUACCGCGCAAAGCUUACCGAGCGUCAAACAUAAAAGUUGAAGUUCCUCAGUACAAAUUUUCACGAGGCCGUGCGGUUUAACUACCCUGAUUCGCCACGUUUCACUUAACAAUUGGUUUCACUUUUCUACACACUAUAGACGUUGCAUAUUGUAAGAUCUACAUCAUUGAUUAAAUUCUGACAUAUAUCUUUAUCAUGGUGAGUGUUGUGUCAUCAAUUAAAUUUCAUAUAAUUUGUUUGCACACCUUGUGACGUUAUCGAAUUCAUAAUUUUCAAGCUUUGUCGUCAAUUUAAUUCCGACUUGGUUUGAGAUUAUACAAUAUUGUUUGGAUCGAAGAAGUUGAUUUUUGUUUGUUUGUAUUAUUUUCUAUCUAAAAUUAGCACAGAACCUUAAUUUCCUCAAAUUAUAAUUGAAGAACAACCUUCGAUGAAAGAUAUUUCAUUUCAGAAAAUUUCAACAAAACAUCUUUUUGGCACACACAAUAGAAUCAGUGUUGAUGAUAUGGGAAAUAAAACGACACGUCGUACUGGGAGUCAACUUGAUACCAUUGAAACUGGUGGGAAUAAUUCACCACCACAGCCCGCUGACGAAAGGGUUGGACGCGCUGAGUUGUCGAUGGCAUCUCCAGCUUGAUGGCUCAGACUAUUCUGGCGCCUAUUCCAUACAGGCCACCUAUUUCCGUUUAUUCAUGGGAAUAAAUGGAAAGAUUAUUUCAUGAACAAUUCCAGAGAUCCAUCCCUGAUGUGUCUAUGAAGCAGUAAAAUGAUGAGUUGAUAGAUCAGUUCAUAUUUCGGUUCGAAAAGGUAAGGAAUCAAUGCCUUCUGCCUUUACUGGAAAAAUCCCUUGUGGAUGUAGCUCUGGCAGGUUUGAAGUUUUCUAUCAGAGAAAAGAUGGUAGGACGAUAAAUUAAUGAUCUUUUCCAGUUGGCAACAGUGGCAACCAAGCAUGAAAACAUUUUGAAAGAGAAAGAAAGCAUGGAAAACAUGACAUAACCCUUGUGGAGCGAUACGAGAACGAUCCAGACCAGGGUGAAUUUGUUGAGGUAGCUGGGGCCAAAAUGAUGAUUGAUGAGCCUUAUACCCAUCACACGUUAAGACCAUUGAAAGCUAAAGAGAAGUUGAAAGAGAACUUUACGUCUAGAGCGAAUUUCUAACUAUUUGGUUGUAAAUUAUGUUGCUUUGACAUUAGAAAUUCAAAAUCUGUUUUAGGAAAUACAUGGUUGGAUAUAUAAUUAUACAUGCAAUUAUGCAUGACUAAGUCCAAUAAUCUCUUUUGCGAUGCUAAGGUUAAACUCUGUAGUUAAUAUAAUUUCCUAUUUAAACUGGAUACUAUUCCAAAUUAAAAGAAUGGAAAAUGUUUUCUUAAAAUAUAUAAUUUCUGAUGCAAUCUUAUUGACCCCCACUAUCCUGCUAAUAAACUUAUAUUUUCUCAACAGUUUGCACAUAUGUUAAUACAACACCAUGCUAAUAUAAACAUAAGCUAUAUGGGGUUGUGUUUAUAACUGUAAAAGUUUUUAUGUUGUUAGUUGCAUUAAUUAAUAUUAUAAUUUAACUUUUUAUGGGAUUAAUCUAAUAAUGUGAGAUAUAAGGAUUCUAAGUUGGUCUAAUAUGGGAGUGGUUAGUAUGAACCGAAUAAAACUCGACUUGUAAUGAGAGGGCAUAUGAUUUAAAACUCUAUAAGGAGUGUUUACUAAAUGCUGAGAGUGAGAAGCAGUCUCAUUGAGCCAAUGAUAUAGAAGACAAUAGCGAAGAAGCGCUUAAGCUUUAGAUCAUUAUUGUUGCAUCAAGAACGAUGGAUUCCAAAUUGAAUGCAUAAAUUUCUUUUACUUGAUUAUAUGUAUUAUUGAUUCUAGCUACGGAGAUAUUCAAUACCAUUUUCAUGGCUUACAUUCUUAUCAUUUUAACAUUUUGAGUAAUUAUAAUUCUUUAAAGAUUAUCUAUAAACUUAUUAAGCUUAUUGGUGAUUCUCUUGCUAAUUAUAAUGGUACCAAAUAUUUCUCUACAAAUUUUAUUAUAUUUUCUUGAAAAUUGCUCUAAUUGUGAUAUCGUUCUUUUGGAACUUGGAAAUUGUUUUACUUUCAAAAUUUCUUGUCUUUUCUCAUACUUUUUCACCAUCAUAUGUUUGAAAGGAUUUAAAAGGGCUUAUUUGAAUCUGCAUAAUAUCUGCUACGUAUAAAAAUAUAAUGUGUUUUCAACAUAUUUUUAUCUAUUCUUACUAUCAUAUAGAUCUCAUAAUCAUGAGCCACAACAUGUCAAGCCACUUUAAGUUUUGUCGCUCAAUUUAUUGUUGUCUAUUUUAUAUCAUAAAUAAUUGUACUCUAAAAUUAAUUAGUAAAUAGUGUCUUUCGGUCAAAAGUUGCAAUCAUUAAGUUAGUAGCAUGUUAAUUCAUAUUAAACUUACAUUUAUUUAUAAUACAUUUAUAAUACAUGACUAUUCGUGUGGCUUCCAUAGAUUAAUUCAUUUGUCCGUUUUAGCUCAUUUCAUACUGAGCUUCACGGUCUUGUCCUUUGAUUUACAGGCGGACACCUUUUCAAGAGAUCAUUCAUGUUGGUAGUGCUCCCAUUUGAGCGCACUUAAUUAUGGAGUUUGAAAACUAAGUAUUGUCAUUACUUCAAAAUGCACCUUCAUGAAUUAAUUUAAGUUUUGACAUAUUUAUUCUAGAGUAUCUCUUCGCCUAUUUGGUGCAUAGUUCAGUUUAUUCUUGCUCUCUUCACUAUUUUAGAAACCUACUAGAAGCCACUCCUUGUCCACGCCCUCUGGCUCCAACAACCACUCCUUGCUCUCAUCGAAUCUAAUUGUUAUAGGCCUACCAACUUCCAUGUAAUUCAUUUCCAAACCACAUACCUACUAAAGGGGGUCCUACUCCAAUACCGUAUUGUAACAUUAUUGGAUUAACUCACUAAGAUAUUAUUCACUUUGACCCGUCCCAUAACUAAGCCUUAUAGUUUUGCCUUUUGGUGUAAAGGUGGAUAGUGCCCCCACCUAAGCAUGCUUAACUUUAGAGUUCUAAAGCUAAAACGUUACUAUGUGCCUUAGUGAAUUAAUUCAACUUACACACACACACACACACACACACACACACACACACACACACACACACAUAUAUAUACCAUAAUGGGGUUAGGAUCGGAGUACUAUAUGAGAGAACAAGGAAGUAUUAAGGCCUUCUUUUGUAAGAGGUUUGACUCCUACUUGGACUAGUCCUAUAUGAAUGUAAUUGUAUUUUUGUUUAUGCUUUUGGAUGGACUCUUUAUUCAAAAGAUGUAUUUUCUCAUAGGAAUUAGAAAGAGGAACAUCUCUUUCUUCGGUGGAUAUGACAUAGUCUGAUUUUUUGAAAAACUUCAACUUUGAUUGCUUGUAUAUUUCCUUAAGUUGUAUUUUAGGAAUUUCCCAAUUUUCUAUAGACUUGUUGAAAUCUUCUAUCCUUACUUCUUCUCUAUGUAUAGGACUUGGAUCUGAGUCCAUUUGUGAUAGAGAACUAGAGGAAGAUGUAGAUCUUCUAUGUAAGCUCAUACUUAAGAUCGGAACUAUCCCUUCUUCAGAACCGUUACAGAGCUAAACCAACGGUCUAACAGCCACUCAGGGACUUACAGCCUAGACCACUCUGUAGAAACAAGAAGGAUGCCAACAAAUGGCUCUCGAUCUAAGUGUAUGUUCUUACAAAGAUUAUCUAUACUUUCUCACUGGCUCUGAUACCAUAAUGGGGUUAUGAUCGGAGUACUAUAUGAGAGAACAAGGAAGUAUGUAGAGAUUAACAGAUCUAUAUGAAAGCAAGGAGGGAUGUAUAAAAACUGGAAAGUAUGUAUAUAAACAAGAAAGUAAAUGACUUAAAUAAAAUCACGAGAAUUAAAAAUAAUGUAAUAUAUAUAUAUAUAUAUAUAUAUAUAUAUAUAUAUAUAUUACAAAAUCGUUGUCGUCUACUUAUUCAGUGCACAAUUCAAUCCAUUUCUACCUCUUCACCAUGUUAGAAUCUCUUUGAGCUUCGCGACCACUCCCCAUCUUACAAUUCGUACAAAUAAUGCGUCUUUCCAUCUACUUUUAAAGGAUUAAGUGUGAGAAAAUAUUUCAUCUUUGUUAUUUGUUAACUAGGAAAAAAAAGCAUAAAUCCUUAAAAGGCACGUCUUUUCUCGUUAUAAUUCGUCAAUACUUCGGCUGCACAUAAAGGAAAAAGAGAAACGUGGAGAUUCACGUGAAACCUUUUCUGGUAGUCACUUAUUUGACCAAAAAGACUUACUAAACGCCAAAAACUUUUGUUUUUCCUUAUACCAGGCAGAUCACUCGAGAAUUUUUUACAAGAUCAUGCUUCAAGCUAAACACAAUCAUCAAGAUCCAAGUAAGAUUCACCAACCGACUUGAACAUGGCUACUUUGAAACGAAAAGUUAAAUCUCGUUCUGUCAAAGAGAAAGCAGUCCUCAUGCAUUAAACUGGUCAUAGCAAAAAUCUACGACCGACUGCUAGCGACAUCGGUUUCUGUCGUCCUAUAGACUAAUAAAAGGUUCAUAGGCUUCUUUGUCAUCAUAAUCCUUAACACCACUUUCCGUUUCUCACGAUAUGAUCUCCUCUGCUUCGAAUGAAAAGCCCUUCAAAAUGUGUAAUGCUGCUAAAUGGAAUCGAUGUCCAGGCCUUUGAGCUUGACCAUGGAUUCAACAUGGCCCUUCAGAGUGUGUAGCUCGCGAAGCCUGCAACAACAGAUUCACUUUGUCUUACCAUCAAAUGUAGGACUUAAACAGUGAAAAGGAAUUGCUAGCAGCGAAUGGUUUAAACUCUGUUU